rnacentral:lncRNA from 1 species
GCUAGCGUCUGCUUGUAACCCGAGCGGGGGCAAUAAAGUGGUGUGGAUGCCAAUUGUGGCGCUUGGACCCGGGCCUGGUACUGCAAUCUGCGGCCCGCCCGUUCCAAGUUGGCAGUUGGGUUGUGACCGCUUUGGCGAAGGCCAUGGCGUCCCAACCUCUAGAGCGGCGGGCAAUGCGUGAGGCUGGUUUCACAGAGCAGCGAAUACCAUCCGCUUCCAAUGGUGGAAGGAUAACGAGCCACUGCACUCCAGGCCCACCUAGGCUCAAGCACUCUUUCUGGCAUACCACCAUUUUUGUUUUUUGGCUUGUCUUGCACACCUACUCGUUUGCCACUGCAGCCCAUUUGUCCAACCUGCAGCGUCUAGCAACAACCAUCAUCAAUCGAUUAUGUAGCCGAUUUGAACCUCUAGGCACUGGUCCUCUGGACGUUCGAUACAUUCCACAUGUAACAUGUUCUUGCCAUUUUGUACAUACUAGUGUGUUCUGGUUGAGUUUACAGUGUCUGCAGUAAGCCAAUUCUUUUGGAUCAAAAGCCAUUAAACGCUCUAGAAGAUGAAGAGCCAAAGGAUAGGAACUUGUAAAGCUCAAGUAUCUACUGUCCUCAUUUUGAAUCUAUAGAUAUCUUAGACAACAUCAUGGGGCAGAUGAGGAGGGAAACACACCUAACAACAGUGCUUGGCUCCAUGCCCACACAUCGGCAGCAUGGCACGAGUGGGGAAGAAACCGGGGCUCUGGUCUGGUCAUGCGUUGCUAAGGGGGGUAGGUAUUUUAGCGUCAUAGUGUGUACCAACCUGCCUGGUAGCUCGCAUUGCUCAUGGCGGCUGUCGCGGGCCUCCACGUUUGUUGCCCCGGUAUGGGAGGAUGGGUGAAGGCGGCACACAGAGAGGUAUGUGAUGGGCAGAAUGGCGCUGAGGACAUCGCAUGUGGUCCCCUCGAAUCCCUCGGACGGACGACAACAUUUGAGGAGAGCAAGUGAGGUGGGUCCUGGGGGGUGGCGGGUGACGACGUUUGAGCGGCGUGGAGAUGGAAGCCGCUUACCUGGACUGCGGGAUCACGAUUCAAAAGCGCUGGCGGUUGUCGCUAGAGCCGGGGGAGGGGGGAGGGGGCAGGACACGACGCCAGGAGCCCCUCACAGAGCGUGAGCUAGAGGAAGAGAGACGGAGGAUGAAGAGAGAAAGCGAGGGCAAGCGAGGAGAGUAGCCUGGAAAUCUCUAAAGGCGAUAAAAACCACGGGCGCACGGGAGAGAAUGCGGGGAAAAUGAACCAACGAUCCACAAUCGAAUGACUAAAAUUUUUUUGGGUGACGUAGAUGGGCUCAUAGGCGUCGUUUCCAUCAGUCUUUAAUAAUAAGGAAAUACAACCAAACAAGUUGGUUACGAUCAGGGACCGACCAUUACAAUCGUAGGCAUCUCCUCUUGGCUAUAUAACCUGAGCACCCCCUCCUCAUCCAUCUUGUGCCAACGCCAAGGAGCCAAAUGUCACAAUGACCCAAGGAGUUGAGAGUGCCACCGUGAACCGAGUGCCGAACGAGAGGGAGAGAAGGUCCACGCCGCAGUUUCGGAUCUACACUGUCUCUCGGGUGGUGUGCGUGGCUAGCCCAGACGGGAGGAGUGGUCGGAGAGCAAGAAGAGUCGUCACCAGAGUCACAAAUAGAGGUUCCUACUUUUCAUCCCUAACUUCCCUAACCUAGGUCAGUUCUACCGCCGACCCAUUAACCGCUGAUGCCUGCACAACCGAUCUCACAUCCCUCGCGUGUUAGAACCGGUGCAACCAAUAGGCGGGCCCCACUGGUUGGACUCUCAGUCGCGCGGAUGUCUCUAAUCAGUCACUGGAGGGUGGGCCAGCUCGCUCAGUAACGACCUCACACGCAGCACACGGGUCACAACCUAUCGGACGCUUCUCUCUCCUGUUGUUCAAGGACAUGUAUAAAUACAUAUGUAUUGAUCUAUAAAGAUUACACACGGUUCACAUUUUCACUUUCACCAGUUUACUUUCACUAGUUUACUUUCACACGUCAUCGGCACUUGCUUUCACCAAAUAGGAGGAAACGCCAAAGAGGACAACCAGGAAGAACAAGGCAAGAACACCGACAACUAUCGGGUACGCGAUGAUCUACAAAGAUCUUUAUGUUGCCCUUCUUACCUUCAUCCUUCGAUUUUUGAACGGUGGCCAUCGUCGCNNNNNNNNNNNNNNNNNNNNNNNNNNNNNNNNNNNNNNNNNNNNNNNNNNNNNNNNNNNNNNNNNNNNNNNNNNNNNNNNNNNNNNNNNNNNNNNNNNNNNNNNNNNNNNNNNNNNNNNNNNNNNNNNNNNNNNNNNNNNNNNNNNNNNNNNNNNNNNNNNNNNNNNNNNNNNNNNNNNNNNNNNNNNNNNNNNNNNNNNNNNNNNNNNNNNNNNNNNNNNNNNNNNNNNNNNNNNNNNNNNNNNNNNNNNNNNNNNNNNNNNNNNNNNNNNNNNNNNNNNNNNNNNNNNNNNNNNNNNNNNNNNNNNNNNNNNNNNNNNNNNNNNNNNNNNNNNNNNNNNNNNNNNNNNNNNNNNNNNNNNNNNNNNNNNNNNNNNNNNNNNNNNNNNNNNNNNNNNNNNNNNNNNNNNNNNNNNNNNNNNNNNNNNNNNNNNNNNNNNNNNNNNNNNNNNNNNNNNNNNNNNNNNNNNNNNNNNNNNNNNNNNNNNNNNNNNNNNNNNNNNNNNNNNNNNNNNNNNNNNNNNNNNNNNNNNNNNNNNNNNNNNNNNNNNNNNNNNNNNNNNNNNNNNNNNNNNNNNNNNNNNNNNNNNNNNNNNNNNNNNNNNNNNNNNNNNNNNNNNNNNNNNNNNNNNNNNNNNNNNNNNNNNNNNNNNNNNNNNNNNNNNNNNNNNNNNNNNNNNNNNNNNNNNNNNNNNNNNNNNNNNNNNNNNNNNNNNNNNNNNNNNNNNNNNNNNNNNNNNNNNNNNNNNNNNNNNNNNNNNNNNNNNNNNNNNNNNNNNNNNNNNNNNNNNNNNNNNNNNNNNNNNNNNNNNNNNNNNNNNNNNNNNNNNNNNNNNNNNNNNNNNNNNNNNNNNNNNNNNNNNNNNNNNNNNNNNNNNNNNNNNNNNNNNNNNNNNNNNNNNNNNNNNNNNNNNNNNNNNNNNNNNNNNNNNNNNNNNNNNNNNNNNNNNNNNNNNNNNNNNNNNNNNNNNNNNNNNNNNNNNNNNNNNNNNNNNNNNNNNNNNNNNNNNNNNNNNNNNNNNNNNNNNNNNNNNNNNNNNNNNNNNNNNNNNNNNNNNNNNNNNNNNNNNNNNNNNNNNNNNNNNNNNNNNNNNNNNNNNNNNNNNNNNNNNNNNNNNNNNNNNNNNNNNNNNNNNNNNNNNNNNNNNNNNNNNNNNNNNNNNNNNNNNNNNNNNNNNNNNNNNNNNNNNNNNNNNNNNNNNNNNNNNNNNNNNNNNNNNNNNNNNNNNNNNNNNNNNGAAAUUUGAGAUUCGAUUCUUAAAAUUCUUCAGUAGCAGCUUGUGUCAGGAUUUUUUCCAAUGUUUUAGUACUUGGAAAUGAUUCAAUAAAUAUUUCUUUAAAUAUGAUAUUUAUUGUCAUGUGUUCUAUUAUGCAUUCCUUAAAAUGCAAACUAAAAAACAUAUUCAUUUCAAUUAUACCCAUAGUGGUUUAAUACGAGCAGAAUUAAUUUUUUGAUAGAACAUAAAGAAUAAUCAAUAUUCAUCUCAAUUAAGUUAUUCAAAACUUAAUACUAGCAAGAAUAUGUAUUAUUCGAUUCCGUACGCAAUUGAUGCUACCCAUAUAUUCAUCUUAUUAAGUUACUAAUAGUACAUAAUUUCAUCUGAAAAUUUUAUAUUAGAUAUACUACAUCAUAACAUCAUAAUGAAAUUUUCGAUCUCUUGCAUCACUUUGCAAUUGAGACCUUAAACUAUGAUUCAUCUAUGCAAUAUCGCAUUAUAUUGCAUAUUAUUCAUCUCAAUUGGGUUUUUCUCUUAAAUCCAAUACGAGCAAGAAUACAUAUAUGUUUGAACACCACACAUAUUACAACACACCCAUGAUGAUUAUUAAUGAAAUUCUCUGGUUGCUUGUGUAGGAUCAUGGCCCGCGAGUUCAAAGAACUUGCUCUUGAUGGACACAACUAUCCUACUUGGGCGUUGGAUAUCAAGAUUAGCUUAGCCUCAAAGAAUAUUCUGAGUGCAUUACUCCCUCCAACGAGAGGGUUGAACCACUACAUGAUGCUUAUAAGUACAACACUUUGUACAUUAUAAGACAUCACCUCCAUCCUGAUCUACUUCAAGCAGAAAAUCAUGAUGAGCUUAUGAUAAAAAAUCAUAAGCAAUAUCGUGUUGGAGCUGCUCCUAUGCCAGAAAACCAUCCCAAGAACUCUGAUAAUUCAAAUAAGCGCAAACGCAACAAGCGUACGAAUAAGAAAAAUACAAAGGCUCCGAGGAAAGACACCCCCCACUUCCAAGCAAGAGAAGUGUAAGAAGUGUGGAUGCUUGAACCAUCCUACUAAAAAGUGUUUCAUUCCUUGUCAUUUAGUGGCACUGUACCAGCAAUCUCUUAAGGGAAAAAAUGUUGAAGGACAAGGAUAUGAAGCUCACUUCACCACCCCACCUAACUUGAAGGAUGGAGCUGGUUGCUCAAGCAUGGCUACAAUGGAACCAAGCACGACCAACCCUCCGCUUCUGACCAACACCGAAUACAUGAACUUGGACAAUGCCAUCAUCGAAUAUGCUUCGAGUGAUGUGUUUGGAUACCUUUACUAGGAUCCUCAUGCUUCUACCAGAUAUCAUCUAUUUGUAAGUCUAUGAGUGUGUGCAACAAGUGUGUUGUAAUAAGUACCUAGACCUUGGAAUUUGUGUGUAUAUUCCACACUCUACUGUAUAAUUAUGUAUGUACUUAUAUGUAUAAUGAAGUGUCCCAAUCCUCUGGGACUCAAAUGUGAUACAAUUACUAGUCCCAGGAGGCUAGUAAACACAUUUAUAUAUCAGAUGAUUCCAGAUCUGCUUAAACAAGACAAACCUAUAAAGGUGGCGAUCAACUUUAAGAGUUGGUCCACAACUCAGGACAUAUCAUCAGAGUGGGGCUAAAGCAGCCCGAUAUACGCAGCGAAGCAAAUCAGCGGUCCAACAGCCACAUGCAAGGCUGGGAACAGGCGUAACUCUUACCCGAUCAGCGAUCUCGUUCUCUAAAAAGCAACAAAUAAGCAAGAGUGAGUACUUACGUACCCAACAGCCCACCUUCCCCCAUGGAAUGGAGAAAUCAGAUAUAAUGCAUGGAGUAUGUGGAGCUCAUGAUAUUUUGCAGAAAGAGCAAUAUUUGAUGCAGGGUUAUUUUGUAAAACAUUUUAUAUUUUUCAAAGCACGUCCUCUCCCAAAGGAGCAGGAAGUUUUUCAAUAUAGAACAAAAUCCCCUGGACUAAACCAUCCAGGUAUCUCAGCAGUUUCCCACUGGUUUUCAUUUUCAAAAAUAGCUACUGGACUUCCCGUCCACCAUAGCUCACAGCUCAACCGUCAGAACUUUUAAAAACCACUUUUCAAAAGCAUUUUUGGAAAACAAAACACUAAUUGUCAAAUCCAUGCCAUAACUCAUUCAUAUCCGUGGACGCGGACUAUUUGAAUAGGUUUUUAACUCUGCGCAGAGGUGUACACUUUACCCACUAGUCCGGUUUCUGCAAUCUCACCGUCGUGAGAUCCAAAUGCCGAAACUCUCUCCUUCCUUGCACGUCCAUACCUUAGCGAUUAUACCAGAAGGAACAAGGCCACCGCCAUGUCCAAACCGGACAAAACAUUCCCCUUUCUUAUCCUCCCGGUGCUCACCAGCCGUCAUAACCCUGGGGUUCGGACCGUGCAAGUUCAGAUCAAGCGACUGCCCAUACAGUAUCGAGUGGUUAUACUUGAUAAGAGUAUAGGUAAGCAGUGAUGACAAACCGGUCCUCAGGCGAGAGGGACAAUCCUUCAUGCUCACACCUAACCUGGCUGAGCCAUCACCUUAGGCCCUCCCCUAAACCAGGGAGUCUCUGAUCAUCCCGCUCAAGGGUGAUAAGGGUGACAACCCUUCAUCAUAUCCAUUUUGAAAACAUUUUCUUUUGAAAACUCACACCUUUUCUCAAAUCAUUUGUAACAAAAAUAUCAAGGAGCAUAAAGAUUAAUUGCGGCAAAGUUCUAAGGCAGGGUGGCCAUAAUAACUUGUCUCUUAACAGAAAAAUCAUAUCAUGCAUAAAAUAACAGGCUGAGGGUUGUGGUUGAAAAGCAUAGGUAAUUUAUGCAUCAAAGGGAUCCAGUGAGCUUGCAGUGCUUAACCGGCGAAAGGGUGAGAGCUCGCGGAACUGGCUUCUGGCUCCACCGUUUGCCGUAGGCUUACAGAUCUGGCCUUCACGAGACAGCACAAACGCUCCAAUAACUAUGCAGCAUGAACAAGAAAACAUACAAACCAAUAAUUAUAUCAACAAAUAUUUAGUAUAGUGGUCAGAAUGGCAAUAUAUGGAUGGGUAGAGUCUUGAGCAGAAUCUAUGUCAUAUGGUGUUGUGAUAUUACUCGUGGUGGAGUGGAGGUGCUUACCAGGAGGGUGGAUUGGAGGCGAAGCGACACUGUGCGUGCAGCCGACAGAGCGGAGUAACUGAGUGGGUGGGGUGUUUGCCUUGGUUGAGGGUGUUGAGUGUGUGGAGAGGGAGAGGGUAAGUGGGUCUAUUUAUAGCUGGGUGUAUAUGGUGUAGUACAGUAAAUUUCACUGUUGGUGAGAAUAGUGACGAAUGAAUCGUCUGAGUUAGUCUGAACAGAAAAAUUAUAGGGAGAAUAUGGGACAAGAGUAUUUUGAGAGUUUUCUAGAAUAUGAACCAUGCUUAAGGGAUGACAUGGUUGAAUAGGGAAUAAUUUGAUAAGAAUUUAGAAACAAGAAUUAUUGGAAUCUGAGUUUGGAAGCCUGGUUCGAAAGAAUCUCAAAGUUAAGCGUGCUCAACUUAGAGAAAUCUAGGAUGGGUGACCAGAUGGAAAGUUCUUACUAGAAGGAAAAUCAUAGUCACCGGAGUUUGUAUGACUGGAAUAUUGGUUUGGCAGGUCUUAGGUGAGCUGGACAACAUGAUGGAUGAGCAGUUGAAUAUUUGGGUGAUAGGAUGGGCGAUGAAUAGCAACGAUGAAUAGUAAGGAAGAAAUAGUAACAAUGAGCAGUAACGAAGAAAUAGUAACAAUGAAUAGUAACGAUGAAUAGUCCAUAUGAACGGACGAUGAACGAUGAAUAAUGACUAUGAACGAAUGACGAACGAUGAAUAGGGACUACGAACGAACGAUGAACGAUGAAUAGGGACUAUGAACGAACGAUGAAUAGGGACUAUGAACGAACGAUGAACGAUGAAUAUUGACUAUGAACGAACGGACGAACGAUCGAAUGAUCGAACGAAAGAUCGGAAUUUCGGCAGCAUAACGGCUGAACAAAGAUUAUUUGGAUGAACAAACGGAUGAACGAUCGAUCGAACAACCGAACGAACCAUGAACGAUCAGACGAACGAACGAACAAACUAAGAACAGGUGGACGAACGAUCGAACGAUCCUUGUGCUUGUGUGGGAGUGGGAAUGGGGGGAGAGUUGCCAUGAAAUGGCUUGGUAUGGCUUGAGGGGAGGCCCUUGCCCCUCUAUUUAUAGGCUAGGUGGGGGAUGAGGGGGAGGAGGCGAGGAUUAGUGGGAGGAUGCGAGGAUUAGUGGGAGAUAAGCAUGUAUUAGGCAUGUAUAAGUGAAAUUAGCUUGUAGAGCUCACAGUAUGGCACCGGAGGCGUACGUAUACGUAUGAGCAUGAGGAUAAUUAUGAAGAAAAUAUUUGCAGGGACUGUAAAAAUGAUUCUGAAGGUAUUUCUCAGGAGGAAAAUAUUUGGAGAAUUUUUGGUGGAAUAUUUGGCAGUAUUUCUGGAAAGAAUUUGAGGGGGAUCACUCGGGAAAUAUUUGUAGGAUAUUUUGAGGAGGAUUUUGGAGAGAAUAUAGACCACUAUUUUUUAUUUGUUGAUAUCAACUCGCAAACAAACAUUUUGAAAUGAAAUUUAAAAUUCAUUUUGAAUUUAGAGCAAGUUUGAGAAAUUUUAAGAUUUGAAUUUUUGGGUGCUACAUAUAAUUAAUUGAGUUCUCGCAAUUCUUGAUUAUAUAGAUUAUGCGGAAGUCAAUCCAAUGGAGGAAGAAUUAUGCCUUGUAGAUAGUGGUACCACCAACUCUAUUCUUCGCGAAACAAAAUAUUUCCAAACUCUCACAAGGAGGCCAUGAAAUGUUUUGGCAAUCGCUGGGCGCGAUGCGAAAAUAGUUGGCUCUGAACGAGCGACUAUUACACUCCCUAUGGGUACACAAGUCACUAUCGAGUAUGCUUUAUUGUACCCCGAUUCAACUCGUACCCUUCUGAGUUUUCGAUAUAUUCAGAAAAGUGGUUUACAUAUUUCUACUCAUACAGAAAAUAAUGAGGAAUUUCUCGUCAUUUCCAAACCUUCUGAAUAUGGCGCUAACAUUCUGGAAAUAAUACCUUCACUACCAUCCGGAUUGUACUACACAUACAUAAAACUAGUACCUCAUGUUACGUACAACGUGAUUUUUCAGAAUGUCGAUUCAUUCAAGUCCUGACAUGCACGUCUUGGUCACCCUGGAAUAGAGAUGAUGCAGAAAAUCACAGGUAAUUGCAUUGUUCAUGAUUUAAAGUGUGCUAAAUUCCCUAAACCAUUUGAUUUUAUAUGUACAUCAUGUGCAACGGGAAAGCUAAUCUUAAGACCAUCUCCUCUUGAGAUUCAUGCUGAACCACUCAAGUUCCUUGAACGAAUUCAAGGUGACAUUUGUGGACCCAUACAACCAUUAUCUGGACCGUUUAGAUAAUUCAUGGUAUUAAUAGACGCAUCUACACGAUGGUCACAUGUGUGCCUUCUGUCUACACGUAACCAUGCUUUUGCUAAAAUCAUGACGCAAGUCAUUCGAUUGAAAGCACAUUAUCCUGAACAUCAAAUCCAGAAAAUCCGCCUAGAUAAUGCGACUGAAUUCUCUUCUAAAGCAUUCAAUGAUUAUAGUAUGGCCCAUGGAAUACACAUUGAACAUUAUGUGCCUUAUGUACAUACUCAAAAUGGUUUAGCUAAAUCUCUUAUUAAGAGGAUCAAACUCAUCGCAAGACCUUUACUUCAUGAAUGCAAUUUACCUACUUCUUGUUGGGGUCAUGCCGUUUUACACGCUACUGAUCUUAUUCAACUUCGCCCAACUGCAUAUCAUACCACAUCCCCGUUGCACCUAGUACGAGGAAAUCCUCCAAAUAUAUCCCAUCAACGGAAAUUUGGAUGUGUGGGUUACACCCCUGUAUCACCGCCUCAGCGAACAGCUAUGGGACCUCAUAGGAAAUUAGGCAUCUAUGUGGGAUAUCAAUCCCCAUCGAUCAUCAAAUACCUAGAGCCCCUUACAGGGGAUUUGUACACAGCUCGUUUCGCUGAUUGCAUCUAACGAGGACCAUUCUCGACAUUAGGGGGAGAAUUCAAGUAUCCUAAUGAACGCCAGGAAAUCAAUUGGGAUGACAAAUCCAUCCUGACCACAGAUCCUCGAACCCAGGAAUCUAAACUUGAAGUUCAGAAAAUUAUAGAAUUGCAACAUUUUGCUAAUAAUCUGCCUGAUGCAUUUACUGACUAUAAUGGUGUCACAAAAUCCUUGAAUCCUGCUGUUAAUGCGCCUAGUCGAGUGGAGGUACCAAGAAAAACCAUUCAACCAUCUUCUCAACCGAAGAGGGGGAGGGCUGCUAAGCAGGAUAAUGCUUCUACUAAGCGUCAAAGGAAAGAGAGGAACAUACAAUCCUCCAAAUCAGUAAAUGAAAGUCAACCACCAGUUGAUGGACAUCGAGUGGAUACUGUACAUCCACAAACCAACACUCAUGUGCACAAUUCAGAUGUUGUUGGUACAUCGGAACACCACGUAUCUACUCUUCAUGUGAAUCAAGAAGACUUUCAUGGGGUACAGGAGAUUUCCAUUAAUUAUACUAGUUCUGGAGAAUUGUAUGAUCGUAAAAAUACAGUCGUCAAUUCAUGUUUCUCAUAAAUCAUAGCUGGUAACCUUCUAUCUGACCUAGAUCCUAAAUCCAUGGCAGAGUGUCAACAACGCUCGGACUGGACCAAAUGGAAGGAAGCAAUUAACUCUGAAUUAUCCUCACUAGCAAAAAGAAAGGUAUUCACCUCUGUGAUACCUACACCUCCCAGAAUCCAUCCUGUUGGAUUCAAAUGGGUUUUCACACGGAAACAGAAUGAGAACAAUGAGGUUGUGAGAUAUAAAGUGAGAUUAGUUGCUCAAGGGUUUACCCAAAGACCAGACAUUGACUACAAUGAGACAUAUUCUCCUGUUAUGAAUGGAAUAACCUUCCGGUAUUUAAUUUCAUUGGCAGUACAAAAACGUCUACUUCUGCAGUUGAUGGACGUUGUGACCGCAUAUCUUUAUGGGUCACUAGAUUCGGACAUAUACAUGAAAGUUCCAGAUGGAAUACCUGUACCCAAUAAUGGCAAAAAUCAUAACAUGUUUUGUGUUAAACUCAUCAAAUCGCUAUAUGGCUUAAAACGGUCAGGGAGAAUGUGGUACAACCAACUGAAGGAAUUCCUUAUGAAUAAGGGUUAUUCUAACAGUGAUGAUUGUCCAUGUGUCUUCAUAAAGAAAUCUUCUACACGUUUCUGCAUCAUAUUAGUAUAUGUGGAUGACUUGAACAUCAUCGGCCAUAAACGUGAUAUUGAUGAGGCGCACAAUCUUUUAAAGACGGAAUUUGAGAUGAAGGUUUUGGGUAAAACCAAAUUUUGCUUAGGUUUGCAACUUGAGCACCUUCCCACGGGCAUUCUCAUUCAUCAGUCUACUUAUGCCCAGAAAGGGAUAAGGAUCCUUUUCGACCACGAGAUGAAGGAGAAGAGAUUUUGGGUCCUGAGUACCCAUAUCUUAGUGCGAUUGGAACACUUAUGUAUCUAGCAAACAAUACAAGACUCGAUAUUGCUUUUGCGGUAAAUUUACUUGCUAGACAUAGUGCAUCCCCUACCAAACGUCAUUGGACUGCAAUAAAAAAUGUUCUUCGAUACCUUCAUGGCACGGCAGAUCUCAGUCUAUUCUACGAAAGAAAUCAAGAUCCUAGCCUCGUAGGGUACAUAGAUGUUGGUUAUCUUUCAGACCCCCACAAUGGAAGGUCUCAAACUGGGUUUGCAUUUCUAAAUGGUGGAACUGCUAUUUCUUGGAAGUCAUCCAAGAAAACUCUAGUAACAACAUCCACUAAUCACUCAUAGAUUAUUGCCUUGUAUGAAGCUUCACGUGAAUGUGGCUGGCUUCGAAGGGUGAUUAAUCACAUUCAAUCAUCAUGUGGGAUUCAUUCCAUUGAAUCACCCACCAUUAUCUAUGAAGAUAAUGCAGCUUGUGUUGCUCAGAUGCAACAAGGUUAUAUCAAGAGCGAUGUUACCAAACAUAUAUCUCCCAAGUUAUUCUAUCCUCAUCAACUUAUUGCUCCCAACCGUGGACUCCAAGGGACGUGCCCCUUGCACGUUCUCUUCAUGGUGUCGGGUGUGACCCCACGAAGGAACAGACGGCGCAUGGUCUGCAUGGCUCCAAGGGACGUGGCCCUAGCACGUUCGCACGUAUGCUUUCUCUGGUGUAUGGGCGAAGGGUCACAUCCUAUCAGACGCUUCUCUCUUCCGUUGUUCAAGGACAUGUAUAAUACAUAUGUAUUGAGCAAUAAAGAUUACACAUGGUUCUCAUUUUCAUUUUCACCAGUUUACUUUCACCAGUUUACUUUGACAAAGUUUACUAACAAGUAUGUGAAGGUAGGAACCAUAAGAAGACCAUCACUCGUCUAAGUGGUUUAUGGCAGCAUUUCGCUUGAAAUGAGGGAAGAAGUUAUUGAACCUGUUGUUGAGCCUGAGCCUGAGCCCGAGCCCGAGCCGCAUGACAACGAUGCACCAUGAAUAGGAAAAGCACAAAGACAUCAGUUCUGAUAGGAAGAUGAAAUGGAGGGCAGGGCACUGCUUAUAAUGUUCUAGAGGUAGUCAGAAUUUAGAAAUAAUGGAAAGCCUUGUACUUGUUACGUGGAUAAUAUUGUCUAAAUUUAAACCAACAAUAGAUCUGUACUCUGUAGUAGGAUUGAAUUGUCGGAUAUGUACAUGUCAUCAUUCUUCUAUUUUCGUGAAACGUGUCACUUCCUGAUCUCUUUACUCCGCAAAUGCGCAAGAACAAUAUGCAUACUAAAUACUUUGGCUGACACACCAUAUGCUCGUUCCUUGCUUUCGAUCAGCUCAGGAGUAACGCACCUAAUUAUAUAUAUGUUUAAGAGAUCCUGAAUAAUUAUUUUCGAAUGAUGAAAAGAGACUGCAUGGAAAUUUUCCUAUUACUAAGCUGACCUAUGUAAGUUUCUGCAUCACCAAGUAACAAAUAAAUCUAUCGCUUAUGCGCAUCGAUUUCUGCUUAGCUAGAGCCACAAGCUGAUGAACUACACAAUCUGGGAUUUCUCUGCCAGGAUUUUUUUGCCUGUAAGAUUUCGAAGCACUUCUUCGAGCUCAAUAUUAUUGCAAACCACCUUUUACUUACAGGUUUUAAGGGAGAAUAUACAUAACAGACAACUGCUUAAGGGGGAGUGUUAUGAAAGAUAAGCAGUUGCUUAUUGCUCCCAGCCGUGGACUCCAAGGGAUGUGCCCCUUGCAUGUUCUCUUCAUGGUGACGGGUGUGACCCCACAAAGGAACAGACAACACAUGGUCUGCAUGGCUUCAAGGGACGUGCCCCUAGCACGUUCGCACAUAUGCUUUCUCUGGUGUAUGGGCGAAGGGUCACAUCCUAUCGGACAUUUCAAUUUCUGGAAUAUUAUUUUGAGUAUUCAGAUCUAAAUCCAAAGUUCCGAUUUUUUUACUGUUUAUAGGCGCAAGCUUGUCGAGCUCAUUGACAAGCUUGAUGAAGGUACAAUAAAUUGGACAGAGUUUGCAAGUGAGGUGAAGAUGCACCAUGGAAACAGGCUUGGAGGUCCGUAUCAGAGGUUGUCUAGUCGAAGUCUGAGGCAUGAGGCGUAUUUUUAUGCAAAUCCUCUUCCAGGGUGCUUGUGCAGAAGAAACACAUAGGAUCAAGUGGCAUGAACCUUACAUACGAAUAGAUAGUUAUCAUACAUCGAGCUUUCCUCCAACUCAUUGGCAUACACCAAACAGUGAAAAUCCGAGUAGACUGACAGCAAAAGGACAUGUUUUUUUCUUCCUAUAAACAGAUAAAAUUUAUGUAGUUUUCCAUCUUACACGAGGAUACAGGAGGGAACACUCACUGAAAUGUGCAUUUUCAAGGGAUUGUUUAUUCAGGUUUAAAAAUAGAACAGGCAAAGAUAUUCAAAGAGGAUAUGUGUGGUGCCACAGAUUAUAGAAUUAGCAGAUUUGAUGAGUUUUUAGUGUAUGUUUGUAUUUACUCCAUAGUCCACAUGUAGAGCCUCUCAUGUGGGAGAUUCUUGUGGGAGCCUCUGUCACUUGGUUUGUCCUCCAGAUGCACAACCUUAAAUCUAAAAUUUAACUUUAUUCAUUUUAUUAUGCACAAUAAUCAUUAGUUGUAGCGGUAGUACUAUGGCCAGUUUCUCUUGUGAGGUGAGGUGUUUCUCUUGUAUUCAUAGGCUCAUCCCUUGACACCUCUAUGAUAUCAGCCUCUUUCCAUGCCGUGUUUAUCACCUCCUUUAUUUUAUCUCUGGAAGCCCACAAUGGCAAUGCCAAAUUGAGAUCGAAGAACACUUUGAUUCCAAAUUUCUUGGACAGCUCAAUGGCUCUGAAGAGCGUGUCAUGCAUUAAGGGGGUUUAACAGGACUUCUGAAUUGAAUUGAAACAUUCUAGCCUGUGUAAUUGCCACAUAGAUUAGAUCUGAAUAAAGAGGAAAAUGUUUUUUUGUUGCCAGCGUGUCAACCCGAACGGUGGAUUCUGCUAAAAAUGCUUACUUGAAACAGUUUGGAAGAUGAUCUCACCACGAUUGCGAAAGAUAUAGUGAUUGUGAAAUAUACUUGAUGGACUCGUUGUUGUUUUCCGGUUUCUUUUUUUAUCUCUCUGAUAUCAGUCUCACACCUCUAUAGUUCAAUUGGGGAUGGAAAGUUCAUAACGAGUAGUAGUUUUAAAGCAAUCUCUCACCAGGAUCAACUCGGGUGUUUGCAUCAGUAAUCCAGAAAUAUUUUAUCUUGAUAACGAGCUGAGGCUCAGCCUACCCACUCUCAUCAAUGGUGUGACUCAUCUUAAGAUUAUUCAUAAAACUCUCCAAUACAUUUUAAAAAAAUACCUCAGUAUUUAUUAUGCAAUGAAAAAAAUCUUCAGAUUAGUUCUUAAUGUUUGAAAUUAUCAUGCAAUUCCUAAUCCUAAGUUCCUAAAUUUACUAAUGCAAUUCCUAAUCCUAAGUUCCUAAAUUUACUUAUGCAAUUCCUUCCUAAGUUCCUAAAUUUACUCACGCAAUUCCUAAUCCUAAGUUUCUAAUUAACAUCAUAGCUAAUGCUGGUACGCAGACGCAGCAGCUCAUGCAACGAGGCCGACAUACUCGAGCUCCACGGAGCCUAACCAGAGCUUCCCCUUCAUCUCCGCCACGUCGCUCAGCGUGACGCCCUUGGCCGCCGUGAGCUCCUCGACUUCCGCCCCGUCAGCGUUCAGGCGGACGCCCACCAGGUGCUUCACGGGAGCCGUCGCCGGCGUCGCGUCCAGCCGCUGCUUCUCCUGGUUCAGCGCCACCCAGUAGCCACCAUUGCCGUCCCGCCUCACGUUGUCGGGGUACCCCGGCAGGUCGGCCAGCAGGUCGUACUGCCCCGCCCUGGCGCCGCUGAGAAAGUACCUGAACGCCUGGCAGGGCACGGUGUGCGCGACCACGACGUGUGCCCCGUCGCGGCGGACCGCCACGCCGUUCGGGUACGGCAGGCCGGCCUUCAGCACGGCGACGCUCUUGGUCCGCGCGUCGUACCUGAGGAGCCGGCCCGUCGCGUCCGCGUUCAUCAUGAUCUCGGUGUUAAACUUCCUGGGAUACGUCGCGCUGGAGUCGGUGAAGUAGACGUCUCCGGUGGACUGGUCGACGUCGAGACCGUUGAUGAAGUGGAACGGGGCGCCGCCCGCGCCGGUCGCGAGCACCUCGGCCUCGCCGCCGCCCGGACCGACCCUCAUGAGCCCCAGGUAGGCGUCGGCGAUGUAGAGGUCGCCGGUCUUGGUGUGGAACUGGAGGCCCAGCGGGCGGCCGCACAUGCUCUCGGUCUCCUCCGACGGCACCACUCCCGCCGUGCACAGGGGUAUCUUGCGGUAGUUUACGCUGUGCGCGAACGUAGUCCAGCCGACGGUUGUGCCGCCCCACUUGAGGACGCGGCCGUCCGAGACACCGGCGUAGGGCCCCUCGCCCUUGCCGUCGAAGGCGAGGCUCUCGGCGCCGCGGAGGCCGCUUGGUAAAGGAAGCUGGAAGCUCCAGCGCGUGUCGGUGGUCUUGAUCUGUGCGGCGGCACACGGCCGGGCGAAAAGGGCUAGGGCUAGCACGACCAAGGCGAGGAGCCACGUCGCUAGAUUGCUCCGACGCCCCAUGCUGCUAGCUAUAUCUUCCUCGCGAUCUUUCUAAUGUGCGAGAUGGAACCUGCAGCCCCUACCUUUGGAUGGAGAACAACCCUCCAUAUGGCAUUACAUAUACUAGAUCAGGGGGCGUCCUUUGGGACGCCCUAUCCAAUACAAAGGAAACAAAACAGAAAAUGGUAAGGAUUUGAUAUUAGUGCUUGAAAGCUUGAGUGCAAAACAGACAGAGGAAUAAAGCAGCGAUUAAAGUUGCAGUUGUUCUCUAAAUUAUUAUUAUUAGAAUGUCAUUCAAUUCCAAUAUUCCAUGUGUCAUGUUCCUUCCACCAAAAAGAAAUUGGCAUAUGAAUUCAUUGUAUUUCACAACCAUUUAACUACAAUAAGUGAAUCACUGCAAUUAAUUUGUGACUUAAUGGUUGGGUCACCUUACUAUGAAGCAAUAGCUUGACCUCUCUCAUUGCGUUGUAAAAGAAUCCUUCAUUGGCAAAAUCACUGUUGGAGGAUGAUUUUUUUUCUUAGUUCAUAGUUGCAUUUAAGCACUAAGUCUGAUGUGCUGUCGAGAGAAUGCUAUGACAACACUUAGCUUGCACUUUGAAUCAAACAAAACUGAUAUUGAGGGAUUACAUGGUCUUCUGGGUUUAGCUGCAAGUUCAUGACAACUAUUUAUAAAGAAAACUGAACUAAUGCCAUAUAAAUGCAUUUUAAAUCUAUACAAUGCUAGUAACAUACAACUUUUUUUGCUAGCUUCAAGACCGUUUGGAUCUCUCAUUAAAUCAUGCAGUGCCUAGUUGUCAUGUUAUUAUUUUCACUAUUGCAUUCUUAUGUUUAGUAAUUCUAUCGGAGCCUCUACUGUAUGUGUGAAGGUGGAAACCUGAGGAAGCUUUUGUAUGAACACUAUCAAACUAAUAGGGGCAGAGGUAUCACGCAACAGAGUAACAAUCUGCAGUAACAAAUAGCACAAAGAAUAUUAUCCUCUUCUACUAAAGGCAGAACAUGAUGGACUCAUGAAUAUUGAUCACCAUCCCAAACUUGUAAGUAAAACUGCACAGGGACAAGUCUGUGAUUGCCAUGAACAGAAUUGUCCUUGGCAGCAUGGAGUCUGGCAAUCACAGACGGAAGGGUUGCAGAAAACCCAGGAACGUGACCAAAUAUCCAGAUUAACUCCUUUUCAAUAAGAUACAAGGCUGAUUGUUGCACAGGGACACGAUAAAUAGUGUCUGCGAUAGAAGGAAAAAUGAUGCAUGUUAGACCACUAUUGGAGUCAAAACCACCUGACAAAAAACAAAAAGACUCAAAAAUUCAGGAAGUCAGGUUUGUUACAACCCAAUCUAAUCUAAUCUACUAUUUCUACGGUCCUAUCACGACUACUCGGACUUUUAGUUCAGGAACAAACGACUUUACAACUUUAUAGCUAAAUAUAAGUUGCUCAUAUUUUGUUUGUCCAUUUAAAUUGAGUUGAAAUUCAAAACCCAAAUUGUAAUUUGAAGUUUCAAAAUAAAAUAGGAAAAUAAAAAGCAAGCAGGAAAUAAAAUGAAAAGAAGAAGAAUAAACUUACCUGUUACUAGUUACUACCUGGGUCAGUUCUAUCGUCGGCCCAUUAACCACUCACGCCUGCACAACCGAUCUCGUCUCCCUCGGGUGUUAGCACCGGUGCAACCGAUACAGGGACCCCACUGGUCGGGCUCUCAGUCGCACGGAUGUCUCUAAUCAGUUACUGGAGGCUGGGCCAGCUCGCUCAGUAACGGAAAGCCUCGUACUUGUUGCGUGGAUAUUCAGAAAGAAUAGUGUCUAAAUUUAAACCAAUAGUAGAUGUGUACUCUGUAGUAGGAUUGAAUUGUCGGAUAUGUACAUUUCAUCAUUCUUCUAUUUUCGUGAAACAUGUCACUUCCUAAUCUCUUUGCUAUGCAAAUGCGCAAGAACACUCUGCAUACUAAAUACUUUGGCUGACACACCAUGUGCUCGUUCCUUGCUUUCGAUCAGCGCAGGAGUAACACACCUAAUUAUAUAUAUGUUUAAGAGAUCCUGAAUAAUUAUUUUCGAACAAUGAAAAGAGACUGCAUGGAAAUUUUACUAUUAAUAAGCUGACCUUUGUAAGGUUCUGCAUCACCAAGUAACAAAUACAUCUAUCGCUCACGCGCAGCGAUUUCUGCUUGGCUAGAGCCACGAGCUGAUGUGAACUACGCAAUCUGGGAUUUCUCUGCCACAAUUUUUUCGCCUGUCAGAUUUUGAAGCACUUCUUUGAGCUCAAUAUGUAUCGAGUCUUACAGAACAGGUACAAAUUUGAGUUCGCCAGCCUGUAGGCAAGGCGACCUUGACCCCUUUGGAUGUCAGGAGUUAUUCCAGUUAAAUGCUUAUUCUCAUAUGCUUCAACGCACACAUACUCACAUGUAUAAUUUAUAAGCUUCUAUGAACAUGCACAUGCAUGAUCAACAUCUUCGAAAACUGGGUCGAUAAUUUUUUAAGAUGGAAUUAAUGAAGUUAUUAUAGACGUCUCGCUGUCGAUAAUAGUAUCGUUUAUCACUAUAAGCGUAAAAACCGUUAGAUCAUGAUAUAUUCGCUUAUAGAGUGAAUUGAAUUUUCGGAGGGUCAGAUUAGGAUGUACCGGCUCUUUCGCUGCUGCGUGCUGCCACUUUUGGUUGUUCACGCUCUCACGCAACACAUGAUUAGGAAAGGCCCCUCUCUACGACCCACGUAUCAACAACAAGCUCUACCAUAUGCAUGACAUUUGUGCUAUUUAGAACCACACCGCUGGCUCACAUGAGAAGACACCAGCUUAAAAAUCUAUUCCUCAGUGCCACACUCGCCGAGCAGCUAGCGUCUGCUUGUAACCCGAGCGGGGGCAAUAAAGUGGUGUGGAUGCCAAUUGUGGCGCUUGGACCCGUUCCUGGUACUGCAAUCUGCGGCCCGCCCGUUCCAAGUUGGUAGUUGGGUUGUGACCGCUUUGGCGAAGGCCAUGGCGUCCCAACCUCUAGAGCGACGGGCAAUGCGUGAGGCUGGUUUCACAGAGCAGCGAAUACCAUCCGCUUCCAACGGUGGAAGGAUAACGGGCCACUGCACUCCAGGCCCACCUAGGCUCAAGCACUCUUUCUGGCAGACCACCAUUUUUGUUUUUUGGCUUGUCUUGCACACCUACUCGUUUGCCACUGCAGCCCAUUUGUCCAACCUGCAGCGUCUAGCAACAACCAUCAUCAAUCGAUUAUGUAGCCGAUUUGAACCUCUAGGCACUGGUCCUCUGGACGUUCGAUACAUUCCACAUGUAACAUGUUCUUGCCAUUUUGUACAUACUAGUGUGUUCUGGUUGAGUUUACAGUGUCUGCAGUAAGCCAAUUCUUUUGAAUCAAAAGCCAUUAAACGCUCUAGAAGAUGAAGAGCCAAAGGAUAGGAACUUGUAAAGCUCAAGUAUCUACUGUCCUCAUUUUGAAUCUACAGAUAUCUUAGACAACAUCAUGGGGCAGAUGGGGAGGGAAACACACCUAACAACAUUGCUUGGCUCCAUGCCCACACAUCGACAACAUGGCACGAGUGGGGAAGAAACCGGGGCUCUGGUAUGGUCAUGCGUUGCUAAGGGGGUAGGUAUUUUAGCGUCAUAGUGUACCAACCUGCCUGGUAGCUCGCAUUGCUCAUGGCGGCUGUCGCGGGCCUCCACGUUUGUUGCCCCGGUAUGGGAGGAUGGGUGAAGGCGGCACACAGAGAGGUAUGUGAUGGGCAGAAUGGCGCUGAGGACGUCGCACGUGGUCCCCUCGAAUCCCUCGGACGGACGACAACAUUUGAGGAGAGCAAGUGAGGUGGGGCCUGGGGGGUGGCGGGUGACGACGUUUGAGCGGCGUGGAGAUGGAAGCCGCUUACCUGGACUGCGGGAUCACGAUUCAAAAGCGCUGGCGGCUGUCGCUAGAGCCGGGGGAGGGGGGAGGGGGCAGGACACGACGCCAGGAGCCCCUCACAGAGCGUGGGCUAGAGGAAGAGAGACAGAGGAUGAAGAGAGAAAGCGAGGGCAAGCGAGGAGAGCAGCCUGGAAAUCUCUAAAGGUGAUAAAAACCACGGGUGCACGGGAGAGAAUGCGGGGAAAAUGAACCAACGAUCCACAAUCGAACGACUAAGAAUUUUUUGGGUGACGUAGAUGGGCUCAUAGGCGUCGUUUCCAUCAGGCUUUAAUAAUAAGGAAAUACAACCGAACAAGUUGGUUACGAUCAGGGACCGACCAUUACAAUCGUAGGCAUCUCCUCUUGGCUAUAUAACCUGAGCACCCCCUCCUCAUCCAUCUUGUGCCAACGCCAAGGAGUCAAAUGUCGCAAUGACCCAAGGAGUUGAGAGUGCCACCGUGAACCGAGUGCCGAACGAGAGGGAGAGAAGGUCCACGCCGCAGUUUCGGAUCUACACUGUCUCUCGGGUGGUGUGCGUGGCUAGCCCAGACGGGAGGAGUGGUCGGAGAGCAAGAAGAGUCGUCACCAGAGUCACAAAUAGAGGUUCCUACUUUUCAUCCCUAACUUCCCUAACCUAGGUCAGUUCUACCGCCGGCCCAUUAACCUCUGAUGCCUGCACAACCGAUCUCACAUCCCUCGCGUGUUAGAACCGGUGCAACCAAUAGACAGGCCCCACUGGUUGGACUCUCAGUCGCGCGGAUGUCUCUAAUCAGUCACUGGAGGGUGGGCCAGCUCGCUCAGUAACGGCCUCACACGCAGCACGCGGGUCACAACCUAUCGGACGCUUCUCUCUCCUGUUGUUCAAGGACAUGUAUAAAUACAUAUGUAUUGAGCUAUAAAGAUUACACACAGUUCACAUUUUCACUUUCACCAGUUUACUUUCACUAGUUUACUUUCACACGUCAUCGGCACUUGCUUUCACCAAAUAGGAGAAAAGGCCAAAGAGGACAACCAUGAAGAACAAGGCAAGAACACCGGCAACUAUCGGGUACGUGAUGAUCUACAAAGAUCUUUAUGUUGCCCUUCUUACCUUCAUCCUUCGAUUUUUGAAUAGUGGCCAUCGUCGCCGGCGAGGUGCUGACCCUAUCGCACGUCGCCUUCUAUAUGCUGCGCAUCGACAUGGAUGCCGCCAUGCCAAGAAGCGCCGCAAGAAGGACGCCCGGACCACACUUGACCCUGAGCAUGUCCGCCGGACCGGUGGUGAUCCUGGCGCUGGACCCAGCAACACUGCGGCAACUGCGGCAUCGCCGCAGCCAGCGCCACAUCAAGACCGAUGGGUGCGUCCUCCAUCGCCUUCGCUGGAGCGGGUUGCAGAGCGGUUGCGUGAGUCUGAGACCCAACAACCGCUCCGUCCGAUGCGGUACUGCCCCCUCCAUGGAUGGGGGUCGUGCCCAGCUCGCCAACCAUGAGCUUCUCCACCGGAUGCAAACACCCCCGCUACCGGUGUUUGAUCGAGCGGGCUGCUCGUCCAGGUCGCCUCUCCAGCGCGCCCUCAUGCCCGGACACGGCUCACUACACGAAAGUCGACCGGCCCUCGCUGUCGUCCCGUCGGUCAGAUCGCAUCAACGACUGUGGCAAACAUCAUUGUCGACGACUCCUCUUCUUCAUCUGACGAAGACAAGCAGAUGCACUUGAUCCUCGACGGAGUACCGGCGAGGCUGCCUAGCCCGACCCUCGACGCCGGCACCUCGGGAACAACGUCACCGCCGACACUCUUGAGCCCAAGUGGCAAUCGGGUCAUCCAUCGGCUGGAAAACCACCUCUCCCCUCGGCCUCGCGUACCGGGGUCAUGGUCUGCAACUGCAAGAUCCUCGGACGACAACAUUGGGCGCGAGCGCUCACGCUCGCCCCCUCGCCAUCUUCCCUUAUGUGCGGGCUCGAUGUCCGGCUUUGGCACGGCAAGGCCACGACGCGCUCGGCUCCUGCGUGGCGGACGCGGCCUCGCCCGGCCACGACGGCUUCAGGAGCAGGUCCAAGGUGGCUACCAGCUACCAGUUGGAGCCACGGGCGCUCGACGGCUGGCGGCGGCCCAUGGCGGCGGCUGUUGGCGGCGGUUAGGGUUUGACCCUUUAGAAAAACCAUGCACGCCUCAGGCUAGCCAGCAGGCCCAUGUGCCAGCACGCCUCAGCUUGGGCCAGCCAGCAGGCCCAUGUGCCAGCACGCCUACGCCAUAGUUAUCCAUUUUCAUUUUUAUUUUAGCUAUUUUCAGUUUUCUAAAUCCAAGCGAACUCUAGAUUGCUUUAGUAAAUGAUGUUAGAAAUUUGAGAUUCGAUUCUUAAAAUUCUUCAGUAGCAGCUUGUGUCAUGAAUUUUUCCAAUGUUUUAGUACUUGGAAAUGAUUUCAAUAAAUAUUUUCUUUAAAUAUGAAAUUUAUUGUCAUGUGUUCUAUUAUGCAUUCCUUAAAAUGCAAACUAAAAAACAUAUUCAUUUCAAUUAUACCCAUAGUGGUUUAAUACGAGCAGAAUUAAUUUUUUGAUAGAACAUAAAGAAUAAUCAAUAUUCAUCUCAAUUAAGUUAUUCAAAACUUAAUACUAGCAAGAAUAUGUAUUUAUUCGAUUCCGUACGCAAUUGAUGCUACCCAUAUAUUCAUCUUAUUAAGUUACUAAUAGUACAUAAUUUCAUCUGAAAAUUUUAUAUUAGAUAUACUACAUCAUUAACAUCAUAAUGAAAUUUUCGAUCUCUUGCAUCACUUUGCAAUUGAGACCUUAAACUAUGAUUCAUCUAUGCAAUAUCGCAUUGUAUUGCAUAUUAUUCAUCUCAAUUGGGUUUUCUCUUAAAUCCAAUACGAGCAAGAAUAGAUAUAUGUUUUGAACACCACACAUAUUACAACACACCCAUGAUGAUUUAUUAAUGAAAUUCUCUGGUUGCUUGUGUAGGAUCAUGGCCCGCGAGUUCAAAGAACUUGCUCUUGAUGGACACAACUAUCCUACUUGGGCGUUGGAUAUCAAGAUUAGCUUAGCCUCAAAGAAUAUUCUGAGUGCAUUACUCCCUCCCAACGAGAGGGUUGAACCACUACAUGAUGCUUAUAAGUACAACACUUUGUACAUUAUAAGACAUCACCUCCAUCCUGAUCUACUUCAAGCAGAAAAUCAUGAUGAGCUUAUGAUAAAAAAAUCAUAAGCAAUAUCGUGUUGGAGCUGCUCCUAUGCCAGAAAACCAUCCCAAGAACUCUGAUAAUUCAAAGAAGCGCAAACGCAACAAGCGUACGAAUAAGAAAAAUACAAAGGCUCCGAGGAAAGACACCCCCACUUCCAAGCAAGAGAAGUGUAAGAAGUGUGGAUGCUUGAACCAUCCUACUAAAAAGUGUUUCAUUCCUUGUCAUUUAGUGGCACUGUACCAGCAAUCUCUUAAGGGAAAAAAUGUUGAAGGACAGGGAUAUGAAGCUCACUUCACCACCCCACCUAACUUGAAGGAUGGAGCUGGUUGCUCAAGCAUGGCUACAAUGGAACCAAGCACGACCAACCCUCCGCUUCUGACCAACACCGAAUACAUGAACUUGGACAAUGCCAUCAUCGAAUAUGCUUCGAGUGAUGUGUUUGGAUACCUUUACUAGGAUCCUCAUGCUUCUACCAGAUAUCAUCUAUUUGUAAGUCUAUGAGUGUGUGCAACAAGUGUGUUGUAAUAAGUACCUAGACCUUGGAAUUUGUGUGUAUAUUCCAUACUCUACUGUAUAAUUAUGUAUGUACUUAUAUGUAUAAUGAAGUGUCCCAAUCCUCUGGGACUCAAAUGCGAUACAAUUACUAGUCCCAGGAGGCUAGUAAACACAUUUAUAUAUCAGAUGAUUCCAGAUCUGCUUAAACAAGACAAACCUAUAAAGGUGGCGAUCAACUUUAAGAGUUGGUCCACAACUCGGGACAUAUCAUCAGAGUGGGGCUAAAGCAGCCCGAUAUACGCAGCGAAGCAAAUCAGCGGUCCAACAGCCACAUGCAAGGCUGGGAACAGGCGUAACUCUUACCCGAUCAGCGAUCUCGUUCUCUGAAAAACAACAAAUAAGCAAGAGUGAGUACUUACGUACCCAACAGCCCACCUUCCCCCAUGGAAUGGAGAAAUCAGAUAUAAUGCAUGGAGUAUGUGGAGCUCAGGAUAUUUUGCAGAAAGAGCAAUAUUUGAUGCAGGGUUAUUUUGUAAAACAUUUUAUAUUUUUUAAAAGCACGUCCUCUCCCAAAGGAGCAGGAAGUUUUUCAAUAUAGAACAAAAUCCCCUGGACUAAACCAUCCAGGUAUCUCAGCAGUUUCCCACUGGUUUUCAUUUUCAAAAAUAGCUACUGGACUUCCCGUCCACCAUAGCUCACGGCUCAACCGUCGGAACUUUUAAAAACCACUUUUCAAAAGCAUUUUUGGAAAACAAAACACUAAUUGUCAAAUCCAUGCCAUAACUCAUUCAUAUCUGUGGACGCGGACUAUUUGAAUAGGUUUUUAACUCUGCGCAGAGGUGUACACUUUACCCACUAGUCCGGUUUCUGCAAUCUCACCGUUGUGAGAUCCAAAUGCCGAAACUCUCUCCUUCCUUGCACGUCCAUACCUUAGCGAUUAUACCAGAAGGAACAAGGCCACCGCCAUGUCCAAACCGGACAAAACAUUCCCCUUUCUUAUCCUCCCGGUGCUCCCCAGCCGUCAUAACCCUGGGGUUCGGACCGUGCAAGUUCAGAUCAAGCGACUGCCCAUACAGUAUCGAGUGGUUAUACUUGAUAAGAGUAUAGGUAAGCAGUGAUGACAAACCGGUCCUCAGGCGAGAGGGACAAUCCUUCAUGCUCACACCUAACCUGGCUGUGCCAUCACCUUAGGCCCUCCCCUAAACCAGGGAGUCUCUGAUCAUCCCGCUCAAGGGUGAUAAGGGUGACAAACCUUCAUCAUAUCCAUUUUGAAAAACAUUUUCUUUUGAAAACUCACACCUUUUCUCAAAUCAUUUGUAACAAAAAUAUCAAGGAGUAUAAAGAUUAAUUGCGGCAAAGUUCUAAGGCAGGGUGGCCAUAAUAACUUGUCUCUUAACAGCAAAAUCAUAUCAUGCAUAAAAUAACAGGCUGAGGGUUGUGGUUGAAAAGCAUAGGUAAUUUAUGCAUCAAAGGGAUCCAGUGAGCUUGCAGUGCUUAACCGGCGAAAGGGUGAGAGCUCGCGGAACUGGCUUCUGGCUCCACCGUUUGUCGUAGGCUUACAGAUCUGGCCUUCACGAGACAGCACAAACGCUCCAAUAACUAUGCAGCAUGAACAAGAAAACAUACAAACCAACAAUUAUAACAACAAAUAUUUAGUAUAGUGGUCAGAAUGGCAAUAUAUGGAUGGGUAGAGUCUUGAGCAGAAUCUAUGUCAUGUGGUGUUGUGAUAUUACUGGUGGUGGAGUGGAGGUGCUUACCAGGAGGGUGGAUUGGAGGCAAAGCGACACUAUGCGUGCAGCCGGCAGAGCGGAGUAACUGAGUGGGUGGGGUGUUUGCCUUGGUUGAGGGUGUUGAGUGUGUGGAGAGGGAGAGGGUAAGUAGGUCUAUUUAUAGCUGGGUGUAUAUGGUGUAGUACAGUAAAUUUCACUGUUGGUGAGAAUAGUGACGAAUGAAUCGUCUGAGUUAGUCUGAACAGAAAAAUUAUAGGGAGAAUAUGGGACAAGAGUAUUUUGAGAGUUUUCUAGAAUAUGAACCAUGCUUCAGGGAUGACAUGGUUGGAUAGGGAAUAAUUUGAUAAGAAUUUAGAAACAAGAAUUAUUGGAAUCUGAGUUUGGAAUCCUGGUUCGAAAGAAUCUCAAAGUUAAGCGUGCUCAACUUAGAGAAAUCUAGGAUGGGUGACCAGAUGGAAAGUUCUUAAUAGAAGGAAAAUCAUAGUCACCGGAGUUUGUAUGACUGGAAUAUUGGUUUGGCAGGUCUUAGGUGAGCUGGACAACAUGAUGGAUGAGCAGUUGAAUAUUUGGGUGAUAGGAUGGGCGAUGAAUAGUAACGAUGAAUAGUAAGGAAGAAAUAGUAACAAUGAGCAGUAACGAAGAAAUAGUAACAAUGAAUAGUAACGAUGAAUAGUCCAUAUGAACAGACGAUGAACGAUGAAUAGUGACUAUGAACGAAUGACGAACGAUGAAUAGGGACUACGAACGAACGAUGAACGAUGAAUAGGGACUAUGAACGAACGGACGAAUGAUCGAAUGAUCGGACGAACGAACGAUCGGAAUUUCGGCAGCAUAACGGCUGAACAAAGAUUAUUUGGAUGAACGAACGGAUGAACGAUCGAUCGAACAAACGAACGAACCAUGAACGAUCGGACGAACGAACGAACAAACUAAGAACAGGUGGACGAACGAUCGAACGAUCCUUGUGCUUGUGUGGGAGUGGGAAUGGGGGGAGAGUUGCCAUGAAAUGGCUUGGUAUGGCUUGAGGGGAGGCCCUUGCCCCUCUAUUUAUAUGCUAGGUGGGGGAUGAGGGGGAGGAGGCGAGGAUUAGUGGGAGGAUGCGAGGAUUAGUGGGAGAUAAGCAUGUAUUAGGCAUGUAUAAGUGAAAUUAGCUUGUAGAGCUCACCGUAUGGCACCGGAGGCGUACGUAUACGUAUGAGCAUGAGGAAAAUUAUGAAAAAAAUAUUUGCAGGGACUGUAAAAAUGAUUCUGAAGGUAUUUCUCAGGAGGAAAAUAUUUGAAGAAUUUUCGGUGGAAUAUUUGGCAGUAUUUCUGGAAAGAAUUUGAGGGGGAUCACUCGGGAAAUAUUUGUAGGAUAUUUUGAGGAGGAUUUUGGAGAGAAUAUAGACCACUAUUUUUUAUUUGUUGAUAUCAACUCGCAAACAAACAUUUUGAAAUGAAAUUUAAAAUUCAUUUUGAAUUUAGAGCAAGUUUGAGAAAUUUUAAGAUUUGAAUUUUUGGGUGCUACAUAUAAUUAAUUGAGUUCUCGCAAUUCUUGAUUAUAUAGAUUAUGCGGAAGUCAAUCCAAUGGAGGAAGAAUUAUGCCUUGUAGAUAGUGGUACCACCAACUCUAUUCUUCGCGAAACAAAAUAUUUCCAAACUCUCACAAGGAGGCCAUGAAAUGUUUUGGCAAUCGCUGGGCGCGAUGCGAAAAUAGUUGGCUCUGAACGAGCGACUAUUACACUCCCUAUGGGUACACAAGUCACUAUCGAGUAUGCUUUAUUGUACCCCGAUUCAACUCGUACCCUUCUGAGUUUUCGAUAUAUUCAGAAAAGUGGUUUACAUAUUUCUACUCAUACAGAAAAUAAUGAGGAAUUUCUCGUCAUUUCCAAACCUUCUGAAUAUGGCGCUAACAUUCUGGAAAGAAUACCUUCACUACCAUCCGGAUUGUACUACACAUACAUAAAACUAGUACCUCAUGUUACGUACAACGUGAUUUUUCAGAAUAUCGAUUCAUUCAAGUCCUGACAUGCACGUCUUGGUCACCCUGGAAUAGAGAUGAUGCAGAAAAUCACAGGUAAUUGCAUUGUUCAUGAUUUAAAGUGUGCUAAAUUCCCUAAACCAUUUGAUUUUAUAUGUACAUCAUGUGCAACGGGAAAGCUAAUCUUAAGACCAUCUCCUCUUGAGAUUCAUGCUGAACCACUCAAGUUCCUUGAACGAAUUCAAGGUGACAUUUGUGGACCCAUACAACCAUUAUCUGGACCGUUUAGAUACUUCAUGGUAUUAAUAGACACAUCUACACGAUGGUCACAUGUGUGCCUUCUGUCUACACGUAACCAUGCUUUUGCUAAAAUCAUGACGCAAGUCAUUCGAUUGAAAGCACAUUAUCCUGAACAUCAAAUCCAGAAAAUCCACCUAGAUAAUGCGGCUGAAUUCUCUUCUAAAGCAUUCAAUGAUUAUAGUAUGGCCCAGGGAAUACACAUUAAACAUUAUGUGCCUUAUGUACAUACUCAAAAUGGUUUAGCUAAAUCUCUUAUUAAGAGGAUCAAACUCAUCGCAAGACCUUUACUUCAUGAAUGCAAUUUACCUACUUCUUGUUGGGGUCAUGCCGUUUUACACGCUGCUGAUCUUAUUCAACUUCGCCCAACUGCAUAUCAUACCACAUCCCUGUUGCACCUAGUACGAGGAAAUCCUCCAAAUAUAUCCCAUCAACGGAAAUUUGGAUGUGUGGGUUACACCCCUGUAUCACCACCUCAGCGAACAGCUAUGGGACCUCAUAGGAAAUUAGGCAUCUAUGUGGGAUAUCAAUCCCCAUCGAUCAUCAAAUACCUAGAGCCCCUUACAGGGGAUUUGUACACAGCUCGUUUCGCUGAUUGCAUCUAACGAGGACCAUUCUCGGCAUUAGGGGGAGAAUUCAAGUAUACUAAUGAACGCCAGGAAAUCAAUUGGGAUGACAAAUCCAUCCUGUCCACAGAUCCUCGAACCCAGGAAUCUAAACUUGAAGUUCAGAAAAUUAUAGAAUUGCAACAUUUUGCUAGUAAUCUGCCUGAUGCAUUUACUGACUAUAAUGGUGUCACAAAAUCCUUGAAUCCUGCUGUUAAUGCGCCUAGUCGAGUGGAGGUACCAAGAAAAACCAUUCAACCAUCUUCUCAACCGAAGAGGGGGAGGGCUGCUAAGCAGGAUAAUGCUUCUACUAAGCGUCAAAGGAAAGAGAGGAACAUACAAUCCUCCAAAUCAGUAAAUGAAAGUCAACCACCAGUUGAUGGACAUCGAGUGGAUACUGUACAUCCACAAACCAGCACUCAUGUGCACAAUUCAGAUGUUGCUGGUACAUCGGAACACCACGUAUCUACUCUUCAUGUGAAUCAAGAAGACUUUCAUGGGGUACAAGAGAUUUCCAUUAAUUAUACUAGUUCUGGAGAAUUGUAUGAUCGUAAAAAUACAGUCGUCAAUUCAUGUUUCUCAUAAAUCAUAGCUGGUAACCUUCUAUCUGACCUAGAUCCUAAAUCCAUGGCAGAGUGUCAACAACGCUCGGACUGGACCAAAUGGAAGGAAGCAAUUAACUCUGAAUUAUCCUCACUAUCAAAAAGAAAGGUAUUCACCUCUGUGAUACCUACACCUCCCAGAAUCCAUCCUGUUGGAUUCAAAUGGGUUUUCACACGGAAACAGAAUGAGAACAAUGAGGUUGUGAGAUAUAAAGUGAGAUUAGUUGCUCAAGGGUUUACCCAAAGACCAGACAUUGACUACAAUGAGACAUAUUCUCCUGUUAUCAAUGGAAUAACCUUCCGGUAUUUAAUUUCAUUGGCAGUACAAAAACGUCUACUUCUGCAGUUGAUGGACGUUGUGACCGCAUAUCUUUAUGGGUCACUAGAUUCGGACAUAUACAUGAAAGUUCCAGAUGGAAUACCUGUACCGAAUAAUGGCAAAAAUCGUAACAUGUUUUGUGUUAAACUCAUCAAAUCCCUAUAUGGCUUAAAACGGUCAGGGAGAAUGUGGUACAACCAACUGAAGGAAUUCCUUAUGAAUAAGGGUUAUUCUAACAGUGAUGGUUGUCCAUGUGUCUUCAUAAAGAAAUCUUCUACACGUUUCUGCAUCAUAUCAGUAUAUGUGGAUGACUUGAACAUCAUCGGCCAUAAACGUGAUAUUGAUGAGGCACACAAUCUUUUAAAGACGGAAUUUGAGAUGAAGGUUUUGGGUAAAACCAAAUUUUGCUUAGGUUUGCAACUUGAGCACCUUCCCACGGGCAUUCUCAUUCAUCAGUCUACUUAUGCCCAGAAAGGGAUAAGGAUCCUUUUCGACCAUGAGAUGAAGGAGAAGAGAUUUUGGGUCCUGAGUACCCAUAUCUUAGUGCGAUUGGAACACUUAUGUAUCUAGCAAACAAUACAAGACUCGAUAUUGCUUUUGCGGUAAAUUUACUUGCUAGACAUAGUGCAUCCCCUACCAAACGUCAUUGGACUGGAAUAAAAAUUGUUCUUCGAUACCUUCAUGGCACGGCAGAUCUCAGUCUAUUCUACGGAAGAAAUCAAGAUCCUAGCCUCGUAGGGUACAUAGAUGUUGGUUAUCUUUCAGACCCCCACAAUGGAAGGUCUCAAACUGGGUUUGCAUUUCUAAAUGGUGGAACUGCUAUUUCUUGGAAGUCAUCCAAGAAAACUCUAGUAACAACAUCCACUAAUCACUCAUAGAUUAUUGCCUUGUAUGAAGCUUCACGUGAAUGUGGCUGGCUUCGAAGGGUGAUUAAUCACAUUCAAUCAUCAUGUGGGAUUCAUUCCAUUGAAUCACCCACCAUUAUCUAUGAAGAUAAUGCAGCUUGUGUUGCUCAGAUGCAACAAGGUUAUAUCAAGAGCAAUGUUACCAAACAUAUAUCUCCCAAGUUAUUCUAUCCUCAUCAACUUAUUGCUCCCAACCGUGGACUCCAAGGGACGUGCCCCUUGCACGUUCUCUUCAUGGUGUCGGGUGUGACCCCACGAAGGAACAGACGACGCAUGGUCUGCAUGGCUCCAAGGGACGUGGCCCUAGCACGUUCGCACGCAUGCUUUCUCUGGUGUAUGGGCGAAGGGUCACAUCCUAUCAGACGCUUCUCUCUUCCGUUGUUCAAGGACAUGUAUAAUACAUAUGUAUUGAGCAAUAAAGAUUACACAUGGUUCUCAUUUUCACUUUCACCAGUUUACUUUCACCAGUUUACUUUGACAAAGUUCACUAACAAGUAUGUGAAGGUGAAAGGGAAAUGUGUCCUUGGGCCAUUUCUAAGUAUUUUGGUGAUUUAGUGUCCAACACAAGUGCCUAAGUAUAAAAUGGUGAACAAAGUACAAAUCAAGGAUAAAGGUAUGUUUCUCAGACUUAGUACAUUGUUUUAGAUACUAAUGUAUAGUGUCUAAGUGCUGGAAACAGGAAAAUCGAAUUGGAAAUGAGAUGGCUUUGUUCAGCCAAAGUAUGCUCAGUCUGGGAGCACCGGACUGUCCGGUGGUGCACCGGACAGUGUCCGGUGCGCCAGGCUGGCUCGAGUGAACUGGCCGCUCUCGGGAAUUCACCGGCGACGUACGGCUAUAAUUCACCGGACUGUCCGGUGUGCACCGGACUGUCCGGUGAGCCAACGGUCGGCCGGGCCAACGGUCGGCCGCGCGAUCUGCGCGGGACACGUGGCCGAGCCAACGGCUAGAAGGGGGCACCGGACUGUCCGGUGUGCACCGGACAUGUCCGGUGCGCCAACGGCUCUCUGGCUGCCAACGGUCGGCUGCGCCAGUUAAGGAAAGAAAUCGGGCACCGGACAGUGUCCGGUGUGCACCGGACUGUCCGGUGCGCCACGCGACAGAAGGCAAGAAUUGCCUUCCCAGAUUGCUCUCAACGGCUCCUAGCUGCCUUGGGGCUAUAAAAGAGACCCCUAGGCGCAUGGAGGAGCACACCAAGCAUUCUAAAAGCAUUCCUAAGCACUAAGACAUCGAUUCCGCGCCUUUGAUUCUUUGCGAUAGCAAUUAGAGCUCUAGUUGAGUUGUGAACUCAUUGAGUUGUGUUGUGAGCUCUUGUUGCGACUUGUGUGCGUAGCGUUGCUGUGAUUUCUUGUCUUGAGUGUGUUGCUUAUCACUCCCUUACUCCGUGCUUCUUUGUGAACUUCAAGUGUAAGGGCGAGAGGCUCCAAAGUGUGGAGAUUCCUCGCAAACGGGAUAUAGUAAAGCAAGCAAAACACCGUGGUAUUCAAGUGGGUCUUUGGACCGCUUGAGAGGGGUUGAUUGCAACCCUCGUCCGUUGGGACGCCACAACGUGGAGUAGGCAAGCGUUGGUCUUGGCCGAACCACGGGAUAACCAUCGUGCCAUCUCUGUGAUUGAUAUCUUUGUGGUUAUUGUGUUUUGUUGAGACUCCUCUCUAGCCACUUGGUGAUUAUUGUGCUAACACUUAACCAAGUUUUGUGGCUUAAGUUUUAAGUUUUACAGGAUCACCUAUUCACCCCCCUCUAGGUGCUCUCAAUUGGUAUCAGAGCCGUUCUCUUCAAGAAGGGACUAAUCGCCCGAAGAGAUGGAUCCUAAGGGAAAGGGGAUGGUGGUCAACAACAACGAGAAGGAGUCUAUCUUCAACGAGCCAAAGGAUGACAAGCCUACCGACUCGGGCUCCAGCCACAAGCGCAAAGACGGGAAGAAGAAGAAGACAAGGUGCAUCAAGGAGAUCGUCUACUACGACAGCGACGAAUCUUCCUCUUCCCAAAAGGACGACGACGACUACGAGAAAAAGAAAACGGUCAAUUCGAACUUUUCUUUUGAUUACUCUCGUAUUCCUCAAAGUACAAAUGCUCAUUUAUUAUCUAUUCCACUUGGUAAACCUCCUCACUUUGAUGGAGAGGACUACAGAUUUUGGAGUCACAAAAUGUGUAGUCACUUGUUCUCUCUCCAUCCUAGUAUAUGGGAGAUUGUAGAGAGUGGAAUGCACUUUGAUAGUACGGAUAGUCCCUUGUUCAUUAAUGAGCAAAUUCAUAAAAAUGCACAAGAUACUACUGUUCUUCUAGCUUCAUUGUGCAGGGAUGAAUACCACAAAGUGAGCGGCUUGGAUAACGCCAAGCAAAUCUGGGACACCCUCAAGAUCUCUCAUGAGGGGAAUGACGUCACAAUGCUCACCAAGAUGGAGUUGGUGGAGGGCGAACUCGGGAGGUUCGCUAUGAUAAGGGGAGAAGAGCCAACCCAAACGUACAAUCGGCUCAAGACCCUUGUCAACAAGAUAAGAAGCUAUGGAAGCACGCGAUGGACGGACCACGACGUCGUCCGCCUAAUGCUAAGGUCUUUUACUGUCCUUGAUCCUCAUCUUGUAAACAAUAUUUGUGAGAAUCUUAGGUACACCAAGAUGACGCCCGAGGAGAUACUUGGAAAGUUCGUAAGCGGGCGAAUGAUGAUCAAGGAAGCAAGAUACGUGGACGACGCAUUGAAUGGUCCAAUCAAUGAGCCUCAACCUCUUGCUCUCAAGGCAACAAGAAGCAAAGAGACGCUACCUAGCAAGGUGGCACAAAUUGAGGCGGCCGGACUUAAUGAUGAAGAUAUGGCUCUCAUCAUCAAGAGAUUCAAGACGGCGCUAAAAGGUCGCAAGGGGCAGCCAAGCAAGACCAAGACAAAGGGGAAGCGCUCAUGCUUCAAAUGUGGUAAGCUUGGUCAUUUUAUUGUUAAUUGUCCCGACAAUGAUAGUGAUCAGGAUCAAGGGAACAAGAGGGAGAAGAAGAAGAACUAUAAGAAGGCAAAGGGCGAGGCGCAUCUAGGCAAGGAGUGGGAUUCGGAUUGCUCCUCUUCCGACUCUGACAAUGAGGGACUCGCCGCCACCGCCUUCAACAAGUCAUCCCUCUUCCCCAACGAGCGUCACACAUGCCUUAUGGCAAGGGAGAAGAAGGUAUGUACUCGAAACUCUACUUAUGCUUCUUCAAGUGAUGACGAAUCUAGUGAUGAGGAUGAAAUAGACUAUUCAUGUUUAUUUAAGGGCCUAGAUAGAACCAAGGUAGAUAAAAUUAAUGAAUUGAUUGAUGCCUUCAAUGAUAAGAAUAGGCUUUUAGAAAAGCAAGAGGAUUUGUUGUAUGAAGAACAUGACAAAUUUGUAGAAGCACAAAAAUCUCAUGCUCUAGAAGUUAAAAGAAAUGAAAUGCUUUCUUGUGAAUUAUCUUCUUGCCAUGAAACAAUUUCUAACUUAAGGAGCAUUAAUGAUGAUUUGAAUGCUAAGUUAGAAAUAGCUAGUAAAUCAACAUCUUGUGUAGAAAUUGUUGCAACUUGUAAUAGGUGUAAAGAUUUUGACAUUGAUGCUUGUAGUGAACACCAAGUUUCAAUUUCUAAACUUAAUGAUGAAUUGGCUAGUCUUAAUGCUCAACUUAAGACUAGCAAGAGCGAAUUUGAUAAGCUAAAAUUUGCGAGGGAUGCCUACACGAUUGGUAGACACCCAUCAAUUAAGGAUGGACUUGGCUUCAAGAGGGAAGCCAAGAACUUAACAAGCCAUAAGGUUCCCAUCCCCACCAAGGAGAAAGGGAAGGCUCCUAUGGCGAGUAGUACUAAAAAGCACCAUGCUUUUAUGUAUCAUAAUAAGAGACAUUCUAGAAAUGACUAUAGAAGUUAUGAUUCACAUGCUAUGUUUGCUUCUAGUUCUUCUUAUAUGCAUGAUAGAGAUGUAUCUAGGAGAUAUGUUCACCAUGUGCCUAGAAAGAAUAUUGUUCAUGUUUCUAGGAAAAUUAUGGAUGGUCCUUCUACAAUAUAUCAUGCUUUAAAUACUUCCUUUGCUAUUUGUAGAAAGGAUAGGAAGAUAGUUGCUAGGAAAUUAGGGGCAAAAUGCAAAGGUGAUAAAACUUGCAUUUGGGUCCCUAAGACAAUCAUGACUAACCUCGUAGGACCCAACAAGAGUUGGGUACCUAAGUCCCAAGCCUAAAUUUGCCUUGCAGGUUUAUGCAUCCGGGGGUUCAAGCUGGAUUAUCGACAGCGGAUGCACAAACCAUAUGACGGGGGAGAAGAAGAUGUUCACCUCCUACGUCAAGAAUAAGGAUUCCCAAGAUUCAAUCAUAUUUGGUGAUGGGAACCAAGGCAAGGUGAAAGGUUUAGGCAAGAUUGCAAUUUCAAAUGAGCACUCUAUCUCUAAUGUGUUUUUAGUUGAGUCUCUGGGAUAUAAUUUACUAUCUGUUAGUCAAUUAUGCAAUAUGGGAUAUAACUGUCUAUUCACUAAUAUAGAUGUGUCUGUCUUUAGAAGAUGUGAUGGUUCACUAGCUUUUAAGGGUGUACUAGACGGCAAACUUUACUUAGUUGAUUUUGCAAAAGAAGAGGCUGGUCUAGAUGCAUGCUUAAUUGCUAAGACUAGCAUGGGUUGGCUGUGGCAUCGCCGCUUAGCACAUGUGGGGAUGAAGAACCUUCACAAGCUUCUAAAGGGAGAACACGUGAUAGGUUUGACUAACGUGCAAUUCGAAAAAGAUAGACCUUGUGCAGCUUGUCAGGCAGGUAAACAAGUGGGAGGAGCACAUCACAGCAAGAAUGUGAUGACCACAUCAAGACCCCUGGAGCUGCUACAUAUGGACCUCUUCGGACCCGUCGCCUAUCUAAGCAUAGGAGGAAGUAAGUAUGGUCUAGUUAUUGUUGAUGACUUUUCCCGCUUCACUUGGAUAUUCUUUUUAUAGGAUAAGUCUGAAACCCAAGGGACCCUCAAGCGCUUUCUAAGGAGAGCUCAAAACGAGUUUGAGCUCAAGGUGAAGAAGAUAAGGAGCGACAAUGGGUCUGAGUUCAAGAACCUUCAAGUGGAGGAGUUCCUUGAGGAGGAAGGGAUCAAGCACGAGUUCUCCGCUCCCUACACACCACAGCAAAAUGGUGUGGUAGAGAGGAAGAACAGGACGCUAAUCGAUAUGGCAAUAACGAUGCUUGGAGAGUUCAAGACUCCCGAGCGUUUUUGGUCGGAAGCAGUGAACACGGCUUGCCACGCCAUCAACCGGGUCUACCUUCAUCGCCUCCUCAAGAAGACAUCGUAUGAGCUUCUAACCGGUAACAAACCCAAUGUAUCUUACUUUCGUGUAUUUGGGAGCAAAUGCUACAUUCUAGUGAAGAAGGGUAGAAAUUCUAAGUUUGCUCCCAAAGCUGUAGAAGGGUUUUUGUUAGGUUAUGACUCAAAUACAAAGACGUAUAGGGUCUUCAACAAAUCAUCAGGUUUGGUUGAAGUCUCUAGCGACGUUGUAUUUGAUGAGACUAAUGGCUCUCCAAGAGAGCAAGUUGUUGAUCUUGAUGAUGUAGAUGAAGAAGAUGUUCCGACGGCCGCUAUACGAACCAUGGUGAUUGGUGAUGUACAACCAUAGGAACAAAAGGAGCAGGAUCAACCUUCUUCCUCAACUAUGGUGCAUCCCCCAACUCAAGACGAUGAACAGGUUCAUCAACAGGAGGCGUAUGAUCAAGGGGGAGCACAAGAUGAUCAUGUGAUGGAGGAAGAAACUCAACCGGCACCUCCAACCCAAGUUCGAGCGAUGAUUCAAAGGGAUCAUCCCGUCGAUCAAAUUCUGGGUGAUAUUAGCAAGGGAGUAAGUACUCGAUCUCGUUUAGUUAGUUUUUGUGAGCAUUACUCCUUUGUCUCUUCUAUUGAGCCUUUCAGGGUAGAAGAGGCCAUGCUAGAUCCGGACUGGGUGUUGGCCAUGCAAGCGGAGCUCAACAAUUUCAAGAGAAAUGAAGUUUGGACGCUGGUGCCUCGUCCUAAGCAAAAUGUUGUGGGAACCAAGUGGGUGUUCCGCAACAAACAAGACGAGCACGGAGUGGUGACGAGAAACAAGGCUCGACUUGUGGCAAAAGGUUAUGCCCAAGUCGCAGGUUUGGACUUUGAGGAGACUUUUGCUCCUAUGGCUAGGCUAGAGUCCAUUCGUAUUUUGCUAGCAUAUGCCGCUCACCAUUCUUUCAGGUUGUUCCAAAUGGAUGUGAAGAGCGUGUUCCUCAAUGGGCCAAUCAAGGAGGAGGUGUACGUAGAGCAACCCCCUGGCUUUGAGGAUGAACGUUACCCCGACCACCUGUGUAAGCUCUCUAAGGCGCUCUAUGGACUUAAGCAAGCCCCAAGAGCAUGGUAUGAAUGCCUUAGAGACUUUCUAAUUGCUAAUGCUUUCAAGGUUGGGAAAGCCGAUCCAACUCUGUUCACUAAGACUUGUGACAGUGAUCUUUUGUAUGCCAAAUUUAUGUCGAUGACAUAAUAUUUGGUUCUACUAAUAAAAAGUCUUGUGAAGAGUUUAGCAGGGUAAUGACGCAGAAAUUCGAGAUGUCGAUGAUCGGCGAGUUGAACUACUUCCUUGGGUUCCAAGUGAAGCAACUCAAGGAUGGCACCUUCAUCUCUCAAACGAAGUACACGCAAGACUUGCUGAAGCGGUUUGGGAUGAAGGACGCCAAGCCCGCAAAGACUCCGAUGGGGACCGACGAACACACCGACCUCAACAAAGGAGGUAAGUCCGUUGAUCAAAAGGCAUACCGGUCAAUGAUAGGGUCGUUACUUUACUUAUGUGCUAGUAGACCGGAUAUUAUGCUUAGCGUAUGCAUGUGUGCUAGAUUUCAAUCCGAUCCUAAGGAGUGUCACUUAGUGGCAGUGAAGCGAAUCCUUAGAUAUUUAGUUGCUACGCCUUGCUUCGGGCUCUGGUAUCCAAAGGGGUCUACCUUUGACUUGAUUGGAUAUUCAGAUUCCGACUAUGCUGGAUGUAAGGUCGAUAGGAAGAGUACAUCGGGGACGUGCUAAUUCUUAGGAAGGUCCCUGGUGUCAUGGAACUCUAAGAAACAAACUUCUGUUGCCCUAUCCACCGCUGAGGCCGAGUACGUUGCCGCAGGACAGUGUUGCGCGCAACUACUUUGGAUGAGGCAAACCCUCAGGGACUUUGGCUACAAUCUGACCAAAGUCCCACUCCUAUGUGAUAAUGAGAGUGCUAUCCGCAUGGCGGAAAAUCCUGUUGAACACAGCCGCACAAAGCACAUAGACAUCCGGCAUCACUUUUUGAGAGACCACCAGCAAAAGGGAGAUAUCGAAGUGUUUCAUGUUAACACCGAGAACCAGCUAGCCGAUAUCUUUACAAAGCCUCUAGAUGAGAAGACCUUUUGCAGGUUGCGUAGUGAGCUAAAUGUCCUAGAUUCGCGGAACUUGGAUUGAUUUACAGCAUACAUGUGUUUAUGCCUUUGAUCAUGUUCCCUAUGCAUUUCGUUGCUUACUUAUGGUGCUCAAGUUGUACAAACACUCCCCGGACCUUUGAGACUAACCAUGUGCUUGAGUUUGCUUAUUUUAGUCUCAAAGGGGGAGCUGUGCUACAACUUGACCCUUUGAGACUAACCAUGUGCUUGAGUUUGCUUAUUUUAGUCUCAAAGGAGGUUUGAAAGGGAAAAGGUGGACUUGGACCAUGAAAGACUUCCACUGCACUCCGAUGAGAGGGUAACUUAUUCCAAGUUCAUCUCAUGUACUCUUAUUGCCUUUGUAUUCUUAUUGAAGAUUUUGGUGAGGCAAUGGGGUUUAAGGGCCAAGAUUGAUCCCGUUUUGGUGCUUGAUGCCAAAGGGGAGAAAAUAAAGGCCAAAGCAAUAAAUGGAUCAACUACCACUUGAGAAUUUUGAAAAAGUAGAGUUAGAGUUUUUGUUUGUCAAAAUACUCUUGUUUGUCUCUUAUUCUCAAAAGUUGGCCUCUUGUGGGGAGAAGUGUUGAUUAUGGGAAAAAGGGGAGAAAAAGUAGAGUUAGAGUUUUUGUUUGUCAAAAUACUCUUGUUUGUCUCUUAUUCUCAAAAGUUGGCCUCUUGUGGGGAGAAGUGUUGAUUAUGGGAAAAGGGGAGUUUUUGAAAUCCUUGAUCAAUUUUUUGGAAUACCUCUCUUUAUGUCUUUACAAGUGUGUUUGACUUAGAGAUAGGAAUUUAAAGUUGAUUUGCAAAAACAAACCAAGUGGUGGCAAAGAAUGAUCCACAUAUGCCAAAUCUGAUUCAAAACAAAUUUGAGUUUUAUUUGAAGUGAUUUUGGACUUGUUCUACUUGCUUUAUGUUAUGUUAGCAUAAAUCACCAAAAAGGGGGAGAUUGAAAGGGAAAUGUGUCCUUGGGCCAUUUCUAAGUAUUUUGGUGAUUUAGUGUCCAACACAAGUGCCUAAGUAUAAAAUGGUGAACAAAGUACAAAUCAAGGAUAAAGGUAUGUUUCUCAGACUUAGUACAUUGUUUUAGAGACUAAUGUAUAGUGUCUAAGUGCUGGAACCAGGAAAAAUCGAAUUGGAAAUGAGAUGGCUUUGUUCAGCCAAAGUCUGCUCAGUCUGGGAGCACCGGACUGUCCGGUGGUGCACCGGACAGUGUCUGGUGCGCCAGGCUGGCUCGAGUGAACUGGCCGCUCUCGGGAAUUCACCGGCGACGUAUGGCUAUAAUUCACCGGACUGUCCGGUGUGCACCGGACUGUCCGGUGAGCCAACGGUCGGUCGGGCCAACGGUCGGCCGCGCGAUCUGCGCGGGACACGUGGCCGAGCCAACGGCUAGAAGGGGGCACCAGACAUGUCCGGUGCGCCAACGGCUCUCUGGCUGCCAACGGUCGGCUGCGCCAGUUAAGGAAAGAAAUCGGGCACCGAACAGUGUCCGGUGUGCACCGGACUGUCCGGUGCGCCACGCGACAGAAGGCAAGAAUUGCCUUCCCAGAUUGCUCUCAACGGCUCCUAGCUGCCUUGGGGCUAUAAAAGGGACCCCUAGGCGCAUGGAGGAGCACACCAAGCAUUCUAAAAGCAUUCCUAAGCACUAAGACAUCGAUUACGCGCCUUUGAUUCUUUGCGAUAGCAAUUAGAGCUCUAGUUGAGUUGUGAACUCAUUGAGUUGUGUUGUGAGCUCUUGUUGCGACUUGUGUGCGUAGCGUUGCUGUGAUUUCUUGUCUUGAGUGUGUUGCUUAUCCCUCCCUUACUCCGUGCUUCUUUGUGAACUUCAAGUGUAAGGGCGAGAGGCUCCAAAGUGUGGAGAUUCCUCGCAAACGGGAUAUAGUAAAGCAAGCAAAACACCGUGGUAUUCAAGUGGGUCUUUGGACCGCUUGAGAGGGGUUGAUUGCAACCCUCGUCCGUUGGGACGCCACAACGUGGAGUAGGCAAGCGUUGGUCUUGGCCGAACCACGGGAUAACCACCGUGCCAUCUCUGUGAUUGAUAUCUUUGUGGUUAUUGUGUUUUGUUGAGACUCCUCUCUAGCCACUUGGUGAUUAUUGUGCUAACACUUAACCAAGUUUUGUGGCUUAAGUUUUAAGUUUUACAGGAUCACCUAUUCACCCCCCUCUAGGUGCUCUCAGAAGGUAGGAACCAUAAGAAGAGCAGCACCAGUCUAAGUGGUUUAUGGCAGCAUUUCGCUUGAAAUGAGGGAAGAAGUUAUUGAACCUGUUGUUGAGCCUGAGCCUGAGCCCGAGCCCGAGCCGCAUGACAACGAUGCACCAUGAAUAGGAAAAGCACAAAGACAUCAGUUCUGAUAGGAAGAUGAAAUGGAGGGCAGGGCACUGCUUAUAAUGUUCUAGAGGUAGUCAGAAUUUAGAAAUAAUGGGAAGCCCCGUACUUGUUACGUGGAUAAUAUUGUCUAAAUUUAAACCAACAAUAGAUCUGUACUCUGUAGUAGGAUUGAAUUGUCGGAUAUGUACAUGUCAUCAUUCUUCUAUUUUCGUGAAACGUGUCACUUCCUGAUCUCUUUACUCCGCAAAUGCGCAAGAACAAUAUGCAUACUAAAUACUUUGGCUGACACACCAUAUGCUCGUUCCUUGCUUUCGAUCAGCUCAGGAGUAACGCACCUAAUUAUAUAUAUGUUUAAGAGAUCCUGAAUAAUUAUUUUCGAACGAUGAAAAGAGACUGCAUGGAAAUUUUCCUAUUACUAAGCUGACCUAUGUAAGUUUCUGCAUCACCAAGUAACAAAUAAAUCUAUCGCUUAUGCGCAUCGAUUUCUGCUUAGCUAGAGCCACAAGCUGAUGAACUACACAAUCUGGGAUUUCUCUGCCAGGAUUUUUUUGCCUGUAAGAUUUCGAAGCACUUCUUCGAGCUCAAUAUUAUUGCAAACCACCUUUUACUUACAGGUUUUAAGGGAGAAUAUACAUAACGGACAACUGCUUAAGGGGGAGUGUUAUGAAAGAUAAGCAGUUGCUUAUUGCUCCCAGCCGUGGACUCCAAGGGAUGUGCCCCUUGCAUGUUCUCUUCAUGGUGACGGGUGUGACCCCACAAAGGAACAGACAACACAUGGUCUGCAUGGCUUCAAGGGACGUGCCCCUAGCACGUUCGCACAUAUGCUUUCUCUGGUGUAUGGGCGAAGGGUCACAUCCUAUCGGACAUUUCAAUUUCUGGAAUAUUAUUUUGAGUAUUCAGAUCUAAAUCCAAAGUUCUGAUUUUUUUACUGUUUAUAGGCGCAAGCUUGUCGAGCUCAUUGACAAGCUUGAUGAAGGUACAAUAAAUUGGACAUAGUUUGCAAGUGAGGUGAAGAUGCACCAUGGAAACAGGCUUGGAGGUCCGUAUCAGAGGUUGUCUAGUCGAAGUCUGAGGCAUGAGGCGUAUUUUUAUGCAAAUCCUCUUCCAGGGUGCUUGUGCAGAAGAAACACAUAGGAUCAAGUGGCAUGAACCUUACAUACGAAUAGACAGUUAUCAUACAUCGAGCUUUCCUCCAACUCAUUGACAUACACCAAACAGUGAAAAUCCGAGUAGACUGACAGCAAAAGGACAUGUUUUUUUCUUCCUAUAAACAGAUAAAAUUUAUGUAGUUUUCCAUCUUACACGAGGAUACAGGAGGGAACACUCACUGAAAUGUGCAUUUUCAAGGGAUUGUUUAUUCAGGUUUUAAAAUAGAACAUGCAAAGAUAUUCAAAGAGGAUAUGUGUUGUACCACAGAUUAUAGAAUUAGCAGAUUUGAUGAGUUUUUAGUGUAUGUUUGUAUUUACUCCAUAGUCCACAUGUAGAGCCUCUCAUGUGGGAGAUUCUUGUGGGAGCCUCUGUCACUUGGUUUGUCCUCCAGAUGUACAGCCUUAAAUCUAAAAUUUAACUUUAUUCAUUUUAUUAUGCACAAUAAUCAUUAGUUGUAGCGGUAAUACUAUGGCCAGUUUCUCUUGUGAGGUGAGGUGAGGUGUUUCUCUUGUAUUCAUAGGCUCAUCCCUUGACACCUCUAUGAUAUCAGCCUCUUUUCAUGCCGUGUUUAUCACCUCCUUUAUUUUAUCUCUGGAAGCCCACAAUGGCAAUGCCAAAUUGAGAUCGAAGAACACUUUGAUUCCAAAUUUCUUGGACAGCUCAAUGGCUCUUAAGAGCGUGUCAUGCAUUAAGGGGGUUUAACAGGACUUCUGAAUUGAAUUGAAACAUUCAAGCCUGUGUAAUUGCCACAUAGAUUAGAUCUGAAUAAAGAGGAAAAUGUUUUUUUGUUGCCAGCGUGUCAACCCGAACGGUGGAUUCUGCUAAAAAUGCUUACUUGAAACAGUUUGGAAGAUGAUCUCACCACGAUUGUGAAAGAUAUAGUGAUUGUGAAAUAUACUUGAUGGACUGUUCGUUGCUGUUUUCCGGUUUCUUUUUUUAUCUCUCUGAUAUCAGUCUCACACCUCUAUAGUUCAAUUGGGGACGGAAAGUUCAUAACGAGUAGUAGUUUUAAAGCAAUCUCUCACCAGGAUCAACUCGGGUGUUUGCAUCAGUAAUCCAGAAAUAUUUUAUCUUGAUAACCGAGCUGAGGCUCAGCCUGCCCACCCUCAUUCAAUGAUGUGACUCAUCUUAAGAUUAUUCAUAAAACUCUCCCAUACAUUUAAAAAAAAUACCUCAGUAUUUAUUAUGCAAUGAAAAAACAAUCUUCAGAUUAGUUCUUAAUGUUUGAAAUUAUCAUGCAAUUCCUAAUCCUAAGUUCCUAAAUUUACUAAUGCAAUUCCUAAACCUAAGUUCCUAAAUUUACUAAUGCAAUUCCUAAUCCUAAGUUCCUAAUUAACAUCAUAGCUAACUAAUGCUGGUACUCAGACGCAGCAGCUCAUGCAACCAAGCCGACAUACUCGAGCUCCACGGAGCCUAACCAGAGCUUGCCCUUCAUCUCCGCCACGUCGCUCAGCGUGACGCCCUUGGCCGCCGUGAGCUCCUCGACCUCCUCCCCGUCAGCGUUCAGGCGGACGCCCACCAGGUGCUUCACGGGAGCCGUCGCCGGCGUCGCGUCCAGCCGUUGCUUCUCCUGGUUCAGCGCCACCCAGUAGCCACCCUUGCCGUCCCGCCUCACGUUGUCGGGGUACCCCGGCAGGUCGGCCAGCAGGUCGUACUGCCCCGCCCUGGCGCCGCUGAGAAAGUACCUGAACGCCUGGCAGGGCACGGUGUGCGCGACCACGACGUGUGCCCCGUCGCGGCUGACCGCCACGCCGUUCGGGUACGGCAGGCCGGCCUUCAGCACGGCGACGCUCUUGGUCCGCGCGUCGUACCUGAGGAGCCGGCCCGUCGCGUCCGCGUUCAUCAUGAUCUCGGUGUUAAACCUCCUGGGAUACGUCGCGCUGGAGUCGGUGAAGUAGACGUCGCCGGUGGACUGGUCGACGUCGAGACCGUUGACGAAGUGGAACGGGGCGCCGCCCGCGCCGGUCGCGAGCACCUCGGCCUCGCCGCCGCCCGGGCCGACCCUCAUGAGCCCCAGGUAGGCGUCGGCGAUGUAGAGGUCGCCAGUCUUGGCGUGGAACUGGAGGCCCAGCGGGCGGCCGCACAUGCUCUCGGUCUCCUCCGACGGCACCACUCCCGCCGUGCACAGGGGUAUCUUGCGGUAGUUUGCGCUGUGCGCGAACGUGGUCCAGCCGACGGUUGUGCCGCCCCACUUGAGGACGCGGCCGUCCGAGACACCGGCGUAGGGCCCCUCGCCCUUGCCGUCGAAGGCGAGGCUCUCGGCGCCGCGGAGGCCGCUCGGUAAAGGAAGCUGGAAGCUCCAGCGCGUGUCGGUGGUCUUGAUCUGUGCGGCGGCACACGGCCGGGCGAAAAGGGCUAGGGCUAGCACGACCAAGGCGAGGAGCCACGUCGCUAGAUUGCUCCGACGCCCCAUGCUGCUAGCUAUAUCUUCCUCGCGAUGAUCUUUCUAAUGUGCGAGAUGGAGAACCUGCAGCCCCUACCUUGGAUGGAGAACAACCCUCCAUAUGGCAUUACAUAUAUAUAGUGCCGGCUCAAGGUUUGUUACAACCCAAUCUAAUCUAAUCUACUAUUUCUACGGUCCUCGGACUUUUCGGACCAGACCAGAAGAUCGUGGACAAGCGUAAGGGAAGCUUUGCGAGAUGCUAGUGCAGUGCUACCCGCGGCGUGUGGCGUUCGAGUUCUGCUUAGCUAGAGCCACGAGCUGAUUGAUUGAACUACGCAAUCUGGGGUUUCUCUGCCAGGAUUUUUUUUGCCUGCCAGAUUUGGAAGCACUUCUUCAAGCUCAAUACGUAUCGAGUCUUAGAGAACAGGUACGAAUUUGAGUUCGCCAGCCUGUAGGCAAGGCAGCCUUGACCCCUUUGGAUGUCACGAGUUAUUCCGGUUAAAUGCUUAUUCUCGGAUGCUUCGACGCGCGCAUGCUCACCUGUAUAGUUUAUAAACUUCUAUGAACAUGUGCAUGCAUGGUCGACAUUUUCGAAAACUGGGUCGAUGAUGUUUAAAGAUGGAAUUAAUGAAGUUAUUAUAGACGUCUCACUGUCGAUAAAAGUAUCGUUUAUCACUAUAAAUGUAAAAAUCGUUUGAUCAUGCUAUAUUUUCGCUUAUAGAGUGAAUUGAAUUUUCGGAGGGUCAAAUUAGGAUGUACCGGCUCUUUCGCUGCUGCGUGCUGCCGCUUUUGGCUGUUCACGCUGUCACACAACACAUGAUUAAAAGGAAAGGCCCCACUCUCUUCGGCCCACAUAUCAACAACAAGCUCUGCCAUCUGCAUGACAUUUGUGCUAUUUAGCACCACACCGCUUGCUCACAUGAGAAGACACCAGCUUAAAAAUCUAUUCCUCAGUGCCACACUCGCCGAGCAGCUAGCGACUGCUUGUAACCCGAGCGGGGGCAAUAAAGUGGUGUGGAUGCCAAUUGUGGCGCUUGGCCCAGGCCUGGUACUGCAAUCUGCGGCCCGCCCGUUCCAAGUUGGUAGUUGGGUUGUGACAGCUUUGGCGAAGGCCAUGGCGAACCAGCCUCUAGAGCGGCGGGCAAUGCGUGAGGCUGGUUUCACAGAGCAGCGAAUACCGUCCGCUUCCAACGGUGGAUGGAUAACGGGCCACUGCACUCCAGGUCCACCUAGGCCUAGGCGCUCUUUCUGGCAGACCACCAUUUUUGUUUUUUUGCUUGUCUUGCAUUCCUACUCGUUUGCCACUGCAGCCCAUUUGUCCAACCAACACGUCCAGUAACAACCAUCGCCAAUCGAUUAUGUAGGCUAUUUGAGCCUCUAGGCACUGGUCCUUUGGACGCUCGAUGCAUUCCACAUGUAACAUGUUCUUGCCAUUUUGUACAUGCUAGUGUGUUCUGAUUGAGUUUACUGUGUCUGUAGUAGGCCAAUCUUUUUGGACCAAAAGCAAUUAAACGCUCUAGAAGAUGAAGAGCCAAAUGAUAGAAACUUGUAAAGCUCAAGUAUCUAUUGUCCUCAUUUUGGAUCUGCAGAUAUCUUAUAAAAUAUUAUGGGGCAGAUGGGAAGGGAAACACACCUAACAAUAGUGCUUGGCUUCAUGCCCACACGCCGAUAGCAUGGCAUGAGCGGGGAAGAAACCAGGGCUCUGUUCCGGUCAUGCGUUGCCCAAGGGGUGUAGGGAUUUUAGCGUCAGAGUGUACCGACCUGCCUGGUGGCUGGCAUUCCUCGUGGCGGCUGUCGCGGGCCUCCACGUUUGUUGCCCUCGCGUGGGAGGAUGGGUGAAGGCGGCACAGGGAUAGGUACGCGAUGGGCAGAACGACGUUGAGGACGUCGCACGUGGUCCCCUCGAAUUCCCCGGACGGGCGACAACAUUUGAGGAGCGGGAGGGAGGUGGGCGGGGGGUGGCGAGCGACGACGUUUGGGCGUCGUGGAGAUGGAAGUCGCUUACCUGGACUGCGGGAUUAGGAUUCGGAAGCGCUGGCAGCUGUCGCUGGAGCCGAGGGUGGGGGGGCGCAGGACAUGACGCCGAGAGCCCCUCACGGAGCGCGAGCUAGAGGAAGAGACGGAGGAUGAAGAGAGAUGAAGCAAGGGCAAGCGAGGAGAGCAACCUAGAAGUCUCCAGAGGCGAUAAGAACCAUGGGCACACGAGAGAGAAUGCGGGGAAAAUGAACCAACGAUCCACGAUCGAACGACUAAGAAUUUUUUGGCUGACGUGGAUGGGCUCGUAGGCGUCGUUUCCAUCCGACUUUAAUAAUAAGGAAAUACAACUGAACAAGUUGGUUACGAUCAGGGACCGACCAUUACGACCCUAGGCAUCUCCUCGUGGCUAUAUAACCCGAGCACCCCCUCCUUAUCCAUCUUGUGCCUCGAACGACUAAGAAUUUUUUGGCUGACGUGGAUGGGCUCGUAGGCGUCGUUUCCAUCCGACUUUAAUAAUAAGGAAAUACAACUGAACAAGUUGGUUACGAUCAGGGACCGACCAUUACGACCCUAGGCAUCUCCUCGUGGCUAUAUAACCCGAGCACCCCCUCCUUAUCCAUCUUGUGCCAACGCCGAGGAGCCAAACAUCGCAAUGAACCGAGGAGUUGAGAGUGCCACCGUUAGGGAUGAAAACGGUCGGAAACGAUCGGUAAACGCUAAAACAGUUUCUGUUUUCAUAUUUUUUAUCGGAAACGGUAACUCUAGAAAUGGAAACAAUAUCGGUAUUUCGGAAACAUCGAAAACGGAAGUUCGGCACGGAAAGUACACCGGUAAUGGUCGGAAUUCAAAAUAUAAUCGGUAAACAUACCAAUAUAAAAAUAUCCCAAUACAACAAGUUCACAAUUAUCAAAAGUUGACAAUGUCACAAAUUCACAAAGAUCACUAAAUUCACUCUGCAAUUUACAUUCACCAGAACACUAAGUCACUAACUGUAUCAUACUUGUCAACAAGAGAGAUUUACUAGAACACUAACUGUAUGACUGUAUCAUAGUCACUAACUGUAUCGUACUAGCAACUAGCACAUUCAUACGUAAUACGUUGAGGCCACCUAAGAGAUCACCGGUGCUAGCAAGUAGCAUAUUCGUACAGAUAGAAAGCAAAGCAAAUGGGCGCUGCAGUGUUUUGGGUCACCGAUCUGGGAGGCCAAAGGUCACGGUCACGGCGCUGUAGAGUUUUUGGAGGCUGAGAGGGGAGGGCGAGGGCACGACGCCGACACACGAUCUGCAAGACACGACGGCGAUUCAGCUAGCCAGCUAUGGACGAACGACCGAACGAGGACGACGACUACUCAGCCAUGGAGGAUGAGGGAGGCUUGAACCUGACCUGAGAACGACGGGAGCAUCCACAAAUCUUGAUCUACUAGCCGCCGUCCAUCGGAACCCUAGCCACCGACCCACCGUAGUUGUGCCUGCGCAGGCACUCAGCCAGACGCCCAUACGCUGCCCAGACAGAGACAGACAUCCGCUCGGCGACCGGUCACUGGCUCACGGGAUGGCAAAAGGUUAAGUCACGGUUCAUCCUACUCAUGGGCUAUUGGGCUCCCUUGAGUCACGGACUCACACGGUCACAGGCUUGUUACGAGUGGGCUAGCCGAAUGGGUUCUAUAAUUUCCAGAAAUUCUGAAACUAGAAUCCGGUAAAUUCCGAUUAAAUUCGGUAACCGAUGAAAACAGUUGGUAAAACGCCGCACCGAUUUCGAUAUCGAUUCCGAACUAAAGUUCUGACAACCGAUACCGUUUCCGAAAAAUACCGUUACCGACGAAACCGAUCGAAAAAAUCCGGAAACGGUUUCCGAAAUUCCGAAAAAUUCUGAAACCGUUUUCAUCCCUAGCCACCAUGAACCGAGUGCCGAACGAGAGGGAGAGAAGGUCCACGCGCGGGAGGAGUGGUCGGAGAGCGAGAAGAGUCGUCACCAGAGUCACAAAUAGGGGUGGUAAUGGAUCCUCCAAAAAAAUUUAAAGUUCUUAAAUAAUGUUAGUUCAAAAAUGAAUAGAAUAGAGUCCGAUCAAUUCGAUUUUUAAAAUUUAUAGUAUAAAAUCUUGAGCUCACAACCAUCCCUAGUCACAAAACACCGUGCUUCCGCCCUGCGUCGUGGUUGGGAGUUCUCGUGACAUCGGUUGUGGUGAGAAUCCCCACCAAAACUAGGUAAUACUCUAGUCGACAGACUGAGGAACGGAUCCAACCACUACAUCGCACUUCACUUAAGGUGACUGUCACACCCGGUUUUAGAAGGCAAACCGAAUGCGAAUCAUGUACGUGCCAGGAUCAGCAAUUCACGUACACAGCAGUUACAUAACUGGACAUCAUCACACAGUGCUCAAAUAAUAACAUAAAGGGGAAUAAUAGUCGAUUACAUCAUAAUGUCUGAGACAUCCACAUAGUCUUUAAUAAUAAUCAAAGUGCGAAAACGAAACGUAUAUACGCGCGGCCUUCACAGGCAGCCGACUGGGGGUUGCCACUAACCCACGCCUAAAACUCGUCGUACUCUUGGAACUCCUGAAAGUCUUCCUCCACGACUUCAUCUUCUCCUGAGCAGUGGUUGCAGUGUGGACAACCUAGGGGGGUUUUGGUGUGUAAAGCAAGGGUGAGUACACAUCAACAUACACAGCAAUUGUCCCGUUUGGAUGUAGUGGACUAGCUUUAUGUGGGGUUAAGUCAAGCAGUUGCUUUUAGUUGGUCAGAUUAUUAUUACUAGUAGAGAGCCAGAUUUUAGUAUUAACCCAAUUUAUUAACCCAAAAAUACCCUUUCCAAACGAAAAGAAUACCACUUACCAUUACCAUAAAUAUAAUCAUGACCAUCAUCCUCGUCACCACCUGUAAACCAACCAUCUCUGAUCAAGUAUCUCUAAUCAAGUAUCUCUAAUCAAUGGUGCUCCCUUGGCCGCUCAUAACCGCGAGCACAACUGAUAUAUCAGUUUCAUAACACUCUGCAGAGGUUGCACACUUUACCCACAAGAUGUGAUUCCCUUUCUGCCCGGAUAGAGCUACUCCCCAUUGACCACUACCUAGGUGGCCUGGCAGGGUAUCACUACGAAGCCUUUACAAAGAUUCCCCGAGGCUGUAGCCGCCCGUUAGGUUUCCUAAAUGUAUCACACUCCUCCCCAAGGGGCAAACCAACCUUGGCAGAGUGAGCCGCAUACACCGAGCCCCAUUAACGACACGACGACGAAGCGAACUACACCCAGUUCCUCUAAUUAUUAAGCUAAGGGCGUCCCAUUCCACCCUCAUGGUUGCACUGUUUUCCUGGGCGGUCAUUCAAUGAACAGGUCCUUACGGAGAGGCACUCGAGAAACCGCUCGAGUCCCCUUAAAUGUCACAAUAUCAUCAUCAUCAUAAUCAAAAGGGAAAACAACGUAUCAUAAAUAAUCUCAUCAUGUUCAUUGAUUAGGGUGAAGCACUAGCAUAAAGCUAAACUAAAAUAAUCCAACCCACAUAGGUAUAAAUUGUGUAUAUGUGGGGAGUGAAUUAUAAAAUGAAUAGGACAUAUAUGGGUCAAGGGACACUUGCCUCCGCUAACCAACUGCUGCUCAGGGUCUUCUCCUGCGAUCUCUUCGGACUGCGCAACCAGACCGUUAUCUAUGCGAUUGCAAACAUACAUCCAUAUCCUUGAAUUAGAAAAUAAACAGUACACCAUACAAGAAAGCAGAUCAAUUGAACAUGCACAUGACAUAUGAUUUGCAUUCGUAAUUAUGAGAAAGAGAAAAAGGUAUCGCAACGGCCAAAGCUAUAGUCAAGAAAUACUACGUGCAAGCUUUGCGAUUAAUCAUUAUAACCUUUAAUUCCACCUAACCAUACUAGUAGGUAUUAAUCACAUGCACUAAUAGAGUUACAAUUAUUUCCAUUUGGCCGACAUUAAACAAAGUCGCCAUUUAACUACGUGAGAUAAUUAAUGUGAUCAAUUCUAAGUACAGUUCAACUGCAUAAAAUAAAUAGCACGCUCAACGCGCAUGGUGUACACGGUGUACACGAGGGGGUAGUCGGGCACGUCGCAUGCGCGUCAGGGCACUACGCACCGCGCCGGGCGAGCAGGCCGCGCCACGCAGGGGCACUACGGCCGCGCGAGCCGAGGCCGCGCUGCGCAGGGGCCACACCACGCCGGGAUAGGGGCCGGGGACCGCGACGAGUCGCCUGCGGGCACGCGCGUUAGGGCAGGGAGCGGGCACACGCACCGGGGACACCAGGGCGGGGCAGCGCAGGUUGCCGCGGCGAGCGCGCCGCGCACGCGCAGGGGCUGGGGCUAGGGAAGAAGAGGGGGCGAGGAAGAGAGGGAGACGGGGCUCACUGGUGGGGCGAGGGCGGUGCAGGCGGACGGCGUCGAGGGGUGGCUCCGAGCGACGUGGAGGAGAGAGGACGUGCGUCAGGGGGGUAGAAUGAAUAGGGGGCGGCUUGGGGCUUACAGGUGGGGCCCACCACCAGGCGACGACGGCUGGGUAACCACCCAGCGCGCACGCGCGCGAGGGGAGCGGGCGGGCGGUUGAGGGGCGCGGGGGGGUUCUGGGCCGCGCGCCAGCCAGCCAGCUAGCCCAAGGCGGGGAGGGGGCGCCAGAUGGGCCACGGACAGGGCGCCGAGCCAGGCCACACGGGGGGGGGGGGGGGGGGGGGAGGGCGCCAGGUGGGCCGCUAGGGGGAGGAAAAGGAGAAAGGAAGGGUUUUUCCUAUUUUCCCUUUUAAUCCAUUUUUCUAAUUUGUGUUUUUAGCUAUGGUUCUUCACCGAAAUUCAUACUUCACAAAUUCACUCAACAAACAAAAAUAGAUGUGUGGUUCAGCAUGAUGCAACAACCAAAAGAAUUAACCCUAGGGUUUACUUACACAUGAUAUCGAGCUAAUUCUCGCUAGAACUUUGAAGAAGAGCAAGGCAUAGCGAGAAGAAAUAAAAAGGACAGGUAACGCCCGAAUUUGUUGAGUGCUGGAGAAAGAAAAAAAAUUAACUCUCAAAUUCGGGGCGUUACAAACCUAUCCCCCUUAAAAGAAUCUCUCCCUCGAGAUUCAAGGUUGGCUAGCAAAGAGUUCAGGAUAUUUAGCCAUCAGACCAUCUUCACGCUACCAAGUUGCUUCUUCCUCGGAGUGAUGACCCCAUCUGACCUUGCACAUUCUGAUAGUUUUCCUCCGGGUGACUCUGUCUGCAGUCUCAAGAAUCUGCAUUAGCUUCUCAAUAUAGGUCAAGUCUUCUUGGAUUUCGAGACCCUCCACUGGCAAUUGCUCUUCUAGCACAUGCAUACAUUUCUUUAACUGAGACACAUGAAAGACAUCAUGCACGACUGACAAAUUUUCUGGCAGACUGAGCUGAUAGGCCACUUCUCCGCGCUUUGCGAGAAUCUGAUACAGACCAAUAUAGCGGGGUGCUAGCUUGCCUUUGACUCCGAAUCUUCUGACUCCUCUGAUAGGCGAUACCUUCAGGUAGACAAAAUCUCCAACUUCAAAACUCAUCUCUCUCCUUCUUGUGUCUGCAUAGCUUCGCUGCCUUGAUUGUGCUAUCUUCAGGUUCUCCUGAACUAUCUUGAUGUUCUCUUCAGCUUCGCACAAAAUGUCUGGCCCAAACACUUGCUUUUCUCUAAGCUGAUCCCAUUGCAACGGAGUUCAACAACUCCUUCCACAAUACUGAACAGAUGAACAUCUUCACUAAUUUCCAACACAAGUAAGCACAACUUCUCAGAUAAAGAGGAAAGUGGAAUAAAAAGGUUUCCCAACUAGAUAACUAAUCUCAUUAACAUUAACAAGUAAACCAAGGUGCAGGGGAUACCCACACCCUGGUGACAGUCAUUACAAAGAUCCAAAUCCAUCAUAGUUCAUCAUGACAAACAUAAAAAAAACAUAGGAUAAGCAAACUACCCUGUCUAACUAAGACUAACUAAGAGUAUGACUGAGACUAAGACUAAGACUUCUAUUUUAAACAUUUAUUACAAGACUCAACACUGACGAUCUAUGGUUCUAAAUUUAUCUUGGUCCUGCAGUCGGGGUUACCAUAAGCAUGGUGUCCACGCUGAGGUGAGCGGUACGGGUGCUGAGUCCCGACGGGGCGGGAGAACCAUCCUCUAGGCGACGAUGCUCCGCGCGCUCAUCCCGCAACAGGGCAAUCUCAGCACGAGCCCUACUCAGCUCGUCUAAGGCAUGGUCCAGCUCUGUGUUUAGCACGGCGGCUAGGUUGACUAUGCUGCUCAACCUAGGAUUGUCCUCACCGACAGGUGAGACAACCACACCUCCUAUGCUGCCAGAUGGACAACGGGGGUAAUACCUCAGGUUGAGACCAUCAGCCACCCCACCGAACACUGAGCAGUAGUGCGAAAGCGCACACCGUGCGACAUCUUGCAUGGCCGCCUCAGCUGAGUCACGCUCAGAGAUAGAGUAGUGCUCUGAGCAGACCUCCGCACCCCAAAGACUGUUCUUCGGAUGACGCACCAAGCAGGUCGCCUCUCAGCUGUCUGGGUAAACCCCACGACUGUGCUGAAAGACAACACAACGAUACUCGAUGGACCAAGUGCGCCAGUCGAGCGCCUGGCGCAGCAGGGUGUCGAGCGCGUCGUGGAAGUGACACCCGCGAGCGGCGUCGCGAGUGAUGGGUUGAGCAACCCAUCCCUCCGGCUCCUGCUCGGCUAAAAGGUCGGUGUUGAAGCUCGAGCUGUUGUCGCCACCUCCGUUGUCGGGGUCUCCUCCAACAGUGAAGCGUCCCCAAUCCUCUGGGACUCAAAUGUGAUACAAUUACUAGUCCCAGGAGGCUAGUAAACACAUUUAUACAUCAGAUGAUUACAGAUCUGCUUAAACGACAAACCUAUAAAGGUGGCGAACAACUUUAAGAGUUGGUCCACAACUCGGGACAUAUCAUCAGAGUGGGGCUGAAGCAGCCCGAUAUACGCAGCGAAGCAAAUCAACGGUCCAACAGCAACAGACAAGGUUGGGAACAGUCGUAACUCUUACCCGAUCUCCUUUUUCUGAAAAAAGUAAAUAAGCAAGGGUGAGUACAAACGUACUCAGCAGCCCACCUUCACCCGCGGAAUGGGGAAAUCAGAUAUAAUGCAUGGAAUAUCUGGAGCUCAGGAUAUUUUGCAGAAACAGCAAUAUUUUAUGCAGGGUUGUUUUGUAAAACAUUUUGUAUUUUGUAAAGCGCAUCCUCUCCAAAGGAGCAGGAAGUUUUUUAGUAUUAUAAUAAAAUCCCCUGGACUAAACCAUCCAGGUAUCUCAGCAGUUUCCCACUCGUUUUCCUUUUCAAAAACAGCUACUGGACUUCCGUCCACCAUAGCUCACGGCUCAACCGUCGGACCUUUUAAAAACCAUUUAUCUCAAACGCAGCCUUUUUUGAAAACAAAACAUUAAUUGCCAUACCAUACCAGACUCGUCCAUACCAGUGGACACGGACUAUUCGAAUAGGUUUAGACUCUGCGCAGAGGUGUACACUUUACCCACUAGUCCGGCUCUGCGAUCUCAUAGCUAGUGAGACCCGAAUUCGAAUCCCUUUCUUUCCUCGCAUGUCCUAACCUUAACGGUUAUACCGGAAGGAGUCAGGCCACCGCCAUGUCCAAACCGGACAAAACAUUCCCCCUCCUUAUCCUCCCGGUGCUCCCCAGCCUUCAUAACCCUAGGGUUGGACCGUACGAGUUCAGAUUGAGUGACUGCCCACACAGUCUCGAGUGGUUGUACUUAUCAUGAGUACAGGUAGUGAAAGAUGACAAACUGGUCCUUAUAUGAGGGGACAAUCCUUCUGCUCACGCCUAAACCAGCUGAGCCAACACCUUAGGCCCUCCCCUAAACCAGGGAGUCCCUGAUUAUCCCACUCACAAGGUGAUAAGGGUGAAAACCCUUCAUCAUACACAUUUUCAAAAGCAUUUUCUUUUGAAAACUCACACCUUUUCUCAAAUCAUUUGUAACAAAUAUAUUAAGGAUUGAUUGCGGCAAGCGGCUUGGGUGGCCAUAAUAACUUGUCUCAAAAUCAUAUCAUGCAUAAAAUAACAGGCUGAGGGUUGUGGUUGAAAAAUCAUAGGUAAUUUAUGCAUCAAAGGGAUCCAGUGAGCUUGCCGUGCUUAUCCGGCGAAGGGGGAAGAAGAGCUCGCGGAACUGGCUUCUGGCUCCUGGCGUAGACUUGUAGAUCUAGCCUCCACGAGACAGUAUGAACGCUCUGAUAACUAUGCAACAUGAACAAGCAAACAUACAAACAAGCAAGUAUACCAACAAAUAUUUAGUAUAGUGGUCAGAAUAGAGAUAUAUGGAUGGGUAGAGUCUUGAGUAGAAUCUGUGUCAUGUGGUGUUGAGAUACUACUAGUGGUGGAGCGGAGGUGUUACCAGGAGGGUGGACUGGAGGCGAAGCGACACUAUGCGUGUAGCCGGUAGAGCGGAGUAACUGAGUGGGUGGGCGUUUGCCUUGGCUGAGGGUGUUGAGUGUGUGUGGAGAGGGAGAGGGUAGUUGGGUGUACUUAUAGCUGGGUGUAUGUGGUGUAGCACAGUGAAGUUCACUGUUGGUGAGAAUAGUGACGAAUGAAUCGUCUGACUUAGUCUGAACAGAGAGAUUAUAGGUAGAAUAUGGGAUAAGAGUAUUUUAGGAGUUUUCUGGAUUAUGAACCAUGCUUAUGGGAUGACAUGGUUGGAUAGGGAAUAAUUCGAUAAGAAUUUAGAAACGAGAAUUAUUGGAGUCUGAGUUUGGAAGCCUGGUUCGAAGGAAUCUCAAGUUAAGCGUGCUCAACUUGGAGAAACCUAGGAUGGGUGACCAGAUGGGAAGUUCCCACUGGAAGGAAAAUCACAGUCACCGGAGUUUGUAUAACUGGGAUAUGGGUCUGGCUGGUCUUAGGUGGACUAGACAGCAUGAUGGAUGAGUAGUUGAAAUUUGGGGUGAUCGGAUGAUCGAUGAAUAGUAACGAUGAAUAGUAACGGUAAAUAGUAACGUUAAAAAGUAACGGUAAAAAGUAACGGUAAAUAGUAACGGUAAAAAGUAACGGUAAAUAGUAACGGUAAAAAGUAACGGUAAAUAGUAACGGUAAAAAGUAACGGUAAAUAGUAACGGUAAAAAGUAACGGUGAAUAGUAACGGUAAAAAGUAACGGUAAAAAGUAACAGUAAAUAGUAACGGUAAAUAGUAAUAGUAAAUAGUGAUGGUGAAUAGUCGUAUGAACGAACGAUGAACGAUGAAUAAGAACUAUGAACGAACGAUGAACGAUCGAAUGAUCGAACGAACGAACGAUCGGAAUUUCGGCAGCAUAACGACAGGAAAAAGAUUAUCUGGACGAACGAACGGACGAACGAUCGAACGAUCGGACGAACGAACCAUGAACGAUCGGACGAACGAUCAAACGAUUGGACGAACGAACGAUCGGAAUUUCGGCAGCAUAACGGCAGGAAAAAGAUUAUUUGGACGAACGAACGGACGAACGAUCGAACGAUCGGACGAACGAACCAUGAACGAUCGGACGAACGAUCGAACGAUCGGACGAACAAACUAAGAACAGGGGGACGAACGAUCGAAGAACGACCGAACGAUCCUUGUGCUAGUGUGUGCUUGUGUGGAACAUGGAGUGGGUGUGUGGGGGGGAGAGAGUUGCCAUGAAAUGGCUUGGGGUGGGAUGAGAGGAGGCCCUUGCCCCUCUAUUUAUAGCCAUGAUGGGGGGAUUAGGGGGAGGGAUGAGAGGAUUAGUGGGAGGAUGAGAGGAUUAGUGGGAGAUUAGCAUGAAUUUGUCUCAUAUGAGUGUAAUUAGCUUGUAGAGCUCAACGUAUGACACCGGAGGCAUACGUAUACGUAUGAGCAUGAAGAAAGUUAUGAAGAAAAUAUUUGUGGGGGCUUGAAAAAUGAUUCUGAAGGUAUUUCUUAGGAAGAAAAUACUUGGAGAUAUAUCGGUGGAAUAUUUGGGUAGUAUUUCUAAAAGAGUUUGAGGGUGAUCACUGGGGAAAUAUUUGUAGUAUAUUUUGAGGAGGAUUUUAGAGAGAAUAUAGACCACUAUAUUUUACUUGUUGAUAUCAACUUGCAAACAAACAUUUUGAAACAAAAAUUGAAAUUCAUUUUGAAUUUAGAGCGAGUUUGAGAAAAUUUCAGGAUUUGAAUUUUUGGGAUGCUACAAAUCUACCCCACUUAAAAGGAAUCUCGUCAUUGAGAUUUGGCUUAGAAGGGUUAUGGGUAUAGCUUUACUUCAGCUACAUAUCUUCACUUUGCAGACUCUUCGAGGAGAUGGAACUUCAACAAAAUCUGGCCUUUCAGGAGCAUCCGAUUGCUGAUUGCAAACGCUGACUCUGGCUAAUCAAAGAUCAUCUUCAGGCUUCUAGCUUUCGCUUGGCAGCUAGCUUAUUGAAGAAGCAACGAUGCCAACACGCAAACCUUUCUCUUGCGAACUCCCACAUGGAUUCCUUCCUUGAUUGGUCUUCUGGUGCUUCAUCAACAAAACUUGGGUGACCACUUCUCAUCCAAAAACUUAUAUGCUUCGAUGAUCUGGUCCUCCACAAGCUUGCUACAGGCCUUCUUCUUUUUCUCCAUAGCAGGAACCUUACUGGAACACUACCCCACUUAAAAAGAAUGAGGGUAGAACUCUUGAAUCUUGGGGAUUUGAACUCCUUGAAGUACCUCAUAACAAGGGUGUUAUGGAUCCUUCUUCUGCUAUUGUUGCUUGAGCAGGCUGCAGAGAGAUGACUGACAUAGGGUUGAUUCCGGGAGAACCUUCUUCUUAUCUUCUCUUCACUAUCUUCUUUUCUCUUCUCACUUUUCACUUUUCACUGCCUCUUUCUUUCUCUUUUCUCUUCCCACUGGAGGAUUCUAUCACAGAGUAUUACCAUCAUACAGAGGAGGAAACCAAAGACUAUGAACCAUGUACAACAGUCUUCAACCCAAGAAUCACCAAGCAUUGUGAUCUUAGGGGCGAGGGAGUGGAAAAUGGAGUUGCUUGCGAAUUGGCAGAGGGGAUUUAUCUGGAGUGUGCUUUUCUUUGAGCUACGUGGGGAUUGAGGGAGCUGGUGGGGGGGGGGGGUUUAUAGGCGAGUGGUAUGCGAGGUGGUGCUCGGCUGUGGAGUGGCAGUGAUGGAGCAGGUGACACGAGGCAGCAAACACGACAAGGGGAGGGGGGCUGGUGUUGCCGGCGGUGGGUGCGCUGCAAAGGGGGCAUGGGUGGCGGUAGUGCGCUGCAAAAGGGGGCGUGGGGCGGUGGUAGUGCGCAUGGAGGCGGGCACGCGUGCGAGGGGCACAUGUGAGUGGUGGGGUCAAUGACCUGAUGUUUGUGGUCUCUGGUUCCAAGAAUCUUUGCCUCUCUGAAUGGUAAUAACUUCUUUUGUCCUCUUUUUCUGUUUACUUUGACUCAUGGGCAGUGCUUUGAUUCUCAUGGUCGGUCCUUUUGACUGAGCGGCUGGAUAGGUUCCUAUGUAGCUUGUUCCAGGCUUCAAGGGUAAGCUUUCCGAUAUCUUCUUUGGUAAGGUGCUUUUCUCUUGAGAUGGGUCAAGAUGAGAAUGGAAGCAUAAGGUGAGUAUUAGAUCUAAUUUGUUAUCUUUGUUUUUAGAGAAAACCUUUCUUAAAAAGAAAGAAAACACACAAGCUCAGCAAUGAUACGCACAAACAAAUCAAAUGUUUUGAAUAAGGGAAGAAUAAAGUUUUUCAAAGCACGGACUACUCAGAUUCGGGGGCUAAGCAUAACUACUAUUGCUCGGCUCCUGAACUGAGAACUAUGCUAAAAUGCGACUUAUGAGCACUAACGUUAAAGCAUCACAUAUGCACUCAAAAGGGGAGAAAACAUCAAGCGAAAUUCAUUUUGAAAUGCCCUAGGGGGCCACGCAAAUAGAGUUUUUCAAAACACGGGUCUACACGAUUACCUUUCAUACAUGCAGGGCUCUAGCCAAAGUGAAGAAAAACUUCACUACCCAAUGCAUGCAGAUGACUAGGCAUAACUAACUUCAGACCAAGCAGCUUCUCUUCUGGCAAGGCUGGCGCACAACUUCAGUCUGAGACAUCUCCUGGAUGGGUCAAGAGGGAGCUGAUGUUGAUGACUUCUUCUGGCGGAGGCUGAGAUGGCAAGACGGGGUCAAACUCUUCUUCAAGCAGGAGGCUCCUGAUUCCGAGGCGAACUGUGCAUGCUUUCAACAACUUGAGGAAACCAUCUUCAUUCUGGCAAAAGCUGGUUUGGCACUGAACCUCCAUCUGACUUCUGAGAGAAGGAAAGGGGGAAAGCAUUUUUGAAAUGAAGGGAUGAGAGCAAGAUUUUUUUUAAGAAAAUAGUUUUGACUCAAAAACUUUUGAUCAGGCUUAGGGUUACGUCCUGCGGCCAACCUAACAGCUUUGAUACCACCUGAAGCGUCCCCAAUCCUCUGGGACUCAAAUGUGAUACAAUUACUAGUCCCAGGAGGCUAGUAAACACAUUUAUACUUCAGAUGAUUACAGAUCUGCUUAAACGACAAACCUAUAAAGGUGGCGAACAACUUUAAGAGUUGGUCCACAACUCGGGACAUAUCAUCAGAGUGGGGCUGAAGCAGCCCGAUAUACGCAGCGAAGCAAAUCAGCGGUCCAACAGCCACAGGCAAGGUUGGGAACAGUCGUAACUCUUACCCGAUCUCCUUUUUCUGAAAAAAAGUAAAUAAGCAAGGGUGAGUACAAACGUACUCAGCAGCCCACCUUCACCCGCGGAAUGGGGAAAUCAGAUAUAAUGCAUGGAAUAUCUGGAGCUCAGGAUAUUUUGCAGAAACAACAAUAUUUUAUGCAGGGUUGUUUUGUAAAACAUUUUGUAUUUUGCAAAGCGCAUCCUCUCCAAAGGAGCAGGAAGUUUUUCAGUAUUAUAAUAAAAUCCCCUGGACUAAACCAUCCAGGUAUCUCAGCAGUUUCCCACUGGUUUUACUUUUCAAAAACAGCUACUGGACUUCCCGUCCACCAUAGCUCACGGCUCAACCGCCGGACCUUUUAAAAACCAUUUAUCUCAAACACAGCCUUUUUUGAAAACAAAACAUUAAUUGCCAUACCAUACCAGACUCGUCCAUACCAGUGGACACGGACUAUUCGAAUAGGUUUAGACUCUGCGCAGAGGUGUACACUUUACCCACUAGUCCGGCUCUGCGAUCUCAUAGCUAGUGAGACCCGAAUCCGAAUCUCUUUCUUUCCUCGCAUGUCCUAACCUUAACGGUUAUACCGGAAGGAGUCAGGCCACCGCCAUGUCCAAACUGGACAAAACAUUCCCCCUCCUUAUCCUCCCGGUGCUCCCCAGCCUUCAUAACCCUAGGGUUGGACCGUACGAGUUCAGAUUGAGUGACUGCCCACACAGUCUCGAGUUGUUGUACUUAUCAUGAGUACAGGUAGUGAAAGAUGACAAACCGGUCCUUAUAUGAGGGGACAAUCCUUCUGUUCACGCCUAAACCAGCUGAGCCAACACCUUAGGCCCUCCCCUAAACCAGGGAGUCCCUGAUUAUCCCACUCACAAGGUGAUAAGGGUGAAAACCCUUCAUCAUACACAUUUUGAAAAGCAUUUUCUUUUGAAAACUCACACCUUUUCUCAAAUCAUUUGUAACAAAUAUAUUAAGGAUUGAUUGCGGCAAGCGGCUUGGGUGGCCAUAAUAACUUGUCUCAAAAUCAUAUCAUGCAUAAAAUAACAGGCUGAGGGUUGUGGUUGAAAAAUCAUAGGUAAUUUAUGCAUCAAAGGGAUCCAGUGAGCUUGCCGUGCUUAUCCGGCGAAGGGGGAAGAAGAGCUCGCGGAACUGGCUUCUGGCUCUUGGCGUAGACUUGUAGAUCUGGCCUCCACGAGACAGUACGAACGCUCCGAUAACUAUGCAACAUGAACAAGCAAACAUACAAACAAGCAAGUAUACCAACAAAUAUUUAGUAUAGUGGUCAGAAUAGAGAUAUAUGGAUGGGUAGAGUCUUGAGUAGAAUCUGUGUCAUGUGGUGUUGAGAUACUACUAGUGGUGGAGCGGAGGUGCUUACCAGGAGGGUGGACUGGAGGCAAAGCGACACUAUGCGUGUAGCCGGUAGAGCGGAGUAACUGAGUGGGUGGGCGUUUGCCUUGGCUGAGGGUGUUGAGUGUGUGUGGAGAGGGAGAGGGUAGCUGGGUGUAUUUAUAGCUGGGUGUAUAUGGUGUAGCACAGUGAAGUUCACUGUUGGUGAGAAUAGUGACGAAUGAAUCGUCUGACUUAGUCUGAACAGAGAGAUUAUAGGCAAAAUAUGGGAUAAGAGUAUUUUAGGAGUUUUCUGGAUUAUGAACCAUGUUUAUGGGAUGACAUGGUUGGAUAGGGAAUAAUUCGAUAAGAAUUUAGAAACGAGAAUUAUUGGAAUAUGAGUUUGGAAGCCUGGUUCGAAGGAAUCUCAAGUUAAGCGUGCUCAACUUGGAGAAACCUAGGAUGGGUGACCAGAUGGGAAGUUCCCACUGGAAGGAAAAUCACAGUCACCGGAGUUUGUAUAACUGGGAUAUGGGUCUGGCUGGUCUUAGGUGGACUGUACAGCAUGAUGGAUGAGUAGUUGAUAUUUGGGGUGAUCGGAUGAUCGAUGAAUAGUAACGGUGAAUAGUAACGGUAAAUAGUAACGGUAAAAAGUAACGGUAAAAAGUAACGGUAAAUAGUAACGGUAAAAAGUAACGGUAAAAAGUAACGGUAAAAAGUAACGGUAAAUAGUAACGGUAAAUAGUAACGGUAAAAAGUAACGGUAAAUAGUAACGGUAAAAAGUAACGGUAAAAAGUAACGGUAAAAAGUAACAGUAAAAAGUAACGGUAAAUAGUAACGGUAAAUAGUAACGGUAAAUAGUAACAGUAAAUAGUGAUGGUGAAUAGUUCGUAUGAACGAACGAUGAACGAUGGAUAGGAACUAUGAACGAGCGAUGAACGAUCGAAUGAUCGAACGAACGAACGAUCGGAAUUUCGGCACCAUAACGACAGGAAAAAGAUUAUUUGGACGAACGAACGGACGAACGAUCGAACGAUCGGACGGACGGACGAACGAACCAUGAACGAUCGGACGAACGAUCAAACGAUCGGACGAACGAACGAUCGGAAUUUCGGCAGCAUAACGGCAGGAAAAAGAUUAUUUGGACGAACGAACGGACGAACGAUCGAACGAUCGGACGAACGGACGAACGAACCAUGAACGAUCGGACGAACGAUCGAACGAUCGGACGAACGAACAAACAAACUAGUGUGUGCUUGUGUGGAACAUGGAGUGGGUGUGUGUGGGGGGGAGAGAGUUGCCAUGAAAUGGCUUGGGGUGGGAUGAGAGGAGGCCCUUGCCCCUCUAUUUAUAGCCAUGGUGGGGGGAUUAGGGGGAGGGAUGAGAGGAUUAGUGGGAGAUUAGCAUGGAUUUGUCUCAUAUGAGUGUAAUUAGCUUGUAGAGCUCAACGUAUGACACCGGAGGCAUACAUAUACGUAUGAGCAUGAAGAAAGUUAUGAAGAAAAUAUUUGUGGGGGCUUGAAAAAUGAUUCUGAAGGUAUUUCUUAGGAAGAAAAUACUUGGAGAUAUAUCGGUGGAAUAUUUGGGUAGUAUUUCUAAAAGAGUUUGAGGGUGAUCACUGGGAAAUAUUUGUAGUAUAUUUUGAGGAGGAUUUUAGAGAGAAUAUAGACCACUAUAUUUUACUUGUUGAUAUCAACUUGCAUACAAACAUUUUGAAACAAAAUUUGAAAUUCAUUUUGAAUUUAGAGCGAGUUUGAGAAAAAUUCAGGAUUUGAAUUUUUGGGAUGCUACAAACAGCUACUCCAGCGACUGGGGCGCUCAGUGGUGGUGCAGGGGGCGCCUCCAGCAGGAGCACAGGGGAACAGCUCCUGACAGACUCUAUCUUCUGCUGAAGCGAGAAAGAAGAGCCCUGCUGCUCCAACUCCUGUCGUCGACGCUCCUUGACCUCGUGCAGGCGGUGGUGCAGCCUCUCCAAAUGGCUAGACUGACCAGUCACCGGACGGCGAAGCGGACGCUCAGCGAGACGAGAAGCCAAGAAGGGGAUGACGGACUUCCGUGCGGUGUGUCUAAUAUGAGCCAUCUACAAAAGACACCGUAAACAUAAGAGUGAGAACAGAGCUAAUAUGACCAGCAAGUAAACCAUAAAAAGAAUUAGGAAUUAGAAUAAAACAUUUUUUUGCAAGGUAUAAUAUAUAUAGUAGAACAUAGGUUUGGUCGAUAUGACCAACUUUUGAAGGGAUACCAAAGUCAAGGUGAUAAUAGGGGUCUAUAAUCUUUAGAACGACCAUUCUACUCUAGGUUAGCGGUCCUACAGUCAGCACAACUUUGAUACCACCUAUGUCACACCCGGUUUUAGAAGGCAAACCGAAUGCGAACCAUGUAUGUGCCAGAAUUAGCAAUUCACGUACACAACAGUUACAUAACUGGACAUCAUCACACAAUGCUCAAAUAAUAACAUAAAGGAGAAUAAUAGUCGAUUACAUCAUAAUGUCUGAGACAUCCACAUAGUCUAUAACAAUAAUCAAAGUGCAAAAACGAAACGUAGAUACACGCGGCCUUCACAGGCAGUGACUGGGGGUUGCCGCUAACCCACGCCUAAAACUCGUCGUACUCUUGGAACUCCUGGAAGUCUUCCUCCACGGCUUCAUCUUCUCCUGAGCAGUGGUUGCAGCGUGGACAACCUGGUGGGGGUUUGGUGUGUAAAGCAAGGGUGAGUACACAUCAACAUACUCAACAAUUGUCCCGUUUGGCUGUAGUGGACUAGCUUUAAGUGGGGUUAAGUCAAGCAAUUGCUUUUAGUUGGUCAGAUUAUUAUUACUAGUAGAGAGCCAGAUUUUAGUAUUAACCCAAGUUAUUAACCCAAAAGUACCUUUUCCAAACGGAAAGAAUACCACUUACCAUUACCAUAAUCAUAAUCAUGACCAUCAUCCUCGUCACCAUCUGUAAACCAACCAUCUCUGAUCAAGUAUCUCUAAUCAAUGGAGCUCCCUUGGCCGCUCAUAACCGCGAGCACAACUGAUAUAUCAGUUUCAUAACACUCUGCAGAGGUUGCACACUUUACCCACAAGUCGUGAUUCCCUUUCUGCCCAGAGAGAGCUACUCCCCAUUGACCACUACCUAGGUGGCCUGGCAGGAUAUCACUAUGAAGCCUUUACAAAGAUUCCCCAAGGCUGUAGCCGCCCGUUAGGUUUCCUAAAUGUACCGCACUCCUCCAAUGGGCAAACCAACCUUGGCAGAGCGAGCCGCAUACACCGAGUCCCAUUAACGGUACGACGGCGAAGCGAACUACACCCCAGUUCCUCUAAUUAUUAAGCUAAGGGCGUCCCAUUCCACCCUCAUGGUUGCACUGUUUUCCCGGACGGUCAUCCAAUGAACAGGUCCUUACGGAGAGGCACUCGAGAAACCGCUCGAGUCCCCUUAAAUGUCACAAUAUCAUCUUCAUAAUCAAAAGGGAAAUUAGCGUAUCAUAAAUAAUCUCAUCAUGUUCAUUGAUUAGGGUGAAGCACUAACAUAAAGCUAAACUAAAAUAAUCCAACCGACAUAGGUAAACAAGGAUAUGAUAAACAAAGCUAGUCAAUCCUACGUGAGAAAAUUAAUGUGAUCAAUUCUAAGUAGAGUUCAACUGCAUAAAAUAAACAGCACGCUCAACACGCACGGUGUACAGGGGGGUAGACGGGCACGUCGCAUGCGCGUCAGGGCACUACGCGCCGCGUUGGGCGAGCAGGCCGCGCGCCGGGGCCAAGCCACGGGCAGGGGGUCGUGCCACGCAGGGGCACCACGGCCGCGCCGUGCCGGGGCCGCGCUGCGCAGGGGCCACGCCGCGCCGAGACAGGGGCAGGGGGGCACGACGAGCCGCCUGUGGUCACGCGCGCCAGGGCAGGGAGCCACGCGCCAGGUCGCGCGCCUGGCCGUGAGCGGGCACGCGCGCCAGGUAGCCACACCAGGGGCGGGCACGCCGGGCCGCAAUGGGCGAGCACGCUGGGGCCGCCAGGGCGGGGCAGCGCAGGUUGCCACGGCAAGCGCGCCGCGCACGCGCAGUGGUCAGGGCUGGGGAAGAAGAGGGGGGGCGAGGGCGGCGCAGGCGGAUGGUGUUGAGGGGUGGCUCAGAGCGACGUUGUCACACCCGGUUUUAGAAGGUAAACCGAAUGCGAACCAUGUACGUGCCAGGAUCAGUUAUUCACGUACACAGCAGUUACAUAAUAUGGACAUCAUCACACAGUGCUCAAAAUAGUAUUAAUAAGGGAAAUAGUCGAUUACAUCAUACGUCUGAGACGUCCAUAUAGGUCUUACAAUAAAUCAAAGUGCGGAAAAGAAACGUAGAUAACCGCGGCCUUCACAGGCAGCCGACUGGGGGUUGCCGCUAACCCACACCUAGAACUCGUCGUAGUCUUGGAACUCCUGGAAGUCUCCUUCCACGGCUUCAUCUUCGCCUGAGCAGUGGUUGCAAUGCUGACAACCUGGGGAUGGGGGGGGGGUUUGGUGUGUAGAGCAAGGGUGAGUACACAUCAACAUACUCAGCAAGUAUCCUGUUUGGCUGUAGUGGACUAGCUGUAUGUGGGGAUAAGUCAAGCAGUUGCUUUUAGUUGGUCAGAUUAUUAUUUACUAAUAGAAAGCCGAGUUUUAGCAUUAACCCAAGUUAUUAACCCAAACGUACUCCUUUCCAAACGGAAAGAGUACCACUUACCAGCACCAUAAUCAUAAUCAGAAUCAUCAAUCUCAUAACCACCUGUACCAAAGUAUCUCUGAUCAAGUACCACUAAUCACUGGAGCUCCCUUGGCCGCUCAUAACCGUGAGCACGGCUGAUAUAUCAGUUUUCAAACACUCUGCAGAGGUUGUGCACUUUACCCACAAGCCGUGAUUCCCAUUCUGCCCGGAGAUCAUGACUCUCCAUUGAUCACUACCAAGGUGACCCAGCAGGGCAUCACUACGUAGCCUUUACAAAGAUUCCCCGGGACUGUAGCCACCCGUUAGGUUUCCUAAAUGCACCGCACUCCUCCCCAAGGGGCGAACCCAAACUUGGCAGAGCGAGCCGCAUACACCGAGCCCCAUUGACGGCACGACGGCUAAGUGAACUACACCCCGGAUCCUCUAAUUAAUCAGCUAAGGGCACCCCAUUCCACCCUCAUGGUUGCACUGUUUUCCCGGGCGGUCAUCCAUAGAACAGGUCCUUACGGAGAGGCACUCGAGAAACCGCUCGAGCCCCCUUGAUGACCACAAGUAUAUAUCAUAAUAAGAGAGGGGAAAACAGCGUAUCAUAGAUAAUCUCAUCAUGUUCAUUGAUUAGAGUUUAAGCAAUAGCAUAAAGCUAAACAGUAAUAAUCCAACCCAAAUAGGUAAGCAAGGAUAGGGAUAACAAAAGCUAGUCAAUCCUUAGGCAUAAAUGUGUAAAGCGGGAGGUGAAUUAAAGAAUGAAUAGGACAGAGAUAGGUCAAGGGACACUUGCCUCCACCAAACGACUGCUGCUCAGGGGCUUCUCCUGCGGGUUCCUCGGGCUCUUCAACCGGAUCGUUCUCUAUGCGAGCGCAAACAUACAUACAUCCACAUAUUUUAAUACCAAAGAACAAUACACCAUACAAUAGAAUGCAAUAAGUAAACAGACGUUCUACGCAGGCUCGCGAGUACGGUUAAGAGAGAAAGUGGAAAAGACAGUCGAGAAACGAUAACGUUACAUGAUUAUAAAUUAACCACUCGCUUAAUGGAAGGAAAUUUAAUGUAGACACUAUGUUUAGCGUAAAGUAAAGUCAUGUUUCAUGUCUAAUUAUUAUAAGCAGGUGGAGAUAAAUAAAAGGAUGGUCGCGCGGCGAGACGCGCGACAAAGCUCUCUAAAACAAAUUAAGAAGUUAACGACUCGUCGCGCGACCGAGCACGCAGCGAGACACUUUGCCUCAGUUAAGAGGAGACGUUAAGCGUGGCGCGACGAAGCGCACGACGGCAUACGUCGACUAAACUGAGUCCAAAGUGGAACGUCGCGUGAAUACACACGCGACGUUACACCUUAAACAACCUGAAACAAAAACGGAUCGUCGCGCGGCGAAGCGCACGGCGCAACACAAGAUAGAAUCUGAAUUUUAGACAAAUCCGUCGCGCGGCGAAGCGCGCGACGCAACACGCUAAUUAACGAAUAAUCACUGCGAGCGCGGGCGAGCGAAGAUACGGGCGAGGCCGAGACGGGGGAACGGGCGGGCGAGCUGGGGCCAGGGCGGUUGAACCGGCCAGGGGGGCGGUUGAACCGGCCAGGGGCGGGGCCGCGCGCAGGGGCCGGGGACGGGCAGGGGGCGAGGCCGAGCGCCGCCGGGGGCCGGGGUGGGGCCGCGCGAGGGGAGGCCGGGGACGGGCGCCGCCGCGCCGGGGAGGGCCGAGCGGGGGCCGAACGCCGCCGGGGAGGGAGGGGGAGGGGCCGAGCGGGGGGCCGAGCGGGGGCCGCGCCGCCGCGCCGAGGAGGCCGAGCGGGGGCCGCGCCGAGGGGCCGAGCGAGGAGGCCGGACGGGCGAGGCCGCCGGGGAGGGAGGGGGGAGGGGCCGAGCGCCGCCGGGGAGGGAGGCCGGGGACGGGGAGCCGAGCGCCGCCGCGGGAGGGAGGCCGGGCGGGCGAGCCGGGGGCGGGCACCGAGCGCCGCCGCGGGGAGGGCCGAGCGGGCGAGCCGGGGGCGGGCGCCGAGCGCCGCCGCGGGGAGGGCCGAGCGGGCGAGCAGGGGCGCCGCCGCGCCGGGCAGGGGCGGGGUCGGGCGCGGGCAGGGGGAAGAGGGAGGGCGCGCGCGCGGGGAAGAAGAGGAGGGAGAGGGAGAGAGAGAGAAGAGAAGGGGAGGGGAGGGGAGCUCACCUCGGGGUCCAAAAUCCGGUGAUCGCCGUCUCCAAAUCCUAGGGCACCACGGGGAGAGAGAGGUGGAAGAGGGAGAGGAGAGGUUGUUGCGCGGGAGAUCCAAAUGAGAGAGAGAGGAGGGGGGGCGCACGGGGGGGUUUUGGGCGCCAGGGGCGCGCAAGCCGGGGCGGGCCGGGCCGGUUGGGCUGGGCUGGACUAGGCUGGGCCGGGCCACUUCGCGGAUCGAAAACCCACGACGAGCGCGACCACUAAACGGAAUUAAAUUGCGAACCGAAAUCCGGAACGGAACGAGACGAACAUUCAACAUCAGACAAAGAAAUGUGCUUCGGCAUGAUGCAACACCCAUGAGACUUAGGUUUUGGUUUAUACAUGACACGGACACCUGCCGCUAUACUGGUUUGAAAUUGGGAAGAAAGAGCAAACGGGGAAAGAGAAAAGAGAGUAACGCCCGAAUUUGGUGAGAGAAAAGAAGAAAAAAUUCUACCCCCAAAUUCAGGGCGUUACAAACCUAUCCCCCUUAAAAGAAUCUCGCCCUCGAGAUUCAGGGUUGGCUAGCAAAGAGCUCAGGGUAUUUAGCCAUCAGAUCAUCUUCACGCUCCCAGGUUGCUUCUUCCUCAGAGUGAUGAUCCCAUCUGACUUUGCACAUUCUGAUGGUCUUCCUUCGGGUGACUCUGUCUGCAACCUCAAGGAUUUGCACUGGCUUCUCAACGUAGGUCAAGUCCUCCUGGACUUCAAGACCUUCCACUGGCAACUGCUCUUCUGGCACACGCAAGCACUUCUUCAAUUGAGACACAUGAAAGACAUCAUGCACAGCUGACAAAUUCUCGGGCAAACUGAGCUGAUAGGCCACUUCUCCACGUCUUGCAAGAACCUGAUACGGACCAAUGUAGCGGGGUGCUAGCUUGCCUUUCACUCCGAACCUCUUGACUCCUCUGAUCGGUGACACUUUCAGAUAGACAAAGUCUCCGACUUCGAAACUCAGCUCUCUUCUUCUUGUGUCUGCAUAGCUUCGCUGCCUCGAUUGCGCUAUCUUCAGAUUCUCUCGGACCAUCUUGAUGUUCUCUUCGGCUUCAAGCAAAAUGUCUGGCCCAAACACUUUCUUCUCUCCAGGCUGAUCCCAUUGCAACGGAGUUCUACAACUCCUUCCAUAAAGCGCCUGAAAUGGUGACAUCUUCAAACUGGCCUGGUAACUGUUGUUAUAGGAAAACUCUGCAUAAGGCAAUCUCUUAUCCCAUCCGGACUGAUCUUGCAACGCACAGGCUCUCAACAUGUCUUCAAGAAUUUGGUUGGUUCUUUCGGUCUGGCCAUCUGUCUGCGGAUGAUAAGCUGAACUGAAAUUCAGAUGCGUGCCCAAAGCUUCAUGCAACUGCUGCCAGAAAUGAGAGGUGAACUGCGUUCCUCUGUCUGACACUAUCUUCUUUGGCACACCAUGAAGACAAACAAUCCGAGACAUAUACAAUUCUGCCAAUACUGCACUGCUGUAGUUGGUCUUGACAGGUAUGAAGUGGGCUGACUUGGUCAAGCGGUCCACUACUACCCAAAUGGAAUCGUAGCCGGCUCGAGUGCGAGGCAAUCCGACUAUGAAAUCCAUACCAAUUUCAUCCCAUUUCCACUGAGGGAUCUGCAACGGUUGCAACAAUCCAGCAGGUCUCUGGUGCUCUGCCUUAAUUCUUCGGCAACUAUCGCACAUAGCCACAUGCUCUGCGAUUUCCCUCUUCAUUCCGUACCACCAGAAUUUCUUCUUCAGAUCCUGAUACAUCUUCUCACUGCCAGGGUGAAUCGAAUAAGCUGUCUCAUGAGCUUCCUUAAGAAUCAACUCCCGAAUGGACUGGACAUUGGGAACACACAAGCGGUCUUUGAACCAUAUCACGCCUUCUGCAUCUUCUCGAAAAUCUUUGCCUUUGCCUUCUAGAAUCAGUCGCCGGAUCUCACUGAUUUUCUCAUCAUUCUUCUGCGCUUCUUUGAUUUCGCGCUCCAAGGUAGGUUCCAACUCAACUGUGAUUCCUCGCGAAUUAUUCAGAAAUCCGAGACUCAACCUGUCAAACUCCUUAGCCAACUCAUAAGGCAUCGGACGAGCGACCAUCAGAUUGACUUGACUCUUUCUGCUCAAAGCAGCUGCCACUACGUUUGCUUUGCCUGGAUGGUAAUGGAUCUCCAACUCAUAGUCUUUGAUCAACUCUAACCAUCUUCGUUGCCUCAUGUUCAACUCUGACUGAGUGAAUAUGUACUUCAAACUCUGAUGGUCUGUGUAAACAUCGCAUUUCUGUCCAUACAGAUAGUGCCUCCAUGUCUUCAGUGCGUGAACCACUGCUGCCAACUCUAGAUCGUGGAUUGGGUAAUUCUUCUCAUGAACCUUUAGCUGUCGGGACGAGUAUGCCACAACUCUUCCCUCUUGCAUCAACACACAUCCCAAACCUGUGUAACAAGCAUCACAAUACACCGAGAAGGGCUUGUGCACAUCCGGCAAGACUAGGACAGGCGCUGUAGUCAACUUCUCUUUCAGCGCUUCAAAGGCCUCUUGGCAUUUCUGGGUCCACUUGAACUCAACCUUGUUGCCUAACAACGCUGUCAUUGGUUUCGCAAUCUUCGAAAACCCUUCAAUGAAUCGCCGAUAAUAUCCAGCCAUUCCAAUGAAACUCUUGAUUCCUCUAGCAUCUGUUGGCGCUUUCCAGUUCAAAAUGUCUGCCACUUUCUUCGGAUCCACAGCCAAUCCUUCUUUGUUGAUUAUAUGACCCAAGAACAGGACUUCACUGAUCCAGAACUCACAUUUUCUCAACUUUGCAUACAGCUGGUGCUCUCGCAAUCUCUGCAACACCAUCCUCAAAUGAUCUGCGUGCUCUUCUUCGCUUUGGGAAUAAACCAGAAUGUCAUCAAUGAAUACCACCACAAACUUAUCAAGAUAAUCCAUGAAUACACUGUUCAUCAAGUUCAUGAAGAACGCUGGCGCAUUGGUCAAACCAAAAGACAUCACUGUGAACUCAUACAACCCAUACUUGGAAAUGAAUGCCGUCUUCGGAAUGUCCGAAGGUCGGAUCCUGAGCUGAUGAUAACCUGACCUCAGAUCAAUCUUGGAGAACACGCUGGCUCCUCUCAACUGGUCGAACAGAUCUUCUAUUCUGGGCAAAGGAUACUUGUUCUUGAUCGUGACUUCAUUCAAAGCGCGGUAAUCGAUGCACAUCCUCUUGGUGCCAUCUUUCUUCUCCACAAAUAGGACAGGGGCGGCCCAAGGCGAGGUGCUUGGCCGAAUGUAACCUUUCUCUGACAGCUCAUCAAUUUGCUUCUUAAGUUCAUCCAACUCUGGUCCAGAUAUUCUGUAAGCUCUCUUGAAGAUAGGGGCGGUUCCAGGAAGAAGCUCUAUAGCAAACUCAACUUUCCGCUUUGGUGGCAUACCCGGUAAGUCCUUUGGAAACACAUCUGGGAACUCGGACACAACCUUGAUACUCUCGAUCGGGUCUGCUUCACUGCUAUCAACAGCUAUCUGAUAACAACUUCCUUUCUUCGGCUCAAGCGGGACUAACUCGGUCACCACUUCCUCUCCUAGUGGGGACACCAACUUGAUGGUCCUUUUAUCACAACUGAUAACUGCCUGAUACUUAUCUAGCCAAUUCAUCCCUAGGAUGACAUCUAUUCCCUGAGUACCCAUUACUAUAAGGUUGGCGGGAAAUGCUAUCCCCCUUAUUUUCACACUUAUAUUCAAACAAAUGCUAUCGGCUCAAAUUCUACCACCGGCUGAGUCAAUUUGAAUGGGGGUUGACAUGGUAGUAAUUGGAAGUUUAUGUGCUUCUACCCAUGAUGCAGUAAUGAAAGAAUGCGUUGCUCCAGUAUCAAAUAACACUUCUGCAAUAUGGGAGUCGACUGGGAACAUACCUACUAUCAUGUCGGGGGUCUCCUGAACUGCUUUAGCCUCCAAGUGGUUCAGCCUUCCAUGAUUAUAGCGCGGCUGAGAGCGAUUGCCUGCUCCAGGCUGAGACACAUUCUGCUUUGCUGGGGCACUGGGGCCUGACUGCUGCUGGGCUGCCUUCUUCGGACAUUGCAUCACCCAGUGGCGUUGCUCUCCACAGUGGAAACAUGCUCUGUUUCCAACCUGAGCUGGUGCUGCCUGAUUGUUCUGCUGGCUUGCUGGGGCAGGAAGACGAGGUGCCUGCUGAUUCUGCCUUUGAAACUGACUUCCUGACUGAUUGCUCUGACGGUUCUGGUACUGGUGCUGAGGAUACUGCCUUUGGAACUGCUGAUGCUGUUGAGGUGGACGCUGGUUCUGCCUGAACUGCUGAGGUUGAUUGCCUGAGAAACGAGGACGAUUGCUGCUUCCAGGCUGGGGUCCACUGAUCUUGCGCUUACGAUCUUCCAUCUCCUUGCGCUUCCUCUCUGUCAUGAUUGCUCUGUCAAUCAGGUGCUGGAAUGUUGGGAAGGUGUGAUUCAUCAGUUGGUACUGCAGAGGGUCAACCAAGCCUCUCAGAAAACGGUAUUGUCGCUUGGCGUCGGUGUUGACAUCUUCAGGAGCAUAGCGAGACAAUUGCAGAAACUUGUCCCGGUACUCACUGACAGAUAAUGGCCCUUGCUUGAGGGCCAGGAACUCCUCCUUUUUCACAGUCAUCAGACCUGCGGGGACAUGGUACUGACGGAAGCUACCUCUAAACUCUUCCCAGGUGAUGGCGUCAGGAUGGGCAUGGGUGGCGAGGUAAGACUCCCACCAUGAUUGGGCUGCUCCUCUCAACAGACGGGGACCAUACAGAACCUUCUCCCUGUCAUCGCACUGAGCGGUAUGCAACUCCCGCUCCACAGUGCGCAGCCAAUCUUCAGCAUCCAUGGGGUCAGAAGAAUGAGCGAACGUUGGUGGAUGACCUCUCAUGAACUCAACACGCUUGUCUCUGGGCAUCUGAGGCAUCUGAGGCUGAGGUGGGGCCUGCUGCUGCUGCUGCUGAAUGGCGGCCAAAGUCUGACCAAUGGCUUGAACUGCCUGAGUCUGCAUCAGAAACAUCUGCUCGAUGGACAUCGGGGGCGGGGGCGGCAGGUGCUGCUGCUGGGGCAUCUCAUCCUGUUGAGCGGCUCGCUCCUGCUGAGCACGCCUUCCUCCUCUGCGCCUGUUCUCUGACAUCUGCAGAAUGCAACCACACAUCAGAACUGAUCUGGCAAAUCUUGCAGCAUAAGGAAAGAGAAUAGAAUUCUUCAACAGCACUGAACAGAUGAGCAUCUUCACUGAUCUCCAACACAGACCACACAGCUUCUCAGAUAGAAAGGAAAGUGGAAUAAAAGGGGUUUCCCAACUAUAUAACUAACUUCAUUAACAUAAUAGAUAAACCAAAAUGCAGGGGAUACCCACACUCUGGUAACAGUCAUUACAAAGAUCCAAACCAAACAUAGUUCAUCAUGACAAACAUAAAUGCACAGGAUAUAGCAAACGACCCUGUCUAACUAAGACUAACUAAGACUGAGACUAACGCUAAGACUGAAGCUUCUACGUAUAUAUUUCGUAUUAAUUACAAGAUCCAACUCUAACGAGCUAUGGUUCUAGAGUUAUCUUGGUCUUGCAGUCGGGGUUGCCAUAAGACUGGUGUCCACGCUGAGGUGAGCGGUACGGGUGCUGAGUCCCGACGGGAGCGGGGGAACCACCAUCCAAGUGACGACGUUCCACGCGCUCAGCCCGCAGCAGGGCGAUCUCAGCACGAGCCCUACUCAGCUCGUCUAAUGCAUGGUCCAGCUCCGUGUUUAGCACGGCGGCUAGGUUGACUGUGCUGCUCAACCUAGGAUUGCCCUCACCGACAGGUGAGACAAUCACGCCUCCUGUGCUGCCAGAUGGACGGCGGGGGUAAUACUUCAGGUCAAGACCAUCAGCUGCCCCACCGAAAACCGAGCAGUAGUGCGAAAGCGCACGCCGUGCAGCAUCCUGCAUGGCUGCCUCAGCUGAGUCCCGUUCAGAGAUAGAAUAGUGCUCUGAGCAGGCCUCCGCACCCUGGAGACUGUUCUCCGGGCAGCGCACCAAACAGGUUGCCUCCCAGCGGUCCGGGUAGACCCCGCGACUAUGCUGGUAGACCACACAGCGAUACUCGACGGACCAAGUAUGCCGGUUAAAUGCCCGACGUAGCAGGGUGUCGAGCGCAUCGUGGAAGUGACACCCGCGAGCAGCGUCGCGAGUGAUGGGUCGAGCAACCCAUCCUUCCGGCUCAAGGUUAGCAGAGAAGUCGGUGUCGUGGCUCGAGCUGUCGUCGCCACCUCCGUCGUCUGGGUCUCCUCCAGCAGCUACUCCAGAAGCUGGGGCGCCCAGUGGUGGUGCAGGGGGCGCCUCCAAAGGAAGCACAGGGGAGCAACUCCUCACAGACUCUAUCUCCUGGUGGAGCGAGAAGGAAGAGCUCUGCUGCUCCUGUCGUCGACGUUCCUGCUCCUCACGCAGGCGGCGGUGUAGUCUCUCCAAGUGGCUGGACUGUCCGGCCACGGGACGGCGAAGCGGACGCUCAGCAAGGCGGGAGGGUAAGAAGGGGAUGACUGACUUUCGUGCAGUGUGUCUAAGUCGAGCCAUCUACAAAAGACAUCGCAAGCAAAAGGGUGAGAACAGAAUUAAUAUGACCAGCAAAUAAUGAAUCAUAAGUAAAUGAAGGAUUAGAAUAAAACAUGAUUUUCAGCAAGGUAUAAUAUAUAGUAGAACAUAGGUUUGGUCGGUAUGACCAACUUUUGAAGGGAUAUCAAAGUCAAGGCAGAGACAGAGGUCUAUAGUCCUUAGAACGACCAUUCUAUUCUAGGUUAGCGGUCCUACAGUCAGCACGGCUUUGAUACCACUUAUGUCACACCCGGUUUUAGAAGGUAAACCGAAUGCGAACCAUGUACGUGCCAGGAUCAGUUAUUCACGUACACAGCAGUUACAUAAUAUGGACAUCAUCACACAGUGCUCAAAAUAGUAUUAAUAAGGGAAAUAGUCGAUUACAUCAUACGUCUGAGACGUCCAUAUAGGUCUUACAAUAAAUCAAAGUGCGGAAAAGAAACGUAGAUAACCGCGGCCUUCACAGGCAGCCGACUGGGGGUUGCCGCUAACCCACACCUAGAACUCGUCGUAGUCUUGGAACUCCUGGAAGUCUCCUUCCACGGCUUCAUCUUCGCCUGAGCAGUGGUUGCAAUGCUGACAACCUGGGGAUGGGGGGGGGGGGUUUGGUGUGUAGAGCAAGGGUGAGUACACAUCAACAUACUCAGCAAGUAUCCUGUUUGGCUGUAGUGGACUAGCUUUAUGUGGGGAUAAGUCAAGCAGUUGCUUUUAGUUGGUCAGAUUAUUAUUUACUAAUAGAAAGCCGAGUUUUAGCAUUAACCCAAGUUAUUAACCCAAACGUACUCCUUUCCAAACGGAAAGAGUACCACUUACCAGCACCAUAAUCAUAAUCAGAAUCAUCAAUCUCAUAACCACCUGUACCAAAGUAUCUCUGAUCAAGUACCACUAAUCACUGGAGCUCCCUUGGCCGCUCAUAACCGUGAGCACGGCUGAUAUAUCAGUUUUCAAACACUCUGCAGAGGUUGUGCACUUUACCCACAAGCCGUGAUUCCCAUUCUGCCCGGAGAUCAUGACUCUCCAUUGAUCACUACCAAGGUGACCCAGCAGGGCAUCACUACGUAGCCUUUACAAAGAUUCCCCGGGACUGUAGCCACCCGUUAGGUUUCCUAAAUGCACCGCACUCCUCCCCAAGGGGCGAACCCAAACUUGGCAGAGCAAGCCGCAUACACCGAGCCCCAUUGACGGCACGACGGCUAAGUGAACUACACCCCGGAUCCUCUAAUUAAUCAGCUAAGGGCACCCCAUUCCACCCUCAUGGUUGCACUGUUUUCCCGGGCGGUCAUCCAUAGAACAGGUCCUUACGGAGAGGCACUCGAGAAACCGCUCGAGCCCCCUUGAUGACCACAAGUAUAUAUCAUAAUAAGAGAGGGGAAAACAGCGUAUCAUAGAUAAUCUCAUCAUGUUCAUUGAUUAGAGUUUAAGCAAUAGCAUAAAGCUAAACAGUAAUAAUCCAACCCAAAUAGGUAAGCAAGGAUAGGGAUAACAAAAGCUAGUCAAUCCUUAGGCAUAAAUGUGUAAAGCGGGAGGUGAAUUAAAGAAUGAAUAGGACAGAGAUAGGUCAAGGGACACUUGCCUCCACCAAACGACUGCUGCUCAGGGGCUUCUCCUGCGGGUUCCUCGGGCUCUUCAACCGGAUCGUUCUCUAUGCGAGCGCAAACAUACAUACAUCCACAUAUUUUAAUACCAAAGAACAAUACACCAUACAAUAGAAUGCAAUAAGUAAACAGACGUUCUACGCAGGCUCGCGAGUACGGUUAAGAGAGAAAGUGGAAAAGACAGUCGAGAAACGAUAACGUUACAUGAUUAUAAAUUAACCACUCGCUUAAUGGAAGGAAAUUUAAUGUAGACACUAUGUUUAGCGUAAAGUAAAGUCAUGUUUCAUGUCUAAUUAUUAUAAGCAGGUGGAGAUAAAUAAAAGGAUGGUCGCGCGGCGAGACGCGCGACAAAGCUCUCUAAAACAAAUUAAGAAGUUAACGACUCGUCGCGCGACCGAGCACGCAGCGAGACACUUUGCCUCAGUUAAGAGGAGACGUUAAGCGUGGCGCGACGAAGCGCACGAUGGCAUACGUCGACUAAACUGAGUCCAAAGUGGAACGUCGCGUGAAUACACACGCGACGUUACACCUUAAACAACCUGAAACAAAAACGGAUCGUCGCGCGGCGAAGCGCACGGCGCAACACAAGAUAGAAUCUGAAUUUUAGACAAAUCCGUCGCGCGGCGAAGCGCGCGACGCAACACGCUAAUUAACGAAUAAUCACUGCGAGCGCGGGCGAGCGAAGAUACGGGCGAGGCCGAGACGGGGGAACGGGCGGGCAAGCUGGGGCCAGGGCGGUUGAACCGGCCAGGGGGGCGGUUGAACCGGCCAGGGGCGGGGCCGCGCGCAGGGGCCAGGGACGGGCAGGGGGCGAGGCCGAGCGCCGCCGGGGGCCGGGGUGGGGCCGCGCGAGGGGAGGCCGGGGACGGGCGCCGCCGCGCCGGGGAGGGCCGAGCGGGGGCCGAACGCCGCCGGGGAGGGAGGGGGAGGGGCCGAGCGGGGGGCCGAGCGGGGGCCGAGCGCCGCCGGGGAGGCCGGGCGGGGGCCGCGCCGAGGGGUCGAGCGGGGGCCGCGCCGCCGCGCCGAGGAGGCCGAGCGGGGGCCGCGCCGAGGGGCCGAGCGAGGAGGCCGGGCGGGCGAGGCCGCCGGGGAGGGAGGGGGGAGGGGCCGAGCGCCGCCGGGGAGGGAGGCCGGGGACGGGGAGCCGAGCGCCGCCGCGGGAGGGAGGCCGGGCGGGCGAGCCGGGGGCGGGCGCCGAGCGCCGCCGCGGGGAGGGCCGAGCGGGCGAGCAGGGGCGCCGCCGCGCCGGGCAGGGGCGGGGUCGGGCGCGGGCAGGGGGAAGAGAGAGGGCGCGCGCGCGGGGAAGAAGAGGAGGGAGAGGGAGAGAGAGAGAAGAGAAGGGGAGGGGAGGGGAGCUCACCUCGGGGUCCAAAAUCCGGUGAUCGCCGUCUCCAAAUCCUAGGGCACCACGGGGAGAGAGAGGUGGAAGAGGGAGAGGAGAGGUUGUUGCGCGGGAGAUCCAAAUGAGAGAGAGAGAGGAGGGGGGGCGCACGGGGGGGGGGGGGGGGGGGGUUUUGGGCGCCAGGGGCGCGCAAGCCGGGGCGGGCCGGGCCGGGCCGGUUGGGCUGGGCUGGACUAGGCUGGGCCGGGCCACUUCGCGGAUCGAAAACCCACGACGAGCGCGACCACUAAACGGAAUUAAAUUGCGAACCGAAAUCCGGAACGGAACGAGACGAACAUUCAACAUCAGACAAAGAAAUGUGCUUCGGCAUGAUGCAACACCCAUGAGACUUAGGUUUUGGUUUAUACAUGACACGGACACCUGCCGCUAUACUGGUUUGAAAUUGGGAAGAAAGAGCAAACGGGGAAAGAGAAAAGAGAGUAACGCCCGAAUUUGGUGAGAGAAAAGAAGAAAAAAUUCUACCCCCAAAUUCAGGGCGUUACAGACGUGGGCGAGGUGGAAGAGAGAGGACAUGCGUAGAGGGGGUAGAAUGAACAGGGGGCGGCUUGGGGCUUACAGGUGGGGCCCACCACCAGGCGGCGGCGACUGGGUAACCACCCAGCGCUCAUGCGCGCGAGGGGAGCGGGGGGUGGCGGCUUGGCCACCGAGCUGGGCCGUGCGCCAGCCAGUCGGCCCAAGGCGGGGGAAGGGAGGCGCCAGAUGGGCCGCGCGGGGGGCGGGGGGGGGGGGGGGGAGAGGGCGCCAGGGGAGGAAAAGGAGAAAGGAAUGGUUUUUUUCCUAUUUCCCCUUUUAACCCAUUUUUCUAAUUUGUGUUUUUAGCUCUAGUUCUUCACCAAAAUGCAUACUUCACAAAUUCACUCAACAAACAAAAAAAUAGAUGCGUGGUUCGACAUGAUGCAACAACCAAAAGAAUUAACCCUAGGGUUUACUUACACAAGAUAUCGAGCUAAUUCUCGCUAGAACUUUGAAGAAGAGCAAGGCAUAGCGAGAAGAAAGAAAAAGGACAGGUAACACCCAAAUUUGGUGAGUGCUAGAGAAAGAAAAAAAAUUUAACUCUCAAAUUCGGGGCGUUACAGUGACCGAAACUGCAAUUUGUCUAGUAACAGGCUAACAACACUUUGUUUUUUAUGUUAAGUUACUGUAGGGAGGGCCUACAAUAUUUUAUUAUUUUGGAAAAAUAUGUACCGAUUACAUGUUAGGAACUAAGUCACUAGGAGAUAGAAUUCUGAAUCCAAUCUCUAAUUUUGGCACUUAACUCUGGUUUAACUCGAUGACACACAAGACUCGUUUCUCUUUUAAACAUUUCUCGACACGCAUCCACAAUGGCCAGGAUCUCGUUGAAUAUCCAAUUAUUCCUGCCUUUCCAAAUGCACCAAGACAUAAUGAUGAUAAUUUCAUUCUCCAUGGUACUUUCCAUCUCAUUCUGAUUCUUAGUAAAGUAUUGAUUAGUUCCACUGUUCUUGGUGGUGUGAUGCCUAUUAGAAGCCAACAUCUUCUAGCAAAGUUACAUCUGAAAAAUAGAUGAAGUACUGUCUCUUCUAGCAAAGUUACACCCGACAGCACUUUGUUACCGAGGAAGAUGCAAAUCAGUGAUACCCGAUGUUUUUCUUCCUUAUAACUGAUAGGUAUGAGAAGGACAUGUUCUCAUUCACUGGCAACUGGCUGUAGCCACAACCUAACACAUCAAGAGGCAGAGGAGCUGAGGGAAAUGCGACUCAGGGUGCAGCACUGGAAAGAGAAGGAGAUCAACGGUAAGGAGAGAAGACUCCAAGGAGGCUGCCCUAUGACUCCUCGUGAAGCGGCUCUUUUCCUGAAAGCUAUGGGUUACCCUUCCAGCACAAGGAUCUACGUCGUAUCAGGCGAAAUAUAUGGUGUGCGUAGCAUGGACGCGUUGAAGGCCGAAUAUCCAAAUGUCUACACACAUUAUAGCCUGGCUACAGUAAAUGGAUUAGAGUCUCUCAGGCUGUACCAGAACAAGUUAGCUGCUGUAGACUACAAUGUAGCCCUCCAGAGUGAUGUUUUUGUGUAUACAUAUGAUGGGAAUAUGGCUAGAGCAGUCCAGGGCCAUAGAAGAUACGAAGGAUUCCAGAAGACCAUAAACCCUGACAGGUGGGUAAAUUUCUGGAGUAUUGUUUUGAGUAUUCAGAUCUAAAUCCAAAGUUCUGAUUUUUUUUGACUGUUUAUAGGCGCAAGCUUGUCGAGCUCAUUGACAAGCUUGAUGAAGGUACAGUAGAUUGGACAGAGUUUGCAAGUGAGGUGAAGAUGCAUCAUCGAAACAAGCUUGGAGGUCCAUAUUAGAGGCUGUCUGGUCGAAGUCCAAGGCAUGAGGAGUAUUUUUAUGCAAAUCCUCUUCCAGGGUGCUUGUGCAGAAGAAACACACAGGAUCAAGUGGCAUGAACCUUACAUACGAAUACAUUGUUAUCAUACAUUGAGCUUUCCUCCAACUCAUUGACAUACAUCAAACAGUGAAAAUCCGGGUAAACUGACAGCAAAAAGACAUGUUUAUGUAGUUUUCCAUCUUACAUGAGGAUACAGGAGGGAACACUCACUGAAAUGUGCAUUUUCAAAGGAAUUGUUUAUUCGGGUUUUAAAAUAGAACAUGCAAAGAUAUUCAAAGAGGAUCCAUGUUGUACCACAGAGUAUAGAAUUAGCAGAUUUGAUGAAUUUUUAGUGUAUGUUUGUAUUUACUCCAUAGUCCACAUGUAGAGCCUCUCAUGUGGGAGCCUCCCGCACUUUGUAUGUCCUCUAGAUGUACAACCUUAAAUCUAAAAUUGAACUUUAUUCAUUUUAUUAUGCACAAUAAUCGUUAGUUGUAGCUGUGGCCAGUUUCUCUUGUGAGGUGAGGUGUUUCUCUUGUAUUCAUAGUACUCAUGAAAUAGGAGGAAUUCUAGCUCAUCCCUUGACACCUCUAUGAUAUCAGCCUAGCUCUUUCCAUGCCCUGUUUAUCACCUCCUUUAUUUUAUCUCUGGAAGACCACAAUGGCAAUGCCAAAUUGAGAUCGAAGAACACUUUGCUUCCAAAAUUCUUGGACAACUCAAUGGCUCUGAAGAGCGUGUCAUCCAUUAAGGGGGUUUAACAGGACUUCUGAAUUGAAAUGAAACAUUCUAGCAUGUGUAAUUGUGUGUAAUUACCACAGAGAUUAGAUCUGAAUAAAGAAAAAAAUGUUUUUUUUUGUUGCCAGCGUGUCAACCUGAACGGUGGAUUCUGCUAAAAAUGCUUACUUGAUUGAAACAGUUUGGAAGAUGAUCUCACCACGAUUGUGAAAGAUAUAGUGAUUGUGAAAUAAACUUGAUGGACUGUUCGUUGCUGUUUUCCGGUUUCUUUUUUUAUCUCUCUGAUAUCAGUCUCGCACCUCUAUAGUUCAAUUGAGGACGGAAAGUUCAUAACGAGUAGUAGUCUUAAAGCAACCUCUCACCAGAAUCAACUCGGGUAUUUGCAUCAGUAAUCCAGAAAUAUUUUAUCUUGAUAACCGAGCUGAGGCUCAGCCUGCCCACCCUCAUUCAAUGGUGUGACUCAUCUUAAGAUUAUUCAUAAAACUCUCCCAUACAUUUAAAAAAAAUACCUUAGUAUUUAUUAUGCAAUGAAAAAACAAUCUUCAGAUUAGUUCUUAAUGUUUGAAAUUAUCAUGCAAUUCCUAAUCUUAAGUUCCUAAAUUUACUAAUGCAAUUCCUAAACCUAAGUUCCUAAAUUUACUAAUGCAAUUCCUAAUCCUAAGUUCCUAAUUAACAUCAUAGCUAACUAAUGCUGGUACUCAGACGCAGCAGCUCAUGCAACCAAGCCGACAUACUCGAGCUCCACGGAGCCUAACCAGAGCUUGCCCUUCAUCUCCGCCACGUCGCUCAGCGUGACGCCCUUGGCCGCCGUGAGCUCCUCGACCUCCUCCCCGUCAGCGUUCAGGCGGACGCCCACCAGGUGCUUCACGGGAGCCGUCGCCGGCGUCGCGUCCAGCCGUUGCUUCUCCUGGUUCAGCGCCACCCAGUAGCCACCCUUGCCGUCCCGCCUCACGUUGUCGGGGUACCCCGGCAGGUCGGCCAGCAGGUCGUACUGCCCCGCCCUGGCGCCGCUGAGAAAGUACCUGAACGCCUGGCAGGGCACGGUGUGCGCGACCACGACGUGUGCCCCGUCGCGGCUGACCGCCACGCCGUUCGGGUACGGCAGGCCGGCCUUCAGCACGGCGACGCUCUUGGUCCGCGCGUCGUACCUGAGGAGCCGGCCCGUCGCGUCCGCGUUCAUCAUGAUCUCGGUGUUAAACCUCCUGGGAUACGUCGCGCUGGAGUCGGUGAAGUAGACGUCGCCGGUGGACUGGUCGACGUCGAGACCGUUGACGAAGUGGAACGGGGCGCCGCCCGCGCCGGUCGCGAGCACCUCGGCCUCGCCGCCGCCCGGGCCGACCCUCAUGAGCCCCAGGUAGGCGUCGGCGAUGUAGAGGUCGCCGGUCUUGGCGUGGAACUGGAGGCCCAGCGGGCGGCCGCACAUGCUCUCGGUCUCCUCCGACGGCACCACUCCCGCCGUGCACAGGGGUAUCUUGCGGUAGUUUGCGCUAUGCGCGAACGUGGUCCAGCCGACGGUUGUGCCGCCCCACUUGAGGACGCGGCCGUCCGAGACACCGGCGUAGGGCCCCUCGCCCUUCCCGUCGAAGGCGAGGCUCUCGGCGCCGCGGAGGCCGCUUGGUAAAGGAAGCUGGAAGCUCCAGCGCGUGUCGGUGGUCUUGAUCUGUGCGGCGGCAAACGGCCGGGCGAAAAGGGCUAGGGCUAGCACGACCAAAGCGAGGAGCCACGUAACUAGAUUGCUCCGACGCCCCAUGCUGCUAGCUAUAUCUUCCUCGCGAUCUUUCUAAUGUGCGAGAUGGAACCUGCAGCCCCUACCUUGGAUGGAGAACAACCCUCCAUAUGGCAUUGCAUAUAUAUAGUGCCGGCUCAAGGGGAUUCCAGGUUUGUUACAACCCAAUCUAAUCUAAUCUACUAUUUCUACGGUCCUAUCACGACUACUCGGACUUUUCGGACCAGACCAGAAGAUCGUGGACAAGCGCAAGGGAAGCUUUGCGAGAUGUUAGUGCUACUGCUACCCGUGGCGCGUGACGUUCGAGUUCGACGCUGCGUGACUGGAACUUGAUUUUAGUUCAGGAACAAACGACUUUACAAGUUUAUAAGUAAAUAUAAAUUGCUCAUAUUGUGUUUUUCCAUUUAAAUUGAGUUGAAAUUCAAAACCUAAUUUGUAAUUUGAAGUUUGAAAAUAAAAGGCAAGCAGGAAAUAAAAUGAAAAGAAGGAGAAGAAGGAGAAACUUACGUGUUACUACCUGGGUCAGUUCUACCCUUGGCCCGUUAACCGCUCACGCCUGCACAACCGAUCUCACCUCCCUCGCCGCCUCACGUGUUAGCACCGGUGCAACCGACAGGUGGGCCCCACUGGUCGGACUCCUAGCCGCGCGGAUGUCUCUAAUCAGACACUGGAGGGUGGGCUAGCUCGCUCAGUAACGGUCUCGCACGUGGCGUGCGUGCGCGACAUGUCUUUAUUUCGCUGAUGUGUGGGACCAGGAUGCCAGGUUAUUCUUCCUCGGAUUCUCAGCCGAGUUAGUUACAACAAGUUCACCAGCAAGUAUGUGAAGGUAGGAACCAUAAGAAGAGUAGCGCCUGUCGAAGUGGUUUAUGACAACAUUUCGCCUAAAUUGAGGGAAGAAGUUAUUGAACCUGUUGUUGAGCCUGGGCCUGAGCCGCAUGACGAUGAUGCACCAUGAAUAGGAAAAGCACAAAGACACCAGUUCUGGUAGGAAGAUGAAAUGGAGGGUAGGGCACUGCUUAUAAUGUUCUAGAGGUAGACAGAAUUUAGAAAUAAUGGAAAGCCUCGUACUUGUUGCGUGCAUAAUAGUGUCUAAAUUUAAACCAAUAGUAGAUCGGUACUCUGUAGUAGAAUUGAAUUGUCGUAUAUGUGCAUGUCAUCAUUCUUCUAUUUUCGUGAAAUGUGUCACUUCCUGAUCUCUUUACUCCACAAAUGCGCAAGAACACUCUGCAUACUAAAUACUUUGGCUGACACACCAUAUGCUCGUUCCUUGCUUUCGAUCAGCGCAGGAGUAACACACCUAAUUAUAUAUAUAUAUAUAUGUUUAAGAGAUCCUGAAUAAUUUUUUUCGAACAAUGAGAAGAGACUGCAUGGAAAUUUUACUAUUACUAAGCUGACCUCUGUAAGGUUCUACAUCACCAAGUAACAAAUAAUCUAUCGCUCAGGCGCAGCGAUUUCUGCUUAGCUAGAGCCACGAGCUGAUGAACUACGCAAUCUGGGAUUUCUCUGCCAGGAUUUUUUUUACUUGUCAGAUUUCGAAGCACUUCUUCGAGCUCAAUACAUAUCGAGUCUUACAGAACAAGUACGAAUUUGAGUUCGCCAGCCUGUAGGCAAGCCAGCCUUGACCCCUUUGGAUGUCAGGAGUUAUUCCAGUUAAAUGCUUAUUCUCAGAUGCUUCAACGCACGCAUACUCACCUGUAUAAUUUAUAAACUUCUAUAAACAUGCGCAUGCAGGGUCAACAUCUUCGAAAACUGGAUCAAUAAUUUUUUAAGAUGGAAUUAAUAAAGUUAUUAUAAACGUCUUACUGUCGAUAAAAGUAUCGUUUAUCACUAUAAGCGUAAAAAUCGUCAGAUCAUGAUAUAUUCGCUUAUAGAGUAAAUUGAAUUUUUGGAGAGUCAAAUUAGGAUGUACCGACUCUUUUGCUGUUGUGUGCUGCCACUUUUGGUUGUUCACGCUGUCACGCAACACAUGAUUAAAAGGAAAGGCCUACUCUCUCCAACCCACAUAUCAACAACAAGGGAAGCUUUGUGAGAUGCUAGUGCUACUGCGACCCGCGGCGCGUGAUGUUCAAGUUCGACGGUGCGUGACUGGAACCAGAGUCUCGUUGAUUUUAGUUCAGGAACAAACGACUUUACAACUUUAUAACUAAAUAUAAAUUGCUCAUAUUUUGUUUGUCCAUUUAAAUUGAGUUGAAAUUCAAAACCCAAUUUGUAAUUUGAAGUUUGAAAAUAAAAUAGGAAAAUAAAAGGCAAGCAGGAAAUAAAAUGAAAAGAAGAAGAAGAAACUUACCUGUUACUACAUGGGUCAGUUCUACCCUUGGCCCAUUAACCGCUCACGCCUGCACAACCGAUCUCACCUCCCUCGCGUGUUAGCACUGGUGCAACCGACAGGCAGACCCCAUUGGUUCUGUUAACUGGGAUUUCUCUGUCAGGAUUUUUUGCCUGUUAGAUUUCGAAGCACUUCUUCGAGCUCAAUACGUAUCGAGUCUUACAGAACAGGUACGAAUUGAGUUUGCCAGCCUGUAGGCAAGGCAACCUUGACCCCUUUGGAUGUCAGGAGUUAUUCCAGUUCAAUGCUUAUUAUCAUAUGCUUCAACGGACGCAUACUCACCUGUAUAAUUUAUAAACUUCUAUAAAUAUGCGCAUGCAGGGUCAACAUCUUCGAAAACUGGGUCGAUAAUUUUUUAAGAUGGAAUUAAUGAAGUUAUUAUAGACGUCUCACUGUCGAUAAUAGUAUCGUUUAUUACUAUAAGCGUAAAAACAGUUAGAUCAUGAUAUAUUCGCUUAUAGAGUGAAUUGAAUUUUUGGAGAGUCAUAUUAGGAUGUACCGGCUCUUUUGCUGUUGUGUUUUGCGUGCUGCCACUUUUGGCUGUUCACGCUCUCACGCAACACAUGAUUAAAAGGAAAGGCCCCACUCUCUCCGGCCCACAUAUCAACAACAAGCUCUGCCAUCUGCAUGUCAUUUAUGCUAUUUAGCACCACACCGCUUGCUCACAUGAGACAACACUAGCUUAAAAAUCUAUUCUUCAGUGCCACACUCGCCGAGCAGCUAGCGACUGCUUGUAACCCGAGCGGGGGCAAUAAGGUGGUGUGGAUGCCAAUUGUGGCGCUUGGACCCGGGCCUGGUACUGCAAUCUGUGGCCCGCCCGUUCCAAGUUGGUAGUUGGGUUGUGGCCGCUUUGGCGAAGGCCAUGGCGUCCCUCUCUCUAGAGCGGCGGGCAAUGCGUGAGGCUGGUUUCACAGAGCAGCGAAUACCGUUCGCUUCCAACGGUGGAAGGAUAACGGGCCACUGCACUCUAGGCCCACUAGGCCCAAGUGCUCUUUCUAGCAGACCACCAUUUUUGUUUUUUUUGCUUGUCUUGCAUACCUACUCAUUUGCCACUACAGCCCAUUUGUCCAACCAACAGCGUCAAGUAACAACCAUCGUCAAUCGAUUAUGUAGGCUAUUUGAGCCUCUAGGCACUGGUCCUCUAUACGUUCGAUGCAUUCCACAUGUAACAUGUUCUUGCCAUUUUGUACAUGCUAGUGUGUUCUGAUUGAGUUUACUGUGUCUGUAGUAGACAAAUCUUUUUGGAUCAAAAGCAAUUAAACGCUCUAGAAGAUGAAGAGCCAAAGGAUAGAAAUUUGUAAAGCUCAAGUAUCUAUUGUCCUCAUUUUGGAUCUACAGAGAUCUUAGACAACAUUAUGGGGUAGAUGGGGAGGGAAACACACCUAACAAUAGUGCUUGGCUCCAUGCCCACACACCGGCAGCAUGACAUGAGCAGGGAAGAAACCAGGGCUCUUGCCCGAUCAUGCGUUGCCCAGGGGUGUAGGGAUUUUAGCGUCAGAGUGUACCGACCUACCUGGUGGCUGGCAUUCCUCGUGGCGGCUAUCGUGGGCCUCCAUGUUUGUUGCCCUCGCGUGGGAGGAUGGGUGAAGGCGGCACAGGGAGAGGUACGCGAUGGGCAGAACGACGCUGAGGAUGUCGCACGUGGUCCCCUCAGAUUCCUCGGACGGGCGACAUCAUUUGAGGAGAAGGAGGGAGGUGGGUGGGGGAUGGCGGGCAACGACCUUUGAGCGGCGUGGAGAUGGAAACCACUUACCUAGACUGUGGGAUCAGGAUUCAGAAGCGCUGGCGGCUAUCGCUGGAGCCGAGGGCGGCGGCGGGGGCAUAGGACACGACACCGGGAGCCCCUCAUAGAGCGCGAGCUAGAGGAAGAGACGGAGGAUGAAGAGAGACAAAGCGAGGGCAAGCGAGGAGAGCAACCUAGAAGUCUUCAGAGGCGAUAAGAACCAUGGGCGCACGAGAUAGAAUGCGGGGGAAAUGAACCAACGAUCCACGAUCAAACGACUAAGAUUUUUUUGGAUGGCGUGGAUGGGCUCAUAGGCAUCAUUUCCAUCCGGCUUUAAUAAUAAGGAAAUACAACCGAACAAGUUGGUUACGAUCAGGGACCGGCCAUUACGAUCCUAGGCAUCUCCUCGUGGCUAUAUAACCCGAGCACCCCCUCCUUAACCAUCUUGUGCCAACACCGAGGAGCCAAACAUCGCAAUGAACCGAAGAGUUGAGAGUACCACCAUGAACCAAGUGACGAACGAUAGGGAGAGAAAGUCCACACCGGGAGGAGUGGUCGGAGAGCGAGAAGAGUCGUCACCAGAGUCACAAAUAGGGGUGGUAAUGGAUCCUCCAAAAAAAGUUAGAGCUCUUAAAUAAUGUUAGUUCAAAAAUGAAUAGAAUAGAGUCCGAUCAAUUCAAUUCUUAAAAUUUAUAGUGUAAAAUCUAGAGCCUAUUACCAUCUCUAGUCACGAAACACCGUGCUUCUGCCCUACGUCGUGGUUGGGAGUUCCCGUGACAUCAGUUGUUGUGAGAAUCCCCUCCAAAACUUUGCAUCAUCAUUCUCUAUGUGUAGAAGCAUGCGGUGCUCAAGCUCUCUCACUAGAAUGACCGGUCAUGCAGGUCCACUAUGGCGCCACUGUGGUGGUUAGCGAGCGUCGCCAGGGUUAGCAACCAAGAGGAUGAAGAUGCGUCGUGUCGUAGAUCACGAGGAACGAUCCAGAUUAGAUCAGUUAUUUUCGUUCCAUAUGAAUUGGAAGGGAUUGAUAUGGAUUUAGAGGGAUUUUAACUUACUAGUGAUUGAAACCAACUCAAUUCCCUUCAAUCCAUAUGGAUUGGGGUUCAACCGAACAAUACCAUUUCGAUUAUUUAAAUCUCAACCGAAGAUUUGUGAUCGCACGAUCUGGAUUAAAUCCAAUGUAUCGCUUCGGCCAACCGAUCCAAGCCGUAGGAUCAACGUCACGUGGCUCUAGCUGAUCCGUGCAGUUUAGUCGUGGUCCUUUUCUUAAAGAUCCCUCGGUGUUCUGGGUAAUGAACCCACAGUUUGGUGACAUUAGUAAACCAUUUAAAUUAUGUCCUGAAGCUUUGCAGAACAGUACCCGAGAGCUUUAGAAUUAGAACCCACCUCCUAGGGGCCAGGGGUGACAUUCUCACACCAGGAACCUGUACUCUUAAUAAAGACUAGGUGAGUGCCCGUGCGUUGCAACGGGAACAUAAUAUAGUAAUAAAUCAAAAUAAAUCUCUAGCACAACAUUAGAACUACACAUUUUUCAUAGCAAAUGGAUGUAACUUUUGCGCGUGCAAGUUCAGGGCCAAUUGUUUUUUUCUUCCUAAUAAAAUCGUAAACAUAAGCAUGAAUCAAUUGUUCAUAUGAAAAGGGUAAAAAAUGAUACAAUUCAUCAAAUCAAAAACACUCUAAGGCAUUGUUUGUUUGCAAGUGGAUUGGAGGGAAUUAAGGUAUAUUAAAUCUUUUUUCUAUUCAAUUUUGAAUAGAAAGAGAUAUGUUUUCCUCCAAUUUCCUUCAAUCCACUCCUAACCGAACAAGCCCUAAAUAAUAUGACACUCCUGAGAGCAACAUAUGAUCUCUCAAAAAUCACACCAGUACUGCUUUCAAGGACGAGAGAGAGGCAGAAGCAAGAUAACACUUAAACGACAGGGGGAAUGCACGAACCCAUUAAAAGCAUGAAAACCACCCACAAGAGAUAGAGCAUGGCAUUAACAUACAACUGCCCUCACAUGAACAUACCAUGAGACAACAUAAGUGAAUUAAAUGUGAAAAUUGAAUAAGUCUAAUGUUAUAUGACCAAAAGGAAGUUCACUCUGUAAGCUCUCAAACAUCAGCAAAAUUUGCUGCGGAGUCUUCGAUAUGCUGGCAUUCUCGGACAAGUUAACAGAAGAAAUAGAGAAGACUCCGGAUGCAUUGGUUCUCCAUAUCAAAUGCCAAAUAUCAAAUCCAUCACAUUGGUUACAAUUGUGGUGCAGCAAGGCUGCCAGUUGCACGUCGGCCUGCAUCUCAGCUGACAUUUGUGUUAGCUUUCGGGUCAUAUGGGUGGGGGCAAGGCUCCUAACUGGUUCAACGUACCAGAGCUCUUCAAGCCAAGUAACUUUGAAGGUAAGGAAACCAUAAAUCCACCUUGAUUGCUUUGAGCGGAACUCUUGUCCAGUUGUUGCCGGUGCAACACAUCAAUAGGCUUUACUCAAAAUUAUGUUGUCUCUAGAACUUCGUAGAGAUAAUAGGUUACGGAAAUCUAAAGUGCCUAUCUUUAAUUCAUGAUUAUACAAACAAUUGAAGAGAAAAUUGCACCUACAAAAGUAAAAAAAAUUUGGUAGGGAAUGACAAAAAAGGACCGCAAAAAUGGACCACUUAACUGUUUGGUUCGAUAUCUAUUCAGAGAGGGCACUAUUAACUGCUACAACUAAAAAAGGGAGAGGCAUGCCCAUAUGUUCAUACUGUUUGUCAACUGGAACAACUUUCUAGUAUCUAUUGCAACUGAAAGAAUAAUUAGAUGCAAAGUCUAAUGAAACAAUAUAUGAGACAUAUUUUCUUUUAUAAAAUUUUCAAGUGAUAUCAAAUGUUGGGUUUCUAUAGCUCAAAAAUUCAGUGAAACAAUCUAAUAUACUGAAGUCUAAACAAUCUUCCAUGUAUACCUUUCGACCAUGGUUACAUAUUUUUAGGAUUUUCACUAUAUAAAGUGUAGUCCAUGAGUGCUUGUGUUUCAUGUGGUUUAGUCUUCAGAAAAACAACCAUUUUAAAAUCAAAAGCGGACAUUUUGAAAUGGGAAGCAAUUGCAACAUUUCUACUUAUGAACAACCAUUUUGAAAUCUCUACAACAAUUGCAACAUUUCUACUUAUGAAGCAUUCAACUGUCAGAUCAUAAUAAAUGGAGCAACAAAUGCAGUUAGUACCUGCAGUUACCAAGCAUAUUUAUGUGAAUUUUUAAGUUUUCUCACAAGCUUAUCUCCAUAUAAUGCCACAAGCCCACAAGCUACAUCAAAUAUGAACUACAGAUACAUUAUGCAAAAAAUGGGAAGUCGUGUUCUAUUGUCCAUGCAGUUUUGUGCCACACACAAAAUGGAUGCUUUAGAAAUCUGAACUGCAGAUACAUUAUGCAAGGAACAUUUCAUAAAAUGGGUAUUCCUGUGUUCUAUCACAGAUUGCUGUUGCAAUGAAAUUCUCUUGAACAGGUUAACAUGACUCUAUUCUUUUGCUAAGAAUAAAGAAUUGCAUUAUGUGGUUGUAGCUACAGAAGAUAUGUUGAAUCCAAGAUAUGUAUUUGACAAAAAGGAGAAGAUGGUGAUCUAAAUUCAUAGUUUAGUUUAUAUUCAUCAUGCCUUCUCAUACAUUAGUAUUCCUUCACAAAUUUUAGUUUCUGGGAAAAAUGGACCUUAUGGUAGCACCUAUAGAUCCAUAAUUCUUGUCUUUUUGGACAACAUAUCUCAAAAACAUUUCAGAGUUAUUGGUAGUAGAAAUUCUAAAAGCUCAUCCAAAACAACAAGUAAUAAGAAAUUGCAAAAGAAAGCUAAAAAGGAGCCAAAAUAGAUUAAAAAAGGCAAAAAUAUAUUUUUAUCUAAAAAUGAUGAAUAAGCGACAUUCUGUUUUUCUACAUCCACUCUUGUCAAUAUGCAUGUAUCACUUCAGUAGUGUGCAGAGCAGCAAAGGUACAUAAUCAAUCUCUAGUUCCUUCGUCUGAUCAAUGCUGAGUUCAUUAUAAUUGUGGUUAUAUAUGCAAGGACCAAAAUAGAGAACAGAUGCCUUUAUGAACAUAAUUGAUUUAAGUAUACCUUAACAGAUGCCUUUAACAAGCUUUAGGAAACAAGGAUUUUUUUUUUGCAUUAGUCACUUGCUAUUUGUUUCAUGUCAAUAUCCUUAUUAUCUAUAAGAGUUCUUUACAGUAUUCAUUUUAUAGGAUAAAUUGAUCUGCCUAAAUGAUAGUCACUACAAAAAUUUUAGGCAACCAAUACAUAACUGAAAUAGUAUACAAAAAUGUUGGUUAUCAAAAAUGAUGAAGCACUUAAAAUUUGAACUGAUCCUGAUCCAAUUCAAAUACACAUUGAUUAUAGUAAAACUACUCAAAACAGAGCUUUCAGGGCAUCACAUGAGCUUCUCAACCAAAUAAUAAUAACUAUAAAAUUACAUACUAUGGCAUAGAAACAUACAUGUAUAUCUCAUCCUAGCAGAGCGUAGAGAAAAAUAGAUCUCUUCUCCGUUUAACUAUAAAAUUAAAUAGAAUAUUUAUAAGACAGUACAUUUUUAUGACUGAAAAUUUAAACAUUGUUUCGUAGAUAAAGGCUUUAAACAAUGAAGAGUCUGAUAAAGAGAAAUGGAUGGGCAGGCAUAGAGCAUACCAAAAUGGCUUCUCCUUCAGAUGAACAUGCUAUGGAACUACUUGAAUUCAAGUUUCUUGAGUACACAAAAUCUCGUAAAAAGGCAUCCUUCAACAAGGAAAAGUCUGGCAGGGAUCUGUAGUUUCAUUGACAUCAUUUUAGUAUCCAGUAUCCACAAACACAUUGAGUCUUUAAGUAAAUUGUUGCCUCACCUUAUUUCAAUUUUCCCAUUGUAGAAGACAAAUAUAAGUCCAAUGUCAUUAGAAGAACUAUGAAUAAGAGAGGUGAAACAACUACUGCUCAAUUUCUUCUUAUUGAUUAUCUUCUUUGUGCCCUGAAUGCAGUAUAGAAUCAUAAGAACAACAACAAUUCGUGUUAAAGAAAAAGGUGGUAGAUAAUUAGAGAUACAAAUACAUGAAUUGUGUGGCCCAAGGAAAACAAGCGGAUCACAUUUUUAGUGCAAAGUAACAAUAAUGAUUCCUUCAAUAAUGUAUCAUGUUUAUCUGAAACUGCUGGUGUGUCAUUAGGCGAUAACUCUAUCACACAAUUUUAUACAAGGACUUAGAAUGUCAGUAGUUAAUGUACACAACAAAAACUGAUAAGUAUGCAAUGCCAUAAAGCGCACCCAACAUUUGCAGAAGGAGGGCUUUAGAGGGUUUGUCUGUCUAAACUGGGUUGUGGUUCAAAAGUUUUCCCGUUUCUUCCUAGAUAUCAAAAAUAGAUGAAUCUUCCAUCGAUAUUAUCAAAAUGUCCUUGUCAUAUCCAUUAUGGCUAUAGAGGUCACCAAACCAAUCUACUAUUGGCGCAAAUACAACGAAAAACACUCCACUAAAGCUAAAUAAACUAAAGAACUGCACACUAUUCCAUACACCAUGAGGUGUGGUCAUUUGCUAAUAGCUACCCAUCACUUUUCCUAUUAGAAGGAUACAAAGAACAGAGAUACAAAAAUGUAGUACCUUUAAUUUUGUUAUUCAAUACACAUGAGCAAAACAAAUAGUGAUUUUUCAGUUCAUGAAAGAUGAGCAGCAUGAAUAGGAUAGUUAUGCAUCAGGGCCCAUGUUGAAAUAUUCCAUACCUCAGAUCGAUGAAUUGGCAAGGAGCAACUAUCACAAGAAGAGUUAUUGCAGCGACAGUUUUAGUUUACCUAUAAAUGAAAGAUUUUAGUAAGUAAUAAACAAUUGAAAAAAGAACAAAAGUAUGCAAUCGAGAUUUUGUCAAAGAGCCCAACUAAGUUUCUCAAGAUUAAUGAGAUGGUCAUGACACUCAUCUAAACCAAUUGACUCAAACUAAUUCUGCUCAUCACCCAACUAAGAAUAUAAUCAAUGAGCCCACACCACAGUUAAGAACAGUACGAAAGAACAUAGAGAAAUAAGAAAAAAAUAGACAGCUUACUAAAUAGCUUCGAUCUCGCUGUGCAAGAUUAUUAGAUGAUAUCCAAUAGCUCCCAAUUAGAGACACCAGAUAUCCGUAUCCACACAAAAAACUAAUGUAGCAACAUCGGGAGAUCAGAUGAAGAUGUACACUCAUCAGGAAUCAGAUGAAAGAGAACACACCAUUAAUGAAUUGAAGGUAAAGGUGGUUGUGCUUAAAGAUUAUCCCAGUUUAUACUGUUUAAAAAUAUGCAGGCAUGGCACAAAAGUGUAAAUAAAUCAUUUGUUACAGAAGAAAUUAUUAGAUGCAGUUACUAUGGCACACUAUUAGACAAUAAAAAGAAGCAACAUAAUUGAAACAUGACUGUAUAAGUACUGAGAUUUGCUCAAACAAAAUUGCGAUUUUGUCAAAGAGCUCAACUAAGUUUCUCAAGAUUAAUGAGAUGGUCAGGGCACUCAUCUAAAUCAACUGACUCAUAUUGAUUGUGCUCAUCACCCAACUAAAAAUAUAAUCAACGAGUCCACACCACAGUUCCCGGCAUGCGUAUAUUAUCGACCUCCAAGCAAGGAGCUGCUGGACCAAACAGAUUUUGGGUCAGAUCGCAUGACAUAAAUCAAGAAUCUCAUAAGCACCAGCAACACAUUCCAUCUAUGGUCCAAAGGUUAGCUCGUCAAAAGGAUAAGUGGUUGAGCUCCAGUUCGAAUGCAAUAAAAAGUCAUGAUAGACCUUUGUCAAAGAGCUCAACUAAGUUUCUCAAGAUUAAUGAGCUGGUCGUUGCGCGUUGUACUUCGGAAGGGCCGUCGACUUUCCUGCCCGCUUGAAGUGUCUUUUCAGGUCAAUUACUUGCCUCAGCUGCAAAAACAGUUGGCAAACAUACUAUUACAUAAGCAUCCCAAAAGAAUCAUAGACCACGUAAGAUAAGCCAUCACUGCUGAGCCAUCCACACGUGAAGGAAUGGAUUGGACGAGCACACUCCUUUCCCCCUCUUUUUAUGGUAUUCUAUUUUCUAUUCACCCUCUGCUACCUGAUGGUUUUUAUGUCAAAAAUUACAGAUCAUAAAAAAAGAAAGCAUAAAUAUUGCAAAAAUGAAAGUAACAUAUGAUAGCCUAAUAACAGUAAUAACAUAUACUGCAUAUAUUUCACUCUAGCCUAUGAGUCAAUGUUAUCUAACUACACUUGCAAAAGAGGGAGCACAUGCUAUACACAAAAGAGCAAAUGAUAAACUGAGAUUUGUUUGGAUGUAUUAAGGUUCUAUGUUCCUAUUCUAAUAUAUAAAAAUUUGCAUCCCCUAAUUGCAGACCAGUUGGCACCUUAGGGGAGACCUUCCUGGAGCAGAGAUAUGUCAAAUGAAAUAUAUUGUAGCUACCUGUUAGUACCUUAGGGAGACCUUCCUGGAGUCGAAUCUCCGAUUUGUCCGACCAGCAUGAGGGACUACAGCCCCACUAUAAGGCGGCUGCAUGUUAGAGAUCAUAAAUUUUGUGCUGAGGAAGUUUGACCUGGAAAUGACGACAAAUAUCUCGAUUAGGCGACAUAAUCAGACAAACCAGGCAAAAACAAGACAGUCAACCCAUUCACUUGCAUUUCAAUUCUAUUACCUCAGCUUUCCAAUAUAUGUGUUGGUAGAUCUUGAUAUGUUGUCAGCAUCCAUCGAGAUAAUAUACUCGUACAGCUUGUUUUGCGGUUCCUUCUAGCUGAUAAGAGGAACUCGCCAUUCUCCGUAAGUACAACUGAUCCAGAGGGGUAAAAAAGGAGAGUGACCAAUUGCAUUCCAAAUAAAAAGAAUGUUGGGCAGAAAUGAUGGGAAGACAUAGGCAGAACAGAGACCAGAAUGUCUACUUGAAACUAAUAGAUAUUUGCCAAAAUCAUCCUAGGAAUUCACCAACAGUAAAGGAUAUAUUCAUACAAGAAAAAUAAAGGCACAACAUACUAGUGGUCAGGCACAAGUAGAGAUGAUAUGUGGUCUUCGAUUUAUCUCGCUUUAUCUCGUAUCCCAGGCGCUGGAGCUCGGCGAAGAGCUCGAGCGCGUGCAGCACGGUGGUGUAGGCGCUGACGUCCAGGCGGGAGCUCGGUGGGAGCGGCAUUUCGUCGAGCAGCACGCAGUGCUGGCCCUCGCGGCCCAGCGCGCGGACGACCAGCUCGAGCGCCGACACGUCGGUGGCACCCUCCUUGCCAGCCCACCAGAGGAGCGCGAGCGCCCACUCCCAGUGCCCUGAGAGCUCCAGCGCCUUGAGCAGGGACGUGAUGUCUGCGCGGAGGAGCUCGUCGCGGCGGGAGGCCAGGAAGGCCGCGAGUGUGGGGAGCGGGUGCGAGGAGAUGGCAAGCACCAGCGCCUGCGCGGCGGGGGAGAGGAAGGAGUGCGGCGGCGUCAGCGUCUGGUGCGACCGCCACGACGUGGGGGUCGGCACGGUAAGGUGGAGCGGGAGCGAGUCGAGCGGGAGCGAGGAGGGGGACGGCGGCGGUGGCACGACCGGGAGGAGCGGGCCCCGUUUCCUCGGCCCCGAUCUCUUGCAAUGCGUCGAGUAUGCCACAAAGGGAGCGGGCCCCGAAGAGGAGCAGGCGCUGCAGCCGAGCUGAGGGCGCGAGAUGGCUUACUGGGGGCGCAGGGGUGAGCUCCGACACGUCGAGGGAGAGACGGGGUGGGGCGAGGGGUUUCAGCCAUGGGCGAUUAGUGAGGGCGUGCACAGGGAGCGUGCAGAAGUGGCAGAGCUGGCAGAGCGGUUGAGGUCGUGGGGGAGGAGGUCACGGGAGUGGAGCUCGUGUGUGCGGCGCCGUCGCGGAGGCGGAGGUUGCCGAAGAGGAUGACAGGCGUCGUGCGUCGUUCGCAUAGGGAAGCUAGGCUGCAUGAGGUAAACCACAAAUCGUUGUGCGAGGGACGCUGGGCCACACUAAUCGCUGGGCCACACGAACCACUGGGCCUCACAAAUCGCUAGGACACAUGUACUGUUAUGGGGUUUGUUUGAUUAGCGCCAUACCGACUAUUGAGAGAGUUGGAACGUAUCUUAUAAGCAUUUUUGUGGAUAGCGUGCUGCUUAGACCGACUUCUCCUGCUCUGGUGAGACACCAAGAUAAGUUUUUUGCGCGGUAUUAGGUGCACAUUCCAUCUAUUCGCCCUGUUUAUCACCUCCUUUAUUUUAUCUCUGGAAGUCCUGAAGAGCGUGUCAUGCAUUAAGGAGGUUUAACAGGACUCCUGAAUUGAAAUGAAACAUUCUAGCCUGCGUAAUUGCCACAGAGAUUAGAUCUGAAUAAAGAAAAAAUGUUUUUUUUGUUGUCAACGUGUCAACCUGAACGGUGGACUCUGCUAAAAAUGCUUACUUGAAACAGUUUGGAAGAUCAUCUCGCCACGAUUGUGAAAGAUAUAGUGAUUAUGAAAUAAAUUUGAUGGACUGUUCAUUGUUGUUUUCCGGUUUAUUUUUUUUAUCUCUUUCUUUUUAUUCCUCUGAUAUCAGUCUCGCACCUCUGUAGUUCAAUUGGGGACGGAAAGUUCGCAAGGAGUAGCAGUUUUAAAGCAACCUCUUACCAGGAUCAACUCGGGUGUUUGCAUCAGUAAUCCAGAAAUCUUUUAUCUUGAUAACCGAGCUUAGGCUCAGCCUGCCCACCCUCAUUCAAUGGUGUGACUCGUCUUAAGAUUAUUCAUAAAACUCUCCCAUACAUUUAAAAAAUUACCUCAGUAUUUAUUAUGUAAUGAAAAAAGUCUUCAGAUUAGUUCUUAAUGUUGAAUUAUCAUGCAAUUCCUAAUCCUAAGUUCCUAAAUUUACUAAUGCCAUUCCUAAUCCUAAGUUCGUAAAUUUACUAAUACAAUUCCUAAUCCUAAGUUCCUAAAUUUACUAAUGCAAUUCCUAAUCCUACGUUCCUAAUUAACAUCAUAGCUAAUGCUGGUACGCAGACGCAGCAGCCAGCACCUCAUGCAACCAAGCCGACAUACUCGAGCUCCACGGAGCCUAACCAGAGCUUCCCCUUCAUCUCCGCCACGUCGCUCAGCGUGACGCCCUUGGCCGCCGUGAGCUCCUCGACCUCCGCCCCGUCAGCGUUCAGGCGGACGCCCACCAGGUGCUUCACGGGAGCCGUCGCCGGCAUCGCGUCCAGCCGCUGCUUCUCCUGGUUCAGCGCCACCCAGUAGCCACCCUUGCCGUCCCGCCUCACGUUGUCGGGGUACCCCGGCAGGUCGGCCAGCAGGUCGUACUGCCCCGCCCUGGCGCCGCUGAGAAAGUACCGGAACGCCUGGCAGGGCACGGUGUGCGCGACCACGACGUGUGCCCCGUCGCGGCUGACCGCCACGCCGUUCGGGUACGGCAGGCCGGCCUUCAGCACGGCGACGCUCUUGGUCCGCGCGUCGUACCUGAGGAGCCGGCCCGUCGCGUCCGCGUUCAUCAUGAUCUCGGUGUUAAACCUCCUGGGAUACGUCGCGCUGGAGUCGGUGAAGUAGACGUCGCCGGUGGACUGGUCGACGUCGAGACCGUUGACGAAGUGGAACGGGGCGCCGCCCGCGCCGGUCGCGAGCACCUCGGCCUCGCCGCCGCCCGGGCCGACCCUCAUGAGCCCCAGGUAGGCGUCGGCGAUGUAGAGGUCGCCGGUCUUGGCGUGGAACUGGAGGCCCAGCGGGCGGCCGCACAUGCUCUCGGUCUCCUCCGACGGCACCACUCCCGCCGUGCACAGGGGUAUCUUGCGGUAGUUUGCGCUAUGCGCGAACGUGGUCCAGCCGACGGUUGUGCCGCCCCACUUGAGGACGCGGCCGUCCGAGACACCGGCGUAGGGCCCCUCGCCCUUCCCGUCGAAGGCGAGGCUCUCGGCGCCGCGGAGGCCGCUUGGUAAAGGAAGCUGGAAGCUCCAGCGCGUGUCGGUGGUCUUGAUCUGUGCGGCGGCAAACGGCCGGGCGAAAAGGGCUAGGGCUAGCACGACCAAAGCGAGGAGCCACGUAACUAGAUUGCUCCGACGCCCCAUGCUGCUAGCUAUAUCUUCCUCGCGAUCUUUCUAAUGUGCGAGAUGGAACCUGCAGCCCCUACCUUGGAUGGAGAACAACCCUCCAUAUGGCAUUGCAUAUAUAUAGUGCCGGCUCAAGGGGAUUCCAGGUUUGUUACAACCCAAUCUAAUCUAAUCUACUAUUUCUACGGUCCUAUCACGACUACUCGGACUUUUCGGACCAGACCAGAAGAUCGUGGACAAGCGCAAGGGAAGCUUUGCGAGAUGUUAGUGCUACUGCUACCCGUGGCGCGUGACGUUCGAGUUCGACGCUGCGUGACUGGAACUUGAUUUUAGUUCAGGAACAAACGACUUUACAAGUUUAUAAGUAAAUAUAAAUUGCUCAUAUUGUGUUUUUCCAUUUAAAUUGAGUUGAAAUUCAAAACCUAAUUUGUAAUUUGAAGUUUGAAAAUAAAAGGCAAGCAGGAAAUAAAAUGAAAAGAAGGAGAAGAAUGAGAAACUUACCUGUUACUACCUGGGUCAGUUCUACCCUUGGCCUGUUAACCGCUCACGCCUGCACAACCGAUCUCACCUCCCUCGCCGCCUCACGUGUUAGCACCGGUGCAACCGACAGGUGGGCCCCACUGGUCGGACUCCCAGCCGCGCGGAUGUCUCUAAUCAGACACUGGAGGGUGGGCUAGCUCGCUCAGUAACGGUCUCGCACGUGGCGUGCGUGCGCGACAUGUCUUUAUUUCGCUGAUGUGUGGGACCAGGAUGCCAGGUUAUUCUUCCUCGGAUUCUCAGCCGAGUUAGUUACAACAAGUUCACCAGCAAGUAUGUGAAGGUAGGAACCAUAAGAAGAGCAGCGCCUGUCGAAGUGGUUUAUGGCAACAUUUCGCCUAAAUUGAGGGAAGAAGUUAUUGAACCUGUUGUUGAGCCUGAGCCUGAGCCGCAUGACGAUGAUGCACCAUGAAUAGGAAAAGCACAAAGACACCAGUUCUGGUAGGAAGAUGAAAUGGAGGGUAGGGGCACUGCUUAUAAUGUUCUAUAGAGGUAGACAGAAUUUAGAAAUAAUGGAAAGCCUCGUACUUGUUGCGUGCAUAAUAGUGUUUAAAUUUAAACCAAUAGUAGAUCUGUACUCUGUAGUAGAAUUGAAUUGCCGUAUAUGUGCAUGUCAUCAUUCUUCUAUUUUCGUGAAACGUGUCACUUCCUGAUCUCUUUACCCCACAAAUGCGCAAGAACACUCUACAUACUAAAUACUUUGGCUGACACACCAUAUGCUCGUUCCUUGCUUUCGAUCAGCGCAGGAGUAACACACCUAAUUAUAUAUAUGUUUAAGAGAUCCUGAAUAAUUUUUUUCGAACAAUGAGAAGAGACUGCAUGGAAAUUUUACUAUUACUAUGCUGACCUCUGUAAGGUUCUGCAUCACCAAGUAACAAAUAAUCUAUCGCUCAGGCGCAGCGAUUUCUGCUUAGCUAGAGCCACGAGCUGAUGAACUACGCAAUCUGGGAUUUCUCUGCCAGGAUUUUUUUUACCUGUCAGAUUUCGAAGCACUUCUUCGAGCUCAAUACAUAUCGAGUCUUACAGAACAAGUACGAAUUUGAGUUCGCCAGCCUGUAGGCAAGCCAGCCUUGACCCCUUUGGAUGUCAGGAGUUAUUCCAGUUAAAUGCUUAUUCUCAGAUGCUUCAACGCACGCAUACUCACCUGUAUAAUUUAUAAACUUCUAUAAACAUGCGCAUGCAGGGUCAACAUCUUCGAAAACUGGAUCAAUAAUUUUUUAAGAUGGAAUUAAUAAAGUUAUUAUAAACGUCUUACUGUCGAUAAAAGUAUCGUUUAUCACUAUAAGCGUAAAAAUCGUCAGAUCAUGAUAUAUUCGCUUAUAGAGUAAAUUGAAUUUUUGGAGAGUCAAAUUAGGAUGUACCGACUCUUUUGUUGUUGUGUGCUGCCACUUUUGGUUGUUCACGCUGUCACGCAACACAUGAUUAAAAGGAAAGGCCUACUCUCUCCGACCCACAUAUCAACAACAAGGGAAGCUUUGUGAGAUGCUAGUGCUACUGCGACCCGCGGCGCAUGACGUUCAAGUUCGAUGGUGCGUGACUGGAACCAGAGUCUCGUUGAUUUUAGUUCAGGAACAAACGACUUCACAACUUUAUAACUAAAUAUAAAUUGCUCAUAUUUUGUUUGUCCAUUUAAAUUGAGUUGAAAUUCAAAACCCAAUUUGUAAUUUGAAGUUUGAAAAUAAAAUAGGAAAAUAAAAGGCAAGCAGGAAAUAAAAUGAAAAGAAGAAGAAGAAGAAACUUACCUGUUACUACAUGGGUCAGUUCUACCCUUGGCCCAUUAACCGCUCACGCCUGCACAACCGAUCUCACCUCCCUCGCGUGUUAGCACUGGUGCAACCGACAGGCAGACCCCAUUGGUUCUGUUAACUAGGAUUUCUCUGUCAGGAUUUUUUGCCUGUUAGAUUUCGAAGCACUUCUUCGAGCUCAAUACGUAUCGAGUCUUACAGAACAGGUACGAAUUGAGUUUGCCAGCCUGUAGGCAAGGCAACCUUGACCCCUUUGGAUGCCAGGAGUUAUUCCAGUUCAAUGCUUAUUAUCAUAUGCUUCAACGCACGCAUACUCACCUGUAUAAUUUAUAAACUUCUAUAAAUAUGCGCAUGCAGGGUCAACAUCUUCGAAAACUGGGUCGAUAAUUUUUUAAGAUGGAAUUAAUGAAGUUAUUAUAGACGUCUCACUGUCGAUAAUAGUAUCGUUUAUUACUAUAAGCGUAAAAACAGUUAGAUCAUGAUAUAUUCGCUUAUAGAGUGAAUUGAAUUUUUGGAGAGUCAUAUUAGGAUGUACCGGCUCUUUUGCUGUUGUGUUUUGCGUGCUGCCACUUUUGGCUGUUCACGCUCUCACGCAACACAUGAUUAAAAGGAAAGGCCCCACUCUCUCCGGCCCACAUAUCAACAACAAGCUCUGCCAUCUGCAUGCCAUUUAUGCUAUUUAGCACCACACCGCUUGCUCACAUGAGACGACACUAGCUUAAAAAUCUAUUCUUCAGUGCCACACUCGCCGAGCAGCUAGCGACUGCUUGUAACCUGAGCGGGGGCAAUAAGGUGGUGUGGAUGCCAAUUGUGGCGCUUGGACCCGGGCCUGGUACUGCAAUCUGUGGCCCGCCCGUUCCAAGUUGGUAGUUGGGUUGUGGCCGCUUUGGCGAAGGCCAUGGCGUCCCUCUCUCUAGAGCGGCAGGCAAUGCGUGAGGCUGGUUUCACAGAGCAGCGAAUACCGUUCGCUUCCAACGGUGGAAGGAUAACGAGCCACUGCACUCUAGGCCCACUAGGCCCAAGUGCUCUUUCUAGCAGACCAC